CGUAGAAUUGAUUCAUGAUUGUAAACUUCUUUCGCUAUGGUUUUUUUACCUAUGCCUCCCAUCCCGACAAUCGGGAUAACUUUGGGUUCACCAGAGUAGCUUCCUUUCAGAUCUUCUAACAAGCGUUCCUUUUGAUCAUCACGUCCAACCAUAUUAUUGUUAACAUUCACAAUAUCAUUUGUUGAACUUGAAAAAUCAUGAACCAAUGAUUCCUUUGAUACUUGUUUGCCUUUAUCUUGAAUCUUUGUUGACUCUUUCCAGACAUGAUCAAUGUCCUUUGCUAAUUGUUGAAGGCUUUUACGAAACUUUCGGCGUGUCCAUAUAUUCGAGAUUCCUUUGAAAAAUCCUGAGACAAUGAUUCCUAUGAUUCUUUUCUCUUCUCCCUGUACAGUUUCUGUUAGUCUCAGUUGAAUUGUGUAUUGAACACCACUUGCAACUUCUUUUACAUCUACUUCAAAAUCCUUCAUUUCUCCAAAAACAUUGUUUUUCUCAAAGUUCUUGACAAAUACUUCCAGGGAACUAACUUUUUCAUGAAGAGCACAAAGUUCUUCUCUGUUAUAACAUAUUAGAGAUUGCAUCGGCGAAUUGGAUGUCAAGACUGAUUCUAUUGUUCUCAUAAGAGAAGCCACACUUGCAUGAGCCAUAUCUACUGUAUUCUCAUUUCUUUCCUUUGUGCUUAUGACCUGAAAGCUGAAGGUUGCAAGAGGUCAACGGUAUUACAAAUAACGAGAUACGCAGAUUUUUUGAAAAGGCACGCAUAAGAUCAGGUAAUGUAUUUGCCUUAAUCAUAUCAAGCACAGGGGAACAAUAACUCCCAGUACGCAAAUGUGUAAAGAACAAAAGAUAGAGUGUAACAACCCGCAUUUCGGGCUAGAAUGUAAACUGUCAUUCCAACGCAUAAUAGUUCCAAAAGACAUUAAAUCCUAUGAAAAUUUAGUGUGUUAAUCAAUUAUGUAGUGUGGUAAUCUAGUUGGUGAUGAAUUCAGGUCAUAGAGUCCCUUAACUCAAAGGCGUUGAAAGUCUUCCUCUCGAUUGAGUUUUAGUGAGCAUUUAAACUUGGGUCAACUUCCAUCGACCAUAUAUUUUUUGUAUAUAUCAAAUUAGGGGUAUAACUACAUAUCAAAUGAAAGGUAUUUGAGUCCUCUUUCCAACUCCACUGGUUUCAUCUUAAUCCAAUAUCGAAGUAGAAAGUUAUGCACAUUUUACUUCGAAGUGUCUGUCUGCCAAAAUGUGACGACGAGGCUGACGACCUAUCAACUAGGUGACGACCCAUCAGCCCUAGUCGUCAGCCUAGGGAAGAAAGUGGUAAAAUCCAUCCCAAAAUUGAAGACCCGGGUGACGGCCUAUCACCUGAGUGACGGCCCGUCAACCUUGGUCGUCAACUGAUGAAAUUCUGUGACUUUUUUCGGGUUCCUAGGGGGUAUUGUGGUCUUUUCCUCACUUGGAAAACCUUUCCCAUGAAUUUAAUUACACUCUAAAUGUUAUUAAUCAAUCAUUAUCAGUUAAACAAUAUCAAAAUUCUUUAUUCACACUCAAAUACAAGAUCAAACUAGGUUUCCUCCAAGAACAAGAAAUCAAGAAAAAUCAAUCCUUAAGUCACGGAUUUUCAAGGAACAAAUCAAGAUUCGAGUUCCACUCUUUAAACUAAGUAAUCUAAGGUACGUGGGGUUUUCCUAAACUACAUGGUCUUAUUGAAAACCUUUUGAAUAAGGUUUAAAGUUGUGAAAUCAUGUAUUUACAAAGGGUUUUGAAUUUAUAUUAACAAUUAUGCAUUGUGAACCCUUUUGAUGAUAAUGUUUUGGUCUUGAGGUCUUACCCCUUAAACUAGAUUUUGUUUAUAUAUAUAUAUAUAUAUAUAUAUAUAUAUAUAUAUGUAUGCAUGUCAUUUGAUGUUUGGGGUUUGAAUUGAGAGCAAGAACCUUGUUUUUAUAUGUUAAGAAUUAUUCAAUAUCACACUGAUAAGCAUGUUGAAAAUGUCGUUACAGUUGUUUAAGACUUGAUAUUAAUUAUGAACGGAAGAGAGGGUGUCUCUUUUUUAUAUAAAGGAGAAGUGAUGAUUUUAAAGAGUUGCUCGUUUGUCACAAAAUACUUGACCACUACAUGUUUUAUGAAAUGUUGAAAAGAGAGAAUCUCUGCAUAGUUUGAAAUAUGUUUUGAAAACAAGAAUUCUCUUGAAUUGUUUGAUUGAUUUGGUGGUUUGAACAUUGUUUUUCUUGAAACGAGUUGUAAUUUGACAAUAUAUGGCUGAGAAUUAUGACUUUCAAGUCUUCAUAUAAUGAUACCAAAAUAGAUAAUGCCAUCACAGACUCAAAACGAAUAGAAGUUAGAUUUCAUUCAGAUUUUCAGAAUUUGAGUUCUUAAAUAUGCAUGUUCAGAAAAGGUUAAAAUGGGCUUAAGAGAUGUUAGGUGGUUACCAAAAGAAGGCACGAGUUCAGAUAACUCAUUUACCAAAAUCGUGUUUUGCCUAUACGGGUUAUUUGGUUCCCAAGAGGGAUUAUAUGUUGGCCUAGUGCCCUGUGACAUAUUAGACUCAGAAACUCCAACUCUUGUGCAAACUUGGGUUGGGGACUUACCCGCCGAGUCAAUGGCGGAUUCCAUAUAGCCCGUGGAAUAUCAUACUUGUAGGGUAUACCACCUAGCUCAGAACUAAGACAAAGAUGUUGAGUUGAUUUACAGAACUAUUUUUAAAGGCCUAUUUACUAUGCCCAUGUAUUUUCAAAUGGUUUUAUGAUGAUGUAUUUUUUUUAUGAAAUUCUCUCACUUACUUUAUGUAUCAGCAUUUUAUUUUUGGAUAGUCCUGCAUACCAUUACAUAUGUAUUGACCCCCUUUAUCUCAGGAUCUGAGGCACAGUCCCAGGGUCCCAUCCAGCAAUAGGCUUGUUUGUGUCAGCAGUUGCAGUUGGUAAGCCUUCUCUAUUCCGGAAGGCCUGAUUUUUAGAUUUUGUUGUUUUCUUCUGUUAUGAUCUACUGGGGGCCUAGUCCCAGUUUUAGAUAAGAUAUUGGCCCCUAUGUAUUAGAGAUUUCGCAGACUGUUGAUAGAUGUUUUUAGAAGUUAUGGAAUUUCAUUUUGAAUUGUUCCUUUGAAUUAUAUUAUUUGACCAUGAUUCCGUAUCGAUAUGUAUUUCUGCAUAGUCUUUUAUAGCAUGUGAACAUGUGUAUGAUGUCCAGAAAGUGAAGGCCGCUCCGGCCUUCAUCGCUCGGGAGGCUCAUCAUGGCCAGGGUCUCAGCUCGGGUCGUGACAUAGAGUACCUAACCAACAUAAAAUUUGAGUGGCUGAGAAAUGAUAUCUGCAGUGUUUAUCAUCCCAAAUAGUCCCUUAAAUUUAAAUAGUUGGUUCACUUAGGUCCCUACAAUGUAAUGUUGAACAUAAAUGGUCCUUUAUCUCUGGGGAUCUGGGGAGGUUAAAGCGUACACAAACCUUACAGCUAUCCUAGAGGUAGAAAGGAUGUUUCUGAUAAACCCUUGGCAAAAGAUAAAUAGUUCAAAGCAAUCGGAAAAAAGAUACCCCUUAUUUAAAAAAUAGAGAAAUUACAUCUCCUUGGAAGCAAGAGGAUAAUACUAAAACAUAUUAUUGUAACAGUAAAAUUUAAAGUUUAAAUAGUAAGAACUAUGAUGAAAUCUUGAACUUCAAUUCUUGUAGCUAUAUUCUGAAAUGAAAUUUCAGUAAUUGCUUUUAAAACUAAAAUAAGAGAAUCACUGGCUCAAAGUUGAGUUGAGAACUUUCCUACCAAUUGAGUUCUAGUGGACGUUCUUACUUGGGUCAACUUCCAACAAUUAUUAAUCCUAAUAUAUAAUGAGUUAGGAGUCUUACUACCUACCAAAGUAAAGGUUUUUGAGUCUUCUUUCCAAGCAAAAAGUUAUGGACAUUUUAGUGAGGCAUCUCAACUACACGUUGGGUAGCGCAGGGCGGAGCUCAAGUCAGUAGAUCACUGGUUUGCCUCCACGUUGGGAUGCGCAGCACGGAGCAUACCUCUCCACUGUAAAAGUUCAUUUUUCUCUUAUCAAAUUAGGGGUAAACUUGUCUUUUCACUCCAUGUAACUAUCCCAACCCGUUUUAUAACCCUAAAGUCGUCCUAAACUAGCAGAAAUCUUUAAAAUCCCUCAUACAAGGCAUUUAUUUCAAGUUAUUCGUAUUUUCUCAAUGAUGGAUUGAGACUAAGGUUGAAUGUUCAUGAAAUCAUGUUAUUGAAUCCUCUCUUUUACAAAUUGUUUUCUAAAUUUAUGUGUUCACUCAACUAAUAGUUAUUAGAUUAGAAAUAUGAGUAAUUAAGGAAAACUAACCUUUCAAUGGUAGAAAUUUGGGAAGAAGCAACUGAUCACUGCAAUAUUAUACACUAUGAGAAAAGAACAUAAAUAUGAGUAUAUGAAAACAAGAUAGAAAUAUUAACAAGUAAUCAAGAUUAAAAUCAAUAGAAAUAUGUCAUACCUGAUCUCUGAGUGACUAAAAUGGUAUUAAAUUUUAUAGAUAACAAAGUGUUGGCUUCUGAUAAAUUGGGAUGAUAACUUCAAUUAUUGUUGAAUGAGGGGAAAGUGAAUUUAUCUAUUUAAAUGGAACAACACUUCACUUAUAUUUUAAAAAGGAGUAAAGCAUCUAAGUGCCCUGAACUAUCAUCAAAUUUGCUACACGGCACUCUAAUUUUACGGGGCUCCUAUUACUUAACUAAAUUUUAACAUAUUUUUAUCAACCUUUUUACCUAACAUGACAUCUAAAACAUGGGCCCCAUUUUUAUGAAAUAAAUGUGCUAUGUCAGUGUAACGCCCCGCAUUUCGGGCUACAAUAAAGACCAUGAUUUCGAUGCGUUGAUAAUCCGAAAGCCAUAAAAUCCUAUGUCAAUAUGGCAUUUUAAUUUGUGUAGCAUGUGAAUCCAUUCAAGCUUAAAUUUAGACCAUAGAGGUCCUUCAACUCAUGGACGAGUUGAAACUAUUUUGAUAGACUAAGUUUUAGUGAACGUUGUAAAGUGUGUCAGCUUCCAUCAAUCAUAACUCUCUGUAUAUGUCAAAUUAGGAAGCCUACUAUGUUUCAAAUGAUAGGUAUUCGAGUUAGCUUUCCAACGAUACAAUUUUGGCUAAAAUCCAACACCCGAGCAAGAAGUUAUGGCCUUUCAAAGUGAUAUGCGUCGCCUAACCAAUCGCCCAUGGCCACUGGAAAGCAUAGGCAAUAACCUAGGCGGCACCUACGUAAACAUAGGCGAUAGCUUAGGCGGCUCCUAUGUGAACAUAGGCAAUGGGAUGGGCGGCGCCUAUGUAAAGAAUUCUAGUGACUUAAACACUCCGUUUUGGGGACAAAGUGGUCCUUUUCCACCCUUACUUAGCCCUAAAACACAAAAUUCAGUUCCAAGGACCCCAAAAUACCCCUUCAUUUAUCAAAAGUGCUCAAAGAUUCUCCUUAGGGUUUCAAAAUAAAAACCCAAAUAGUUCAAGAUUCGAUCGUAGGUUUUCAAAGAUAAUUACAUAUUUGGAAUCACCAAUCCGCAAGCUUCAAGAAACAUCUACUAUCCUUGGAAAUAGAGGUACGUGGGGUUACCCUAAAAUAUCAUGGGUGUAUUUUUUUUUGAGCAUGCAUGCUUUUAAUUGGAGGUUUUCAAUGAAAUGCUAAUAACUUGCUUUCACUAUGAUUUCUAAGUCAUCUUUCUUUAUGUCGUGCGAAUUGGUUGCUUAUGUACUUCAAUUGUUGAAACCAUGCAUAUGUGAUUUGAGAUUUUCCAUGGAAGUUUGAUGAAUAUGAAUGAUAAAUUGCUUUCAAAUUCCCAUGAUAAUGUCUUGAUACCCCACCAUAUCAUAUUGUGAUCAACAAAAGAGAGCAUGAAUUUGAAAUAAAUAUUGUUCACCACUUGUAAAUGAUGAAGCACCUUGGUUUUUACAUGGUUAUGCAUAUGUGAAAGUGAUAUUGAGGACUUGCAAUUCGGGUAUGACGAUACCCUACAGAACAUGAUAUGUGAUUGAAUCAGAUGAAAUUUGAAUGCAUUGAUUUUACAUGAGAAAGGUGGAUGCCCGAAGAAGGCGUUUGAGAGUAAGGGUUCAUCGCAGGAAAACGUGUUUGCCGACAUGGAAUUGUGGUACCAGGGUAAGUGAUCUUGUGUACUUUACUUCAUGUCAUUCCCAAAUUGGGACUAUAGGUAGGAUCCCGAGCUAAGUUAUCUUGGGCACUACCAGUGGGUUGAGACACCAUGCUUUGUGGUCUUGAGUGUCUCUCCCUCACUUAUACUCUAAUCUUGACGGCAACCGAGGUUAGAAAAUUGGUGUAAAUUAUGUAGGGUAUUCCACCUAGCUCAGUUGCAUUUCAUNNNNNNNNNNNNNNNNNNNNNNNNNNNNNNNNNNNNNNNNNNNNNNNNNNNNNNNNNNCUUUAUAAUGGCUCUCAACUAUAUUUUGUAAAAAUAUUAUGUUUUGUUUUGAUAUCUAUGUGUGCCAAUACUUUUGUACUGACCCCCUCCCCUCUCCAACCUCUCAGGUUCAGAGGCCCAGUCUAGGGGUCAAGAGAAUCAUAGAGUUGCAGAAAAAAGUGGUGAGCCUUCUAUGUUUCAGAAAUUCUUAUGUCCUGUAGUCCUUUUACCUUAUAUUCAGUUUUUAGGUCUACUGGGGGCCUUGUCCUAGUUUAUAUACGGUUACUUGACUCAGUCAUUUGUUAGAGAUUUUCGCAGACAGUUGUUUAGGGGUUAAUUGAUGUUGAGGGAACCUUAUCUCCCCGUUAUUGUUUCUUUUCAUAUUUAUGACCAUGUUUCCGAAUUAUUGUGUUUCUUCUGCAUUACUUUGAUCAUAUGAAUUAGGUGCAUGAUUACCAGACAGAUAGGGUGUUUCGGGCCUCCAUGGUUCGAAAUGCUCGUCACGGCCGGGCCCUGGUUCGGGUCGUGACAGUCAGCUCAAAAGAAUAACAAAAAUACGCUAAAAUUGAAUUCAGGGGUAAUAGGACCCCUAUGAAGUUGGACUGUAUUGUAGUAAUUUUGGUCAUAAUUAGAGAGGGUACUGAAUUCUUAUCUCUUUUAAAAAUAAAGUUAAAGAUGAUUAUAUUGUGUUUCAAUUAUCUAUAAUACUAUUUUUGUUGUCACACAAUUUUUCUGAAUGCUAUGUCCUGCUUUCUUUAUUACUUGUCAGGUUUUUGUCUAUUUUUAUAACGAAUUUCAUUUAUUGCAUUUAUGCGAGGGUCCUUCAAAAACGAUCUCUCUUCUUCUACGAGAUAGGGGCAAUAUCUGCUUACACUUACUCUUCUUCGGAUCUUAUUAGAUAUAGCUCAUUGAUGUAUUAAAGAAAGAACUUGGCCAAUUUGUUGUACCGAUCACAAAUUUUUUAUUUAUAUUAGCUGUCUGCAACUUGUACUUUGUGGACUAAUCAAUAAACAAAUACUGUAAUAAAUCACCAGCUUAGGAGCCAAAUAGUGGAGUAUUUUUUUUCUUAAAAAAAGAAAACUUUUUGACUAAUAUGAGUAAUGCUAUGACUCAAUUAUCAAGACUAUCUUUAACUUGCUAAACAAAAAUAUUUUAAUUUUUUAUUCAGUGGGACAUAUAACAACUUAAUAAGUACUCCCUCAGUUUCCAAAAAAUGAUUUACGUUCAUUUUUAGUAUGUUCAAAAAAGAAUGAUUAUUUUUUUUUGGCAACACUAUUUCAACUUUUCACAUGAUUUGUUUAAGAUCACAAGAUUAAAAGACAUUUUAGUACAUUUGAUAUAAUUUUAAUUUAAAAUCACAAGACUUAAAAUUCUUUUUAUUUUGUUAAAUUUCAUACUAAAUCCAAAUAAGUGAUUCUUUUUAAAAUGAAAGAGUAUUAUGCAAGUGAUUAAUAAUAAAAUAGGAAUGCAAAAUUUGCAGAAAGGUCGAGAAAGGCCUUUGUACUUUGCAAAAAGGUCGAACAUUGCCCCUGCUAGAAGUUUGGCUCACUAUGUGUUACGACCCGAACUGAGGCCUGGCCGUGAUGGAUAUCCCCAACCAUGAAGGCCCGGAACGCCCUUCUCUAUCUGAUAAUCAUGCACAACAUACAUAUAAUAAAAGAAAAUGUGGAAAUAUAAUCGAAUAGGGAAACAUGGUCAUAAUCUGAAUUUAAUUUAACAAUGAAGGAUGAAACCCCAAUAUCAACAAAACAACAUCUGAACUAGUAUGCGAAAUCUCUACUACAUCUGAAAAUAACAACAAUCUGAAAACUAGGACAAGGCCCCAGUAGACCAAAACCAUAAUAAGUAACAUAAUCUGAAAGACAUAGGCCUUCUAAAAUAAAGAAGGCUCACCAAUUGAACACAUCACUAUUGUCUGGAAACUCUAUGGCUUAGCAGAACCUCUAAACUGAACUUUACACCCUGGGAGGUAGGGGUCAAUACAAAUGUACUGGUACGCAGAGCAAAUCCAAAAUAAUAAUUUGUAUUCAACAUAUAUGAGAGAAAUUUAAAACAGUUCAUAAAUAUAUCAUAUAGUAAGAAACCUCAUGGGCAUUUUCGAAAGACUUUUGAAAAUCAUCUGAACUCUGUGACAUUCUUUUUUUACUUCUGUGCUACAUGGUAUACCCUACAAUUCUGUAAUUCCACAGGCUAUAUGGAAUCUGCCAUUGACUUGGUAGUCAAGACCCCAACCCAAGUGUGUCGCAAGGGUCGAGUCUCUGAAUCUACUACGCCACAUGGCCAUCGCCAGCGUACAAUAAUAAUCUUCCCGUAUCGACAAAUACGGUUUUAGGCUAAGAGUUACUUGAACUCAAGACUUCUUUGGGUAACCACCUAACACUCUUUAUGCCCAUUUUUAACUCUUUAAAACAUGCAUUCUCUAAAAUAUAUUCUGAAAACAUUCUCUGAAGACAUACUCUGAAAACAUACUCUAAAAAACAUACUCUAAAAACAUACUCUGUUAUGGCAUACAUACUUAUGGUAUCGUCAUACCAUUGAUUUGUCAGGCACAUCUCUGAGCCAUUAUUAACAUAUUAGAAUCUCUAUUUCCAAAACAUAAAUUUGGGACCAUAUCAAUAAAUCAGUUCGAAGCACCCUUUACUUAAAUACUCAUGUAAAAACAUGUAUGCAACUCUCUUUGACAACAUUUCAAAUGAUACAAGGUGGUCAUAUCAAAAUUCUUAAUCUAUUGCAAAUCUUUCUCUCUUUAACAAAACACAUUUAUAUGAAGAAACUCCAUCUCAAAAUCUCUAAAUCAUGCUCAAAAUACUAUGGUAUUGAGUAAACUAUUUUCAAACCAUGAAUCAUGCAUAUCAAAUCAUUCACAAUAAGAUCACAAAUUUAAAGUCAUCACAAGAGAGGGAUGUCACAUUUAUGCUCUCAAACAAUCUUCAAAUCUGAAUUUUUCAUACAUAUACAUAUACAUGUAAAUUAAUUUAAGGGAAAAGGCCUAAGGGCCAAAUCAAUGAUGCAUUUGAACAUUUAUAUUGCAUAAUAAAAUCAUGUAUUUCAAAACCCUUUUCUAAAUUCAUGCUUGAAAAUCUUUAAAUCAUGUUCUAGUGUUUUCAAGCACAUGUAGUUUUUAGGAUAAACCCCACGUACCUUAAAUUACAAGAUCUGAAAGAUGGAACCUAGAUCUUGAUAGAUGAAACCUGGAUCUUGAUUUGUUUCUUGGAGAUCUUGAACUUGAGGCUUGUUUUUCUUGGAUUUCUUGUUCUUGGAGAAAACCCUAAUUUGAUUUAUUUUAAGAAUGAAAAGGAAAUUUUGAUGUUAUAAAACUGAUAAUGAUUGAUUAAUAACACUUAAGGGAUAAUUUAAUUCAUGUGAAAGAUUUUUGGAGUGAGGGAAAGACCAAAAUACCCCUACGAAAUCACUUCCCAGCUGCUGAAAUUCUUAGCUGACGAUCAAGGCUGAUAAGCCGUCAGAUCUGUGAUAGCCCGUCAGCCCAGGUCAUCUCCUAGGACCUAAAAUUGAUGGGUUCGCCUAAGGCUGACGACAUAUUCUGACAAGUCAUCAGAUUUGUGACAAGCCGUCAGAAUUGUCGUCACUCAGUUGCCAGGUUGAUAUGCUGGAGUAAAAUGGACAUAACUUUUUGCUCCAAUAUCGAAUUUUUACAAAAUUGUUGGCAUUGGAAAGAUGACUCAAAGAAAUUUCAUUUGAUGUAUAGUAGGCCCCUCAGUUCAUCAUAUACAAGUAUUUAUGGUCGAUUGAAGUUGUUCCAAGUUUUGACGCUCACUAAAACUUGAACGAUAAGAAAACUUUCAACUAGUCCUUAAGGGACCUCUAUGAUCUGGACUCAUGCCCAUAUAGAUUCAUACACUACAUAAAUAAUUAACACACUAUAUUUGCAUUGGAUUUAUGGCUUUUGGAACAUCUACACAUAGAAAUGACGGUCUUCAUUCUAGCCCGAAAUACGGGGUGUUACAUUAUCUCCCCCUUGGGAUUAUUCGGCCCCGAGUGAUGGGUAGGAACUUGUUGAAGCUUAAAGGUAUGGAAUAACGCGAACAUGAUGUACCUUCUAAGAAAGGACAUAAAUGAUCUGAAACAUUUAAACUUCUAUCAUGAAACUGAAUUCUGAGCUGACUUCACUUCUCUUGCUUCAAGAAGCUGAUUCAUGCUGAAAGUUUAGGAUUCCCUUCAAAUGUUCAUGAUCCAAUCAUACAUAUUGAAUUUUUAAGUGAUAACUUAUGCAAUUACGAAUCAUAAGACAGCAAGACUUAGAUCGUACAAGGGUAUUACAUUGUCUGAGCUAAAAUAUUUGGAAAAUUUGAGAUUAUGCACUGAACUCUUAUGAACAGAGUCAUGACUAAAUAGAUGAAUCUGAAACAUAAUGCUUGGAUUGAACUGAAUUCUCAAUUUACAUGGAUGGAAUAGAUUAUCUCUUGGGAUGGUCAUAUGCAUGAGACUUCGGAUAGUAGGGCCAGGUGAAAAGGUGGAAAACCACAACAACUUGUCUGCCUGACUGUUAAACUGAAUUUCUGGCUAUUCAGAUUGAACUAUACUAGAAACUUAUAUGUAACUGGAGUAUCUCCUCCACACCCUCUCUAAAGAAGUUCUAGUACCAUUAGGGAGCAAAGAAUCUUGAGCAUGAGUUACACAAUGCAUCCAACUACGGAAUUACAACAAUGACAUCACUCUAUAGCAUGGAAUAUAAACAUAUAGGUCAUAAACUAGGAUAGAAUUACCAGGCCUUAGAAAAUACAACUUCUUACUUUCAAGCUUAGCACACUUCUUGAAUAUCCCUUAACUCUACUAUUCUCCUUAAAUACCAUAUACAUUCGAUUCAACUUAUUACUCUCAUGUGGGCAUUUAUAAAUCUUUCUACUAAUGUCUAUAGUAGCUUAAAUCCUCUCACGGUGAUCAAGCCUAACUCCAAUUCACAAACUACAACAAGCCACACUAUGAUACUAGUCUAAACCAUAUGAUUCAACCUUCUAUAUCCUUUUAAAGUUCACCCUACGCAUAUCGUGCCUUACCACUUAAUGACUAACUCUGAUCUCUUACUAUGGAUUCACUAGCACAUAUUACGUUCCUCUACCUAAAUCCCAACAGGUCAUUCAAUCCUAUCUUUAUAACCACAUAUGAACUUUAAGAUAAACACUCAUAAAGACAUACUUCACAUAUUCUCUAAACCACUAUCAAUAUAACUCCCACGUGCUACCCCAAGAACAUACACACACCAAUUUCCACUAAACAUCACAUGUAUUCAAGACUUGGCUCCAGAUCUUACUUUACACUUAUGGCCUUAUCUAAAACAAGCAUACAAUGAUCUUCUAUCAACAAGAAAACAUCCACUUAUCACCACAAUUAUUACAUAAGGAUGAGUCACUAACAGGUUAAAACAUAAGACUUUGAAGUAUGGAAGGAUACUAUACGAAACUCGACACUUAACUGAGGCCAGAGGAACAGCGAAUCAACAUCAGGGAUUCAUCAGAGUGAUUUAAAUUUAGGGCAUACCUGGCUAUAAGCUGAAUCUCGCCAAUCAUUUGGCGUGUAGCUUGAGUUAUGGGAACUGAGCACACUAUAAAGCAUUAGUACAUGAGUCAUAAGCUGCAUGACCUCAAUUUGGAGUUCAUAACAUAUGGAAUGUGAUUCUGACUAAUGAUUGAACUGGAACUCCUUAUUUUGGAACUGGAAGAGUACGUAAAUUUCUAUCAUAUGCAUGAACAUGAACCAUGAUCUGGAACUGAAACGUAAGGCAUGAGUAGGUAUUGGGAUAACUGAAAAAUACUGAGAUAAGAAUGGGUUGAGCCUCACCCUCAUUUUUUGAUGUUCUAUAUCAUACUGGCAUCACUACUAGAAUCUGAGAGCCUAACUUGGUUAUUCGUCCUCUCAUCUCCCCCUUAGCUUCAAGUCAUCAUCUUAAGUUUGAGCGAUAUCUUUCUAGACUUUAAACUGAACUACACUUACUGCACUUUAGGUUCUGAAAAAUGACCAUACACACACAUCAUAGAACUUAACCCGAAUGACUACACCUAAAAGUGGAAAACCCACUGUUAAUACUACCUUUUGAGGUACACUCUAUCUUUUUAUAGCCAUCAAUGGUCAUCAUAUAGUACUUGAACACUUACUAAUUUCGAAUCUUCAUGAAUAUCCCCCUAGUUGAAGUGCACAUCCUCUAGUGUUUCUACUUUUAUUUCUAUUAGUGCAACCCUCAACUCAAACUUAGAUUCCAACACUUAACAUGGACAUCACCAAGACUUUGAUCAACCAUGCUUCUUUCGCCAUAGCCUACCAAUAUCGCGACACCAAACUUAUAUCACUCUACCAUGAGGAUCAAGAUCAUAUCAAAAGGCUCCACACUAUCAGUCAAAACCCCUUAACUUGGCCAUUUAGAACACCAUGUACCAUCUAACUAGUCUUUCUCCACCUAGCAACUCAAUGGUACCACUAGCCACAUACAACAUGAAAUAGCCUUAGAGAAAAUACCGCAACCACAUAUCACCUUGGGCAUACGUUUUACCUCAUACAUACAAUAUCAAACUUCAUUAUUAAUCAAAUAAACUUAAUCUAUUGCAUACACUGUUCAAGCCUAUUAGAUCACUUCCAUAAAACUAGCAUCAUUAACCAAGAAAUCAUCGCAUCCACCUUCAUGGACACCAACUAAUCAAACUUAAUGUCUAGUGCUAAACAUGAUUUACACCCCAACCUAACAUGUAAUUCUCACAAACAUUCAUCAUUAAUCUUAAGCCACAAUUCUUACAUCCACAUUCUACAUUAAAUUCAAGCCUAUAGUCUAACGUCAACCAUUUACCACCAAUGAAGAAUGCAACAUAAUAUACUAGUCCAUCAAAUUGGGACAUUCUAUCUAAAUACCUCGAAAAAGCUACUAGUUUACAACUAUCAACGAAAAAAAGGUCGUAAUCUCAUAUCAUAACCCCAUACAAUCUUAUCUACUUAUACGGAUUUCUCACAUCACACUUACUUACCAAAGCAUACAUUUAGACUAUCUUCAAAUUCCACAACAACCAUGAGUCUAUAAUUAUAACCUACUGGCUCAUCUAGCCAUUUUCAUAAUUCAAGCAUACAACAAUUCACCUUAACUAAUAACUCCUCCUCUACCUUCUACUAAACUAACACACAAGGACGUAUCACUUCAUUACCAACUCAAUAUCAUGUGAAAAGAUUCGGCUAUACAUAUAUUCAACCAACACAAGAACAACAAGUUGCUAGUGAAUCGAAAAAGGCCUCACACGGUUUUACUAGACUUUGAUUUUUUUGUGUUUUGAACAAGAAAAUAAGAUGAAUGACAAAGAAACUAUGCUAGUGAAUCGAAAGAGCACCACAUGGCUUCACUAGACUUUGAGUUUCAAUAACACAAUGAGAACAAGAUUUCAAGAGAUCAAAACUUGACACACAAUAAUCAAGGAUCUAAGAAUACAUAUCUUACUCUAUAUGAAUAAAAAAAAUUUGAGUCAAACACUCCCCCCACAGACUACCAUACAAUCCACACAUGCUACUAGCUACCACAUUAGUCUAUUACUAUAAAGGGGUAGAUCAUCCUCAAAUAUUGGUUAUUCAACUAAAAUAUUUAUUUACACAAAAGUCACCCUCACUCUAACUUCUAAAUUUGUGACUUCACAUCACCAACUUCUUGGUCCAGCAUUACUACCAACAGGUCAUGACACCGACACUUAACUUAUACUACUACUCGGGCAGUUCGAACAUUAUGCUACACAUCAUCCCCCUGAAGCGUGACAUCUGUAACAUAAAUUCUGAAAAGGACUGAAUACACUUAAUACUGUAUGCUGAAAAGCACGAUCUCAUCAGAAUCAAAGUUCACGCUAGAAUCGAUACACUCUGAAUUACUAACGGACUCUUCUUAAGCCCUUGCACAAUUUUAAAAUCUUAUAUGGCUCAAUUAGAAAGGACCAGACCAUUUAGACUCUAAACUUCUGAACUUGAAUCGCCCCAAUAAUGAGACAUAUCUAAGAACAUUAAAGUAAGGAAAGAAUUAGGAUAACUUCACUUUCGUAUGGGAGACACCAUAGCAUGAAUUAUAGUAUGAAAGAGGAACAUUCUGACUCUAUAGCAUGAACUCAAACAUGAAGAAAGGGAGACAUUCCUAAAUUCCUAUAGCCUCCUUCUUAUAAGUGUGGCACGCUACGCACCCAUAAAUAAUAUCCUAGCCAACAUGAUUUUGCAGACACCCUGGGACCAUGAACCUGUCUCUGAUACCAAGUUUGUCACGACCCAAACUAGGGCCUGGCCAUGACAGAUAUCCCAAACCAUGAAGGCUCGGAACGCCCUUCUCUAUCUGGUAAUCAUGCACAACAUUCAUAUAAUAAAAGAAAAUGUAGAAAUAUAAUCGAAUAUGAAAACAUGGUCAUACUCUGAAUUUAAUUUAACAAUGAAGGAUGAAACCCCAAUAUCAAUAAAAUAAUAUAUGAACCAGUCUGCGAAAUCUCUACUAUAUCUGAAAAACAACUAUCUAAAAAUUGGGACAAGGCCCCAGUAGAUCAAAACCAUAAUAAGUAACAUAAUCUGAAAGACAUAGGCCUUCUGAAAUAAAGAAGGUUCACCAACUGCACACAUCACUACUGUAUGGAAACUCUAUGGCUUAGCAGGACCUUAGAAAUGAACUUUAGAUCCUGGGAGGUAGGGGGUCAAUACAAAUAUACUGGUAUGCUGAGCAAAUUUAAAAUAAUAAUUUUUAUUCAACAUAUAUGAGAGCAAUUUAAAAUAGUUCAUAAAUAUAUCAUAUAGUAAGAAAUCUCAUGGGCAUUUUCAAAAGACUCAGUAAAAUCAUCUGAACUCUGCGACACUCUUUGUUUUACUUCUGCGCUAAGUGGUAUACCUUACAAUUCUGUAAUUUCAUGGGCUAUAUGGAAUUUACUAUUAACAUAGCAGCCAAACCCCCAACCCAAAUGUGCCGCAAGGGUUGGAGUCUCUGAAUCUACUAUACCACACGGUCGUCGUCAGCGUACCACAAUAAUCUGCCUGUAUCGGCAAAUACAGUUUUAGGCUAAGAGUUACUUGAACUCAAGCAUUCUUUGGGUAACCACCUAACCCUCUUUAUGCCUCUUUGUAAUUCUUUAAAAUAUGCAUUCUCUCAAAACAUAUUCUGAAAACACUCUCUGAAGACAUACUCUGAAAACAUACUAUGAAAACAUACUCUGUUAUGGCAUACAUACUUAUGGUAUCGUCAUACCAUUGACUUGCAAGUCACAUCUAUUAGCCAUUAUUAGCAUAUUAGAAUCUAUGUUUCCAAAAUAUAAAUUUGAGGCCACCAUAUCAAUAAAUUAGUUCGAAGCACCCUUUCCUUAAAUACUCAUGUAAACAUAUGUAUGCAACUCUCUUUGACAACAUUUCAAAUGAUACAAGGUGGUCAUGUUAAAAUUCUUCAUCUUGUGCAAAUUUUUCUCUCUUUAACAAAAAACAUUUAUAUCAAGAAACUCCCUCUCAAAAUCUCUAAAUCAUGCUCAAAAUACUAUGGUAUUUCAGUAAACAAUUUUCAAGCUAUGAAUCAUGCAUAUCAAAUCAUUCCCAAUAAGAUCACAAAUUUAAAGUCAUCACAAGAGAGGGAUGUCAUAAUUUAUGCUCUCAAACAAUCUUCAAAUCUGAAUUUUUCAUACAUAUACACAUACAUGUAAGUCAAUUUAAGGGGAAAGGCCUAAGGGCCAAAUCAAUAAUGCAUUUGAACAUUUAUAUUGCAUAAUAAAAUCAUGUAUUUCAAAACCCCUUUCUAAAUUUAUGCUUGAAAAUCUUUAAAUCAUGUUCUAGUGUUUUCAAGCCCAUGUAGUUUUUAGGAUAAACCCCAAGUAUCUUAAAUUAUAAGAUCUGAAAGAUGGAACCUAGAUCUUGAUAGAUGAAACCUAGAUCUUGAUUUGUUUCUUGGAGAUCUUGAACUUAAGGCUUGAUUUUCUGGAAUUUCUUGUUCUUGGAGAAAACCCUAAUUUGAUCUAAUUUUGAGAGUGAAAGGGAAGUUUUUGAUGUUGUAAAACCAAUAAUGAUUGAUUAAUAACAUUUAAGGGAUGAUUUAAUUCGUGUGAAAGGUUUUAGUAGUGAGGGAAAGACCAAAAUACCCCUACGAAAUCACUUCCAAGUUGCUGAAAUUCUCAGCUGACGACCAAGGCUGAUAAGCCGUCAGAUCUGUGAUAACCCGUCAGCCCAGGUCAUCACCUAGGACCUGAAAUUGAUGGGUUUCUUCCUAAGGCUGAUGACAUAUUCUGACAAGUCGUCAGAUUUCUGAUAAGCCAUCAGAAUUAUCGUCGCUCAGUUGCCAGGCUGAUAUGCUGGAGUAAAAUGGACAAAACUUUUUGUUCCGAUUUUGAAUUUUUACAAAAUUAUUGGCGUUGGAAAGAAAACUCAAUGAAAUUUCAUUUGAUAUAUAGUAGGCCCCUCAGUUCGUCAUAUACGAUGAGUUAUGGUUGAUUGAAUUUGAUCAAAGUUUUGACUCUCACUAAAACUUGAACGAUAGGAAAGCUUUCAACUAGUCCUUAAGUUAAGGGACCUCUAUGAUUUGGACUCAUGCCAAACUAGAUUCACACACUACAUAAAAUAAUACCACACUAUAUUUGCAUUAUAUUUAUGGCUUUUGGAACAUCUACGCGUAGAAAUGAUGGUUUUCAUUCUAGCCCGAAAUGCGGGGUAUUACACUAUGUUAUUGUCGUUACAAUAUUGGCUUGAAAAUUGCUCAUAGUCAAUAUCGGCAGGGCCAUAGCUGAACUAAAUUUAUAUUUAUAUUAGCACAUAAACUUGCCUCAUGGCUAUGCCGCCAGAGAGACACAACGCAAACUAUACCCUCAAAAAAAUAGAAGCUGACGGGUUCAAGUCAUUAAAACAACCUUUAACAGCAAAUGUAGGUAAGACCGUAUAUAGUAGUCCAUUAUGGUUCAACCCUUUUUCCCAGAAUUUCCCUGUGCUUAUAAAGUUUCCUAACACUGAAUCUUGAUAAUAAAUGUUCACAUAACAAUUUUGUUUUCAUAAACAGCUGAAUUUUUUUAAAAAUCAAGUGCGAGCCUCGAAAACAUAACUAAUGAAUUAUGCAUAAAUGGGACCUUUAACUUAGCACCAGCUGGAAUCUAUAUUAUCCAAGACAUACUGUAAUAUGUUCAUAGACAAGAUCACUAGUAGGAUAAGGACUGUAACACUCAAUUCUGUAUUGUUUUUGUUGGAAAUUGCUUAAGUUACUGCACUAGUUUUUUAGCAAAAUAAGUUAGUUAAUUUGGGACGAAUUUGAAUUUUGAAUUUAAGUUAGGUUGUUUGAUUUGUUGAGACAUUUUAGUUAGUUUAAAUUUAGAAUAUUGCUGAUUUUUCUAUUGUAAGGUGGCUAUUUAAAGCCCCUUGAUGUUCAAUAAAAUUAUUGAAUACUAUUGAAUGCUAUUGAAAGUUAUUCAAUUCUUUGAGAGCCAUUUUAACCCUAUUUUUGUUGCCCCACCUUCUUUUAAAAAAACCAACAGUGGUAUCAAGAGCCUCAUUGAUCUUACGGGAUUUGUGCGUUCUUCCAAAGUGCUACCAUACCAUUUUUAACCCUCAAGGGCUAUCUUUUAAACCGGCAAGGCUACCUUUUUAACCCGUAAGGGCUCCAUUUUAAUCCAUCAGGGCUACCUUUUUCAACCCGUGCUUAUUUUCAAAGCAUAGGGCUAUUUUAAGCCAAAAAGUUGUCAAGCAGUAGUCUAUCUUUGAAUGCCCUAAAAAUUUUCACAGACAAAAAUGAUCAAAUUUGUUCUGCAAAGAAAUUAUAUUUUGAAACCUAUGCUUUAUGUGAUGUUUUGAUGAAUGAAAAAUCCUUACAACAUUUUGCAAAGUCUAUGAAAGUAUUUUCAAACAACAUAAGAUUGUUGAUGGUUUUUCAGCAAAGAAUGAAAAGAAAAAAGAGAAAGAUGAACAUCAAAAAGAUGUGCAAGUUCAAAAAAAAUUGAAAAAUUCAGCAUCCAUUGCCAGAGCAAAAAUUGAGGAGGAGUAGCUUUUAAAUCACAGUAACUAAAGCAAAGGAGGCGUGUUGGAAAUUGCUUAAGUUGCUGCACUAGUUUUUUAGCAACAUAAGUUAGUUAAUUUAGGAUGAAUUUGAAUUUUGAAUUUAAGUUAGGUUGUUUUAUCUGUUGAAACAUUUUAGUUAGUUUAAAUUUUGAAUGUUGCUGAUUUUUCUAUUGUAAGGUGGGUAUUUAAAGCCCCUUGAUGUUCAAUAAAAUAAUUGAAUACUAUUGAAUGCUAUUGAAAGUUAUUCAAUCCUUUGAGAGCCAUUUUAACCCCCUUUUCGCUGCCCCAUCUUCUUUUAAAAAAAACAACAGUUUUCUAUCUAUAAUUUUUGAGCUGUAGUAUUUGUUCAAACAAAAUGAAUCCCAUGCCACUAGAUUGAUCUUUCUCUUCUCCUCAUUACCUUAAGAGUGUAUUGAAGGAGGUAGCUAACAGGUGCAAAUGAUUCUAAUCGGGGAGGUAAUGAGGAGAAGAGAAAGAUCAAUCUAGUGGCAUGGGAUUCAUUUUGUUUGCCUAAAUGUAAUGGUGGUUUAAGUAUCAAGGAUAGCAGGCUUUGGAAUUUGUCUGUUGUUGGUGAACCGUUGUGGCAAAUUGUGGUGGAUAAAACUUCUUUGAGGGUGAAAUGGGUGCGUCGCAUUUAUAUAAAAAACGCACAAUAUGGCGUCAACUCACAUCUAUGACCUCCAACUUUGGAUGUGCACAAGUAGACACUUAAACCUUUAUAAAGUUAAACAAGUAGACACAUACUUCCUAUGUGGCAUCCUACUCAGCCAAUUCUUGUCCUAUAUGGCGUCCUACAUGUAUUAUGCCACAUAGGACGUGUGUGUGUGUCAUUCAACUUUAUAGAAGUUUAAGUGUCUACUUAUUUACACAAAAUUUGAGGUCAUAGUUGUGAUUUGAGGCCAAGUUAAAGGGCAUGUUUAUGUAUUAUGCCUAUAAAAAAUGACCCUACUUUCUGGGAACAUAGACGACCUCAAGAUUGCAGUUGGUACUGGAAGAAACUGAAUUCGUUGAAGGGUGAAAUGUCAUCUUUGUAUACACAAGGACAGUACAAUCUUACUAGUAUGGGGGAGAUAUUCUAUAACGAGUAGCUACAUGGCUCUGCUGGGAACUCAAAGGAGAUCGAUUGGGUUCUGCUAACUUGAUAUGGAACUCGGUAUCUCAACCAAAGCUUAGGUUUAUUGCAUGAUUAGAAGCUAAAGAGAGAUUACUCAACUAAAAGUAGACUAAUCAGACUCAAACAUUCAGGUACAUGAUGUGACGACAUGAUGUUUGCUCAGGACAGAAAACUCAAAUCAAAUCAAAUUCGUCCAGUUUGAGAUGCCUUAAUUGCAUUAGUACCCAAAUUUUCUCAAGACAGAAAACUAUACUCAUGCCACCAAAAACAAAAUGUGUGUCCUUGGAACUUCAAUCAUAUGUUGAGGGAACUUAUGCCUUUCUGUUAAAUUCUUCUUUCGAAUAAAUAGAUCGCAGAAAUCAAUUCAAGAAUAUGAGUUACUCCAUUACUUCUUCCGAAUAUCAUUGGGAUCCCCAAGAAUAUACCAUCAAACAUACACAAUAAAUAUUAAACCAAGAAACUAAAGUAUAAACUAAAUCAUCAUCCAUUUCCCAAAACAUAAAUUUCUCCAUGAAGGAGGAAAAGUACAUCACAGUAAGAAUUAAGAAGCUAGAAGUCAUUACAACAUAGAAAUUUAUCGAAUAAAACUACCACUAUUGAAUAGAAACCGAUUGAAUGCUCUUGUUGCUCCUCCUCUCCUUGUCUUCUUUCUUCCAAAGGCUGCUCCAAGAGUCCACGAUACUUAGUUGAGAUAAACCCUUCUUCUUAUGUUGUAAAAUUUCCCACUUUUUACUUUGUGUCUUAGUAUAACAAAGCAACAUAAAUUAGAAAUCUAAAAUCUUCCAAUUACAAUCAAAUCAUGUCAAUUAAAGUCUAGAAACAUCAAGAAUAUUUAGUGAUACGGGAAUUCCUAGGUCGAGACCUUUCACAUGAAACCAAGCACGUGAGUUGCAACGACUCCAAGCCUUGUUCACAUUCUUGGCCAUGUGUGAGGCCCUUGUGAGCCCAUCUAAGGGCCUAUAUUUAAUAAAAUGUGAAGAGGCCCACCAAGACACCCCAAAACCACCCACUUAAAUGCCAAGGGUAUUUUGGUCUUUGUCCCUCCUUUCUAAGUGACUAUAUAAGCCAUGUAAUAGGGCUAGUCUUGCUUUAGUUCAUUCCUAUUAUUCAAGAAACAAAAGACUUGUAAAUUUUUUACUUCUCUUUCUCAUUUAGAGAGGCCAAAACCGAAUUCUCACUAGUAGAGUGAUACUAGUGCUGUAUCUUGGAUAGAAACUAGGUUCUUCGGGUUCUUUGAGUUCCUCUUGGUCCAAGUAAGAACUUUGUAUUGAUAUUUAUUAGUCUUAGGGUCCUUUCUCUUGUUAGAGUUCUUAGAUUAGUGAAUAUUGUGUGUCAAGUUUCUAUCUCUUUCUUUGUAAAUCUUGUUAACAUUGUGUUAUUGAAUAUAAAAGUCUAGUGAAGCCGUGUGGGGCUCUUUUGAUUCACUAGCAAUAUUGUCUUUGUUGUUCUUGUUGUCAAACUCACUUUUCUAGUUCACACAAGUGUUGCAAGCCUAGUGAAGCCGUGUGUGGCCAUUUUCGAUUCACUAGAACUUUGUUGUUCAUCUUGUUGUUCUUGUGUUGGUUGGAAUCUCUUGAUACACACUUAGCAUUGUAUCAUUUAGCUCAUGAGUACAUCAUUAUAUAUAUUUUUAAAAUGACAUUAAAAGACGAUUUCUAACACUGAAUCUUGGAAGUAACAUAUAUUUUUUUUUCAUAAACAAUCUUUUUUUUUUAAACUCAAGAGGAAGCCUCCAAAACAACACAAUUGUUGGUGCACAUAUCCUUGCACCUAUAAUUUUAGUCUGUUCAGACAUUAUAAUAAAUCAUUUUGCACAAGACCGUAAUGCUUCAAAUGCAAAAAAAUGAGCUACCAAUCCAAAUAAGGAAAUGAGAAACGGAGUGUAACCUUGAUAAUUAUAUACUUACGUGGAUUGUAGAUACGAACAUCCACUGGGUUGUUUCCGAGGUCUUCUUGUUCUUUUUGAAUUCGUGCAGCAGAUUCGCCAAGUUCUGGAACAAAACUUGUUAACUCAAUCAAUUGUAGUGAGUGGAUAUAUGCAAACUCAAUGGGUAUCUCCUUCAAAUUAUGGAAUUCGCUGAUGAUACAAGUCAAAUGGCUGCCUUAGCUUUCAAUGACAUCAUUCAAAGUUACUACAUGAAGAAUCAAGCUUUGGUCGCAUGGAGGGAAUGGUAUCAUACUUGGAGGGGUCUUCUUGAGCAUGCCAUUAAACAAACCCGAGUGUGGAAGAUUGCUUGGAGCCUUGAUAACUUGAGGACCCUCGGGUUUGGGCCAUACUUGGUGGUUCACGGUUUUGGUCAUUUAGACUUGUCUAAAUGACACCCCAUGGCCACCCCACCUCAUUAAGGGCAUUGGAGUUAUUUUAUCUUUCUUUUGUAAGAUACUAUAUAUAGUUUUGAAUGAUGAAUGUAUGAAACACUUGAAAAUCCUCUCUCUUGAGCGUAGACCACCUUAGUAUAGUCUUAGUUAGGGCUUGGAAAAGUCAUCCUUAGUAUAGGGCUUGGAAAAGCCAAUAUUGACCUUUGCUUGGAAAUGGUGGAUCUUGAGGUGAGUUGAUUCCCUUGGCGGUCACUGUAAGAGUGUGGUUUUGAUUAUUACAUUCAUUAGGGGUUAGUGUUGAAAUACACUUGGUUCUUAAUCUUAUAAUAAUCUUGGUCUCACUAUCUAUCUUUAUUUUCUAUGCAUUUUCUCUUGUGUUUGUGUUGAAUCUGUGUCUUGUUUCAUCUUGUGUCAUUGUUAUCAUCUUCAUCUCCUUUCUUUAGUUAUAGUUUCAGUUUCUAGCUUUGUUUUCCACAUCAGCUAAGCAUGAGGCGCUCAAGGUCAGGAAAAUUGUCAUCUGUCGCUUUCCAGUACUUGACAUCAUUAUCUUCAAUUAACAAAAGCUUCAAUCGUGUAAAUCCCUGAACAUUUGGAUGCCAUUCUUUGCCUUCACAAGCAUUAUACAUCAGCUUCAGCACCUCAAGGUUAGGUAACUCAGCUAUGAUGUCCAAGUAUGACCAAUCUAAAUAAGUUCUUUCCAACUUCAACUUCUUGAGCGUGGCUGGAAAAGCUUUUGCACUGGUCACUGACAAAAGGAGACAAGUACAUCCUAUAAAACUCAAUAUUUCAAGUUGCUGCAGAUAGAUAAGAUUGUUGAGAAGCGCUAAGUCCCAAAGAUUGUCUCCACUGAAUCCUAAUUUUUUAACAGUCUGAAUCCCCGAAAUAACCUCCUUUGUGCAACAACUGGAAGACAAGUAAGGAAUAGUUUGUAUGUUUGGAAACCCCAUGUGACUGCCUUUGUCAACACAUACGGUUGGGCGAUUUGGCAGAUAAAUUAUGCCCGCUUUGAGAUGCCGUAAUUGCUUUAGUCCCCAAAUUUCCUCAGGAAAAGUUGUUUUAACUGAUCCACUAGGUCCUUGAACGAUGAAUGUCUGCAGAUUCCAUAACCUACAAAUUUCUGGAGGUAUGUCUAAAUUCUCACGGCAGCUCAAUGAUAGGUACCUCAACCAGAUGAGGCUUAGUAUCUGUACAGGGAAAACUCGAAAAAUCACGCUGUCUCUCAAAUCCAUGACUUUGAGUAAUUUGGAAGGAGUAAGCCAUGAUUGGCGAAUAAAAAUUGGAAAAUAACGACAAGAAAUACUAACAGGUUCUGAACAAACAUUUCCCCUUUGAACUUCUCUCAAGCACAGGUCAUAUAUUAGAUCCUGAACCUUACAUGAUCUAAUUUUUUAUUAUUAUUAUUAUUGACAAUAUUUUAUUAAAAUAUUUUACUAAUAACGUUAUUAACAAUAUUUUAAUAAUAUUAUUUGAACCUUUAAUUGCUUCUAUCAAUAUACCACUACUACUACGACUAAUUAUUAUUAUUAUUAUUAUUAUUAUUAUUAUUAUUAUUANNNNNNNNNNNNNNNNNNNNNNNNNNNNNNNNNNNNNNNNNNAAUAUUUUAAUAAAAUUUUCAUCUUAACAACGUUUUAUUAACGUUAAUUUAAUAUACUUCUAUUACUGCCCUUAAUAACGUUUUAUUAAUAACGUUUUAAUAACGUUAAUUUAAUAUAUUACUACCACUAUCCUUAAUAAUGUUUUAUUAAUAACGUUUUAGUAACGUUAAUUUAAUAAUAUUUUAAUAACGUUAAUUUAAUAACUUUAAUUUAAUAACGUUUUAUUAAAACUAUAAUUUUUUUAUUUAUUAUUAGUAUAGUUUCACCUUUGAGAUGAAAAUAAUGAGAAAAUAAUAGUGAAAAGUCACUUAAAUAUAUAAAAAGUAAUUAUUAAGGGCAUAAUAGUCAUUUUACCCUUUUUUUACGGUUGGAACGCUCAAAUUUUUAGCCUGACGUGCCUAGUUUUGCGUGCACAACACGCGUUUCACAUAGGAUCAGAGAUCAUAUUUGUAAAGUUUAGAAUAGUUAAAGGUCAUAUUUGUGCACUAUCAAAGUUUAAUAUCAAAGUUAUAAUUUGGUCGGGUCAUAUUUAUGUACUAUGCCUUUCUAAAUUAGUUCCGAUCUUGUAAGUAGGUGAUGAUAUAAUAUACAGGUUUCCAUAUAUAUACUUAUGUGACUAACGAUGCCGGUAACAUGUUAUAAGUGAGUUCUUCAAGCAUUCUUUUCUUUUCCUUGUCACGCCCAACCAUAUUGUUCGAAACUUCCAGAUUAGAUAAUUUUUCCAAGCUCCUAUCUCGUGCCAAGGACCAUGUCGAUGCUUGUCUACCUUUAUUAUCUUGAAUCUUUUUCGACUCUUCUUGGGCACGGUCAAUGUCCUUCGCUACUUGUUGCAAUAUCUUUUAUCUGCUCAUCCAAAUCUGUCAUUGCCCCAUAACUACUGAUUUGUUUCUCGGAGUUCUUGAGAAAUGCUUCUAUAUAAGUCACUUUCUUAUGAAGAGCUACAAUGUCUUCUCUGUGAUAAAAAGCAACUGAUAUUAUUGGCGAAUCAGACGUCAACAGCAGUUCCAUUGUUCUUAUAAGAGAUGCUAUACUCGCGUAGGCCAUCGAUUCUCCUGCUUCCAAAAUGCGAUAACGACUUGAAAGCUGCAAGUUAUACGAGCCCGAUAGUGUUAAAAUAACAUGAUUCACAAAGUUGCAAAAACAGUGAGGUAAGAAAUUAAGAAAUCAGGCAACUUCAGUCUGCACUCUUCACUAUCGUAUCUGUUACAGACUUUAUGUCUACUUCAUAUUCAUGUCUGCAUCACCUAAUUCACUACACUUGAUUCGACACUUCAGAAAUAUGAAGAACCAACUUCAUCGGUCCAAGAAAACGUUGCACAGAUAGUGGAAGAGGAGCUGUAUGAUGUUCAUAGGUCUCUAUUAGCCAGUUGCGAGGGCCAAUACGACAAGGACUUGGUUGAAUGAUAGAUGGCCAAAAAAAAGAGGCUGAUACCAAACUCCUCAAGAACACAACAACACAAACACCAAAAUCAGUCCACUAGUUCAAGAACUAUGGACCCUUUUGAUGACCUCUCUCGGAUUCACAAGAAGAACAAGAAGGGAAGUGAUAUCAAGAGUAAAACACACUAAAACAGCAACAACACUUGAUGAACAAGAUGCAAUAACAACAACACACGGUUACAAGACAAGAACACAAAUGGAUUACAAAGAUAUAGACAAACGAUUACAAGAAAGUAAAGAUAGAUAGAUAGACAAAGGGAUGGUAUAAUAUAAACAACCCAAAAGCUUAUUCCACUUUUGGACCUUUAAUAUCACACACAACCUAAACCUAUCUCUUACGUGACCUCAAGGGAACCGGAAUUCCCAAGAAAUCUCCGUUUCUAAGCAAAUGAUCAACACAAGGAUUCCACCUUGUCCAAGGAUUCCACCUUGCUAAAGACUCUCAAAGAGGCUACAAAAUAUAUUCUCCAAAAAUCUCCCAAAAAUGACCUAAUGAGGUUCUAUUUAUACCUAGGUUAACUUAUUACAAAUGACUAAAAAACCCUUGCAAAGGUUGGAUGAAUAGUGAACGCGGAAGCAUUGUGAAACAGUUUUGGAGCUUGUGGGACUUGUUCUCUACACUUCAAAGCUUGUUCCUUGGAUGGGAAGCCCCUCGAGCUCGAGUCUUGACGCAUUGGACCCCGAUCAUGAUCAUACCCGUAUCAUCCUCCCCUCCUUAGAAAGGAUUGGUCCUCGAAUCUGAACCUUUCAAAGCAAUGGAAGGACAAGCAAACAAAAGUUCCGCAAGGUAUGAGGGUUAGGAUUAGUGUAAUCAAUCAUAGCAUCUUGCCAAGGUGGCUCAAACUUCACAUAUACCCAAACAUCCCUCUUACCCGAAUACCCUACCAAGGGAGAAUCAACUAAUUUAUCCACAUAAGUCUAACAAGAAACAAGAAACAAGAAACAAGAAACAAGCGUAGCUUAUCAAGUGAAAAACAUAGACACUUUUUGGAACAACAAUUAGACUUGAAAGCAGAGAGAGGAAAGCCAUACACUCCAUACACAUUCAAGUCAUUCCAAAAGACAUCCUUAUCACCACACUUCAAAUGAUCACCGGAAUCAAAUAGGUAGAGUGUCCAUGGGCACGGGUUGGGAAUACAUUUCCUUACCCCAAUACUACUAUAAUAAUGAUCAAAUGUCCCCUCUAUACUAUCAUGGUCAAUAACAAAAACAACUAGAGGGUCAUCCUUAGUCAUUCGGCCAACAUGUUCAACAUCAUAAUUUUUGCACAAAAGUUGGUCUUCAUGACAUCCAUAAGGCAAUGUACUACAACUUUCCACCAUGGCUUCAACACUAGGUGAAUCAACUAGUGUAUCCACAAUCUCAAGUUGUACAUUAUCAUCAGAAAAUGAAGGCACAUUCGGCUCACUUAAAGACAAAUUAUCAUUCACACUUAGUUAACUAUUAUCCUCAUUCACUAGAGUGCAAAAGUUAGUUUGAUUACCUUGUAGCUCAUGUGGAGCAUGGCCACUCAUGGGAAUUGAUUAGGAAGGCUUGGAUGCUCCAUCAAGUUAUCCAACUUCUUGCACAGAGAGCCUUCCGUCUCUUCUAAUCUUUCUUCCAUUCUGUCCAUUAUUUACCUAUCUAUGGCAUCAAACCUUGCCAUGAUGGAUUUAACCCAACUAGGCAUUUCAUCUUCAUUCGCCACUGUACCCAUCAAGAGCUACUAAGCAAACAACACGAAAACAAUAAACACAUUAAAGAUUAGCAAAAAUCAGUCCACGAUUCGUCACAAAACAGUCCACAAUGUGUCUCAAAAUAGUCUACAAUCCCUAUGCAACACCCCGUAAAAGUCGUGCAUGGAUUAGCCUUUAAUAGAGUGUCCUUAGACUUGAAAAUUUUUCUAAGUGUAAUGAGGACUUAGAGUCAUUUUAGCUGGCAAUCUUCGGGAUACAACUUUUCAACCUUUCCGACAUCCGUUUUUAGAUUUUCAAGUUGCGUUAUGAUCGAGAAAGCUCAUAGUACAUCUCGGAUAAGUUUUGGAAUUUUUUGGAACGCAUAAGGCUGCCUUUGGAUUUCAAAACAGUAGCAAAACGCAUAGCCUAUUGCCCAGUUUUCAGCAUUUCAGGGUCAACUUCAAAUGAUCAUUAACUCCCUGUAUAUAAUGAACUGUGUGAGCUAUAAUAUAUCAAACGAAAGAUAUUUGAGUACUCUUUCAAAUUCAGUUGGUUUCAUCCAAUUUGAGUAUAUGAGUAUAAAGUUAUAAUCUAUUUACUCCAGCCUAUCAAACUGUCAACUGAGGGACAGAUUUGGCCUUAAUUGUUCCUUAGGGGUAUUUUGGUCAUCCUCCACCCCUAUAUAUACCACCAACACGGGAUUUAAUCCCUCAAACAACAUAAUACACAUGAUUUCCCCAAAAUUGCUCAAGAACUCUCCUUAGGAUUUCAAAAUAAAAACCCAAAUAGUUCAAGAUUUGGCCGUAGGUUUUCAGAGAUAAUUACAUAUUUGGAUUCAUCAAUCCGCAAGCUUCAAGAAACACCUAUUAUCCUUGGAAAUAGAGGUACGUGGGGUUAUCCAAAAAUCUCAUGGGUGUAUUCUUUAUGAACAUGCAUGCUUUUAAAUGGGGGUUUUCAAUCAAAUGCUAAUAUCUUNNNNNNNNNNNNNNNNNNNNNNNNNNNNNNNNNNNNNNNNNNNNNNNNNNNNNNNNNNNNNNNNNNNNNNNNNNNNNNNNNNNNNNNNNNNNNNNNNNNNNNNNNNNNNNNNNNNNNNNNNNNNNNNNNNNNNNNNNNNNNNNNNNNNNNNNNNNNNNNNNNNNNNNNNNNNNNNNNNNNNNNNNNNNNNNNNNNNNNNNNNNNNNNAUUGAAUAAGAUGAAAUUUGAAUGCAUUGAUUUUACAUGAGAAAGGGGGAUGCCCGAAUAAGGCGUUUGAGACACAAGUGGCUCAUCGCUGGAAGAACAUGUUUGCCAACACGGAAUAUCGGUACCAUACUUUGUGGUCUUGCGUACCUGAUAUUAUAUUAUCUCAAAUUAGGAUUAUGGUUAGGAGCCAUGCUUUGUGGUCUUGUAUACUACCAUAUUUGAUUUGGGUCGAGACACCAUGCUUUGUGGUCUUGUGUGUCUCUCCCUCACUUAUACUCUAAUCUUGGCGGCAACCGGGGUUUGACAGUUGGUGUAAAUUAUGUAGGGUAUUCCACCUAGCUCAGUUGCAUUUCAUUAUUGUUGAGAAAAAUUAUUGCAUUACACCCAUGUGCUUUCAAAUGAUUUGAUACGAAAUUGAUUUAUAAUGGCUCUCAACUAUAUAUUGUAAAAAUAUUAUGUUUUGUUUUGAUAUCUCUGCGUGCCAGUACUUUUGUGCUGACUCUCUCCCCUCUCCAACCUCUCAGGUUCAGAGGCCCAGUCUAGGGGUCAAGAGAAUCAGUAGAUCAUUCAGACAGAGUUGCAGAGACAAGUGGUGAGCCUUCUGUGUUUCAGAAGGUCUUAUGUCCUACAGUCCUUUUAUCUUAUAUUAGUUUUGGGUCUGCUGGGGGCCUUGGCCCAGUUUUCAGAUAGACAUUGUUUCACUCAUGUAGUAGAGAUUUCGCAGACGGUUUUAGAGAUUUUGAUUUAGAUUGUGGGGCACUAUUCCCCAUUUUCAUUUUCAUAUGAUUCCUGGCCAUGUUUCUGUUAUAUUUUGUUUUUCCGCAUUUCUUUGAUCAUAUGAAUUAGGUGCAUGAUUACUAGAUAGAUAGGGGUGUUUCAGGCCUCAAUGGUUCGAAAUCCUUGUCACGGCCAGGCCCUGGUUUGGGUCAUGACACCCUCUCUUUCACACUUUGGAUUUUUCACUCUAUUGGUCUUACAAGUGUUGAUAACUCGCUUAUACUCCAAUGAGGUUACUUGAUCCCAAUUGUGGCUCGAGUUUCGAGUAGAUUCUUGUUUGAAACGACUCAAAUAAGUAAUGUACGAACUUGAACCAAAAAAGAUACUAUGACUCUAAAAAGAGAAAAGCACACAACAAACAACGUUAACACGAAGAACGUACACAAAACUAACUUACAAUCUAGUAUGGUAUUACUAGGUUGUCAAUUAGUGUCGAGCAAACAAACAAAACUAGGAAACAAUAAAAUGAAACUAAGAAAUAUAAAAUUUAAACUCAAAAAUAUUGCGUGAAUAGUACUUUAGUGAUGUGGCAGUCCACUAUUGGCCUCGAGUCUUAUCAAAAUUUUAUUUUCCAAUUUCAAGUCUUAAUCAAUAUAAAAUUUGGAAUUGGUGGAUUUGGUUAAUGGAGAGAAAAGUGGUCUUGGAACCUUUUUGUACAAAUUUCAAAAGCAAAACUUGACUUUUUUGAACUUUCUCCUUGAAACAAGGUCCUUAAAUCAAGGAAACGUAGAUGAAAAGUCUUUGAAGUGAUAGGGACAAGUCAUUCACUAUCAACUACUACAAGAUUGUCUUUCACCUUUUUAGAUCUAGUUUGUACUUUAAGGAUUAACAAGAUGAUGAAAGGGUGAAGAACCUUAAGAAAACAACAACAACUCCAAGAACAACAACAAUUUCAGUUUGCAACUCCACUACAACAAAACCAUCAAAUCAGACAACGUUUAGCUAACAACAACAUCCAACUCGGCCACUCCUUGUUCACAUCAACAACUUUAACAAGUUCAAGUUCAAUCAUAGAUUUGGACACUUUUUAGUGUUGAUGAGAAGGAGACCAACACUAGAAACACUCUAAAAAAAUAAAAGACUACAAGUUCUAGACACACAACAAACAAAUCUUGGCCAAGAUAACAACAACAUAAUUUUUGGCCAAGAACACAAAAUGGACAGAUUUGCACUUUGAAAUUUCUUUUCAGUUUUUAGCUUCUUUUUUUUUUUGAAUUUUGUCCAAGAGAACCCAAGAUUGGUAGUGUAGGAACAGAACCAGCCUUGCUUUGAUACCAAAUGAUAUCAAACUCCACAAGAAUAUGACAACACAAACACCAAAAUCAGUCCACUAGUUCAAGAACUAUGGACCCUUUUGAUGACCUCUCUCGGAUUCGCAAGAAGAACAAGAAGGGAAGUGAUAUCAAGAGUAAAACACACUAAAACAGCAACAACACUUGAUGAACAAGAUGCAAUAACAAAAACACACGGUUACAAGACAAGAACACAAACGGAUUACAUAGAUAUAGACAAACGAUUACAAGAAAGUAAAGAUAGAUAGAUAGACAAAGGAAUGGUAUAAUAUUAACAACCCAAAAUCUUAUUCCACUUUUGGACCUUUAAUAUCACACACAACCUAAACCAAUCUCUUACGUGACCUCAAGAGAACCAGAAUUCCCAAGAAAUCUCCAUUUCUAAAAAAAUGAUCAACACAAGGAUUCCACCUUGUCCAAGGAUUCCACCUUGCUAAAGACUCUCAAAGAUGCUACAAAAUAUAUUCUCCAAAAAUCUCCCAAAAAUGACCUAAUGAGGUUCUGAUACGAGUACGAUCACGAUAAUGGAAACUUUUUGAGUAUUUUGAAGACCACCUAAAGAGUGAACAAGUAUAAGUGUGAACGAGGCCCAAAACCAUCCCAAGCAUACUCCAUGGGCUAUUUUUGGAGCCCUUUUUAAUAAAGGGCCUUUUAGUCUUUUGUCCUUUAUUUUGUAAUAUAAUAUAAAUUGAACAUUAUAGGGUUUUAGUUGGUAGUUUUUAUGAAUGUUGAAGAAAGAAUACUCCUCUUAAAGAGAGAGAGUCCACAACCGAAACUAGGGCAUAGCAUAAGGGUGAAUUCUCUUGUGUGUUGCAUUUUUCUUGAUACGUUGGUGCUUGGGUAGUGGACGCCUAUUUUAAGUCAAUUGUAAGAGUUAGGUGUUUUUUGUGUGAAGUGUUAAAGUUCCAAGAGUAGAAUAUGCUCUUGGGUUGUUAAGACUACAUCAACACUUGUCUAACUAGCUAUCUUAUAUCUUGUUUUAGUUUCAGCUUCUUGUGUUGUUAAUGUAACCCAUUUGUUCUUGUUGCUAUUGUAAUAUUGUGGAGCUUCAUCUUGUGUUGCUAAACUUGCUGUUGGCUGGCUGUUUUGGUGUAUUAACACCUUGUAUCUUCUUCCUUAUUGUUCUAGAUAGUGAAUCCGAGAGAGGUCCCCAUUUGGUCCAUGAUUUGUUGUGAUUUGUGGACUGUUUUGGGGUGUGAUUUCAUGUUCCCUUGUUUGUUUAGUAUCAUUUGGUAUCAAAGAAAGGCUGGUUUUUGUUUCCACAAAGCCAAUCUUGGGUUUGAUUAUUUAAAAAAAAUUAAUAAAAACUGAAAAAUUCCAGAAAAUAGCAAUCGUCCAUUUUAGUGUUCUUGGUAAAAAAUUGUAUUGUGUUGUUGUCUUGGCCGAGAUUUUCUUAUUUUUCUUGACUAGAUCUUGCAGUUCUUUUGUUAUUCUAGUGUGUUUCUAGUGUUGGUUCUUUCUCACAAACACUAAAAGUGUCUAGAUCUAAAGGUUGAGCUUAUAAUAUUAACAUUGUUGUUGUGAACUUGAAGUGGCCAUGUGUUGAUCCUUAUUAUUGAAGGUUGGUGUUGUUGUUGUUGAGUUCUUGAGCUUCAAAUUGUGUUAUUAUUGUGAAUUGGUGGCUUAAAAACCUCUUGUUGAAGUUGUUGUUGAAAGAUGGAACUUGACAAAGUGUUGAUUGAAAUGUAAGACCAACUUGAACCUUAGACUCCAAGAUUCAAAAGUUUGUGUUCUUGGUGUUCUUCACCAAUCAUCAUCUUUUAUUGAAAAAAAAAGUGGAUGUUAGAUCUAAGAGGGUGAAGGAAGGAGGUGUAGUAUUUGUUAGUCAUCAAAGACUUUUACCACUACUUCCAACCACUCAAAGACUUCAGAACCAUUUUCCAACCAACUUCCACGUUUUGAGGGCCUUAUUUUAAGGGAAAAUACUACAAAAGUCCAAGUCUUCAAACUUGAGUUGAAAAAGAGUUCCAAGACUUAUUCUUUCCCUCCUUACAUAAUACCACCAAUCCAGAUCAAAAAUUGGUCAAGACUUGAACCUUGGACAAUAAAACUUGAUAAAAUCGUGACCAAUUGAGGGUUGCCACGUCAUCACAUAUUAGUGUUCACCAACAAUUUUUAAGCUCAAAUUUUAGAUUUCUUAGUUUUAUUUUAUUGUUUCUUUAGUUUCGUUUGUUGAUUCCAUUACUAACUUACAAGCUAGUACUAGAAUGUAAGUUAGUUUUGAAAUCGUUCUUCGUGUAUACGUUCCUUUGUGUGUCUUAUUCUCUUGACUCGUUGUAAUACUUGGUCCACCUCUCAAUGCCUCAUGGAGUACAAGAAAAGUUAUGAAACUUGUGAGAUCAAAGUGUGAAAAAUCCAACAGACAAAACAAUAGAGAGGGAGUGUGAGGAUCAUUCUUUUACAACUAACUUGUUCGUUGUUUUGUAGGUAACUUUUGGCCAUAAUGGAAACCAUUUUUGCCCUCCUUGAUGCUUUGUCCCGAGAUCUUUCUAUGGCAAAUGUGGGUCUUGAAAAAAUUGACUCGGAUAUGGUAACUAUGAGUGAGAGAUUGGAUCAAAUGGUAAGUCGAUGGAACUCUCAUGAUUUUACUCCCGAAACUUUACUUCCAAUGACCAAUUCUCUAAGACCACCACAUAAUGCCACAAUCCAAGCUCCAAAUAGCCCUCAAAACCGAGAAUAAGAUAGACCACUUCCCCCACAAGUUGAUCUAGUCCGACAAGGAGGACCUGGAAGCAAAUUUUCUCCCAUCCAAACUCCACAACCGAAACCCCACUUAACCAAAGCAAGCUUCUUAACCGAAGCUCCACUACACCAAACCCGACAUAUCCAUAUAGAGAAGAAUGGUAGAAAGGAACAUGAAGGAUAUGGGGUCUUCGACAAUGCUUAUAUGAUGGUAGGAGACUUGUUUUGCAUGAGAUUAAAGACAAGGCUCAAGAUGGAGAGGAAGCCGAUGUUCAAAAUAAAGAUGUUAGCCAAGACUUAUUCUCAUUGUAUCCUCGGGUUCCCUUUGUUUUGUUUUGCGGACUGUUUUGGGUAGUUUCUUUUGGAGGGCCAAUUGCACGAGGUAAAGCCAUGAAUUUGUGGUCAAAUUCCUCUCAAGAUGGAGAGUAUGAUACAAGUACAAUCACGAUCAUGGACACUUUUUGAGUAUUUUGAAGACCACCUAAAGAGUGCACAAGUAUAAUUGUGAAGGAGGCCCAAAACCGUCCCAAACACACUCCAUGGGCUGUUUUUGGAGCCCUUUUCAUUAAAGGGUCUUUUAGUCUUUUUUCUUUUAUUUUGUAAUAUAAUAUAAAUUGAACAUUAUAGGAUUUUAGUUGGUAGAUUUUAUGAAUGUUGAAGAAAGAACACUCCUUUUAGAGAAAGAGAGUCCACAACCAAAACUAGGGCAUAGCAUAAGGGUGGAUUCUCUUGUGUGUUGCAUUUUUCUUGAUACGUUGGUGCUUGGGUAGUGGACGCCUCUUUUAUUUCAGUUGAAAGAGUUAGGUAUUUUUUGUGUGAAGUGUUAAAGUUUCAAGAGUAUAAUAUGCUCUUAGGUUGUUAAGACUACAUCAACACUUGUCUAACUAUCUAUCUUGUAUCCUGUUUUAGUUUCAGCUUCUUGUAUUGUUAAUGUAAUCCAUUAGUUCUUGUUGCUAUUCUAAUAUUGUGGAGCUUCAUCUUGUAUUGCUAAACUUGUUGUUGGUUGGCUGUUUUGGUGUAUUAACACCUUGUAUCUUCUUCCUUAUUGUUCUAGAUAGUGAAUCCGAGAGAGGUCCCCAUUUGGUCCACGAUUUGUUGUGAUUUGUGGACUGUUUUGGGGUGUGAUUUCAUGUUCCCUUGUUUGUUCUGUAUCAUUUGGUAUCAAAUCAAGGAUGGUUUUUGUUUCCACAAAUCCAAUCUUGGGUUUGAUUAUUUAAAAAAAUUUAAUAAAAACUGAAAAAUUCCAGAAAAUAGCAAUCAUCCAUUUUUGUGUUCUUGGUCAAAAAUUGUGUUGUGUUGUUGUCUUGGCCGAGAUUUUCUUAUUUUUAUUGUCUAGAUCUUGUAGUUCUUUUGUUAUUCUAGUGUGUUUCUAGUGUUAGUUCUUUCUCACCAACACUAAAAGUGUCUAGAUCUAAAGGUUGAGCUUAUAAUAUUGACAUUGUUUUUGUGAACUUGAAGUGGCUAUGUGUUGAUCCUUAUUAUUGAAGGUUGGUGUUGUUGUUGUUGAGUUCUUGAUCUUGAACUUGUGUUAUUAUUUUGAAUUGGUGGCUUAAGAACCUCUUGUUGAAGUUGUUGUUGAAAGGUGGAACUUGACAAAGUGUUGAUUGAAAUGUAAGACCAACUUGAACCUUAGACUCCAAGAUUCAAAAGUUUGUGUUCUUGGUGUUCUUCACCAAUCUUCAUCUUUUAUUGAAAGAAAAAAGUGGAUGUUAGAUCUAAGAGGGUGAAGGAAGGAGGUGUAGUAUUUGUUAGUCAUCAAUGACUUUUACCACUACUUCCAACCACUCAAAGACUUCACAACCAUUUUCCAACUAACUUCCAUGUUUUGAGGGCCUUGUUUUAAGGGAAAAUACUACAAAAGUCCAAGUCUUCAAACUUGAGUUGAAAAAGAGUUCCAAGACUUAUUCUUUCCCUCCUUAAACAAUUCCACCAAUCCAGAUCAAAAAUUGGUCAAGACUUGAACCUUGGACAAUAAAACUUGACAAAAUCGUGACCAAUUGAGGGUUGCCACGUCAUCACAUUUUUAGUGUUCACCAACAAUUUUUAAGUUCAAAUUUUAGAUUUCUUAGUUUUAUUUUAUUGUUUCUUUAGUUUCGUUUGUUGAUUCCAUUACUAACUUACAAGAUAGUACUAGAAUGUAAGUUAGUUUUGAAAUCGUUCUUCGUGUAUACAUUCCUUUGUGCGUCUUAUUCUCUUGAAUCGUUGUAAUACUUGGUCCACCUCUCAAGGCCUCAUGGAGUACAAGCAAGGUUAUGAAACUUGUGAGAUCAAAGUGUGAAAAAUCCGACAGACAAAACAAUAGAGAGGGAGUGUGAGGAUCAUUCUUGUACAACUAACUUGUUUGUUGUUUUGUAGGUAACUUUUGGCGAUAAUGGAAACCAUUUUUGCCCUCCUUGAUGCUUUGUCCCGAGAUCUUUCUAUGGCAAAUGUGGGUCUUGAAAAAAUUGACUCGGAUAUGGUAACUAUGAGUGAGAGAUUGGAUCGAAUGGUUAGUCGAAGGAACUCUCAUGAUUUUACUCCCGAAACUUUACUUCCAGUGACCAAUUCUCUAAGACCACCACAUAAUGCCACAAUCCAAGCUCCAAAUAGCCCUCAAAACCGAGAAUAAGAUAGACCACUUCCCCCGCAAGUUGAUCAAGUCCAACAAGGAGGACUUGGAAGCAAAUUUCCUCCCAUCCAAACUCCACAACCGAAACCCCACUUAACCAAAGCAAGCCUCUUAACCGAAGCUCCACUACACCAAACAUGAGAUGUCCAUAUAAAGAAGAAUGGUAGAAAGGAACAUGAAGGAUAUGGGGUCUACAAAAAUGCUUAUAUGAUGGUAGGAGACUUGUUUUGGAUAAGGUUAAAGACAAGGCUCAAGAUGGAGAGGAAGCCGAUGUUCAAAAUGAAGAUGUUAGCCAAGACUUGUUCUCAUUGUAUCCUCGGGUUCCCUUUGUUUUGUUUUGCGGACUGUUUUGGGUGGUUUCUUUUGGAAUGCCAAUUGCACGAGGUGAAUGCAUGAAUUUGUGGUCAAAUUCCUAUCAAGAUGGAGAGGAUGAUACAAGUACGAUCAUGCUCAUGGACACUUUUUGAGUAUUUUGAAGAACACCUAAAGAGUGCACAAGUACAAGUGUGAAGGAGGCCCAAAACCGUCCCAAACAUACUCCAUGAGCUAUUUUUGGAGCCCUUUUCAUUAAAGGGUCUUUUAGUCUUUUGUCUGUUGUUUUGUAAUAUAAUAUAAAUUGAACAUUAUAGGAUUUUAGUUGGUAGUUUUUAUGAAUGUUGAAGAAAGAACACUCCUCUUAGAGAGAGAGAGUCCACAACCGAAACUAGGGCAUAGCAUAAGAGUAGAUUCUCUUAUGUGUUGCAUUUUGCUUGAUUCGUUGGUGCUUGGGUGGUGGACGCCUCUCUUGUGUCAAUUGUAAAAGUUAGCUGUAUGUUGUGUGAAGUGUUAAAGGUCCAAGAGUAGAAUAUGCUCUUGGGUUGUUACGACUACAUCAACACUUGUCUAACUGUCUAUUUUGUAUCUUCUUUUAGUUUCGGCUUCUUGUGUUGUUAAUGUAACCCAUUUGUUCUUGUUGCUAUUGUAAUAUUGUGGAGCUUCAUCUUGUGUUGGUAAACUUGUUGUUGGCUGGCUGUUUUGGUGUAUUAACACCUUGUAUCUUCUUCUUUCUUGUUCUAGAUAAUGAAUCCGAGAGAGGUCCCAUUUGAUCUACGAUUUUUGUGAUUUGUGGACAAUUUUGGGGUGUGAUUUCGUGUUCCCUUGUUUGUUUUGUAUCAGUUUCUAUUUAUAACUAGGUUAACUUAUUACAAAUGACUAAAAAACUCUUGCAAAGGGCGGAUGAACAGUGAACGCGGAUGAACAGUGAAACAGUUUUGGAGCUUGUAGGACUUGUUUCUACACUUCAAAGCUUGUUCCUUGGAUGGGCAGCCCUCCGAGCUCAAGUCUUGACGCAUUGGACCCCGAUCAUUGAUCUUACCCGUAUCAUAGGCACAGAAGUGGACAAAGUCGAGGAGAACUCCUGGCAUUCUAUGAGUGGAUAGAUCGCAUACGCUGGACAGCCCUAGUGUCCAGUCUAGCUUGCACACACCUCGACUAAUUCCACUAAGUUCCUUCAACCUCCCACGAACGCGGGUACCAGAUAACUCUGUCCCCGAAGGCUUUGACAUAUAGGAAGAAAUCUCCUAGUGUUUUUUGCCUCUCACUUGGAUUUAGAACUAUACCUCAUGGUUCUCGACUCAUUUCAUUGACCACUGGGCCAUACCCUCGUAUGGGUGCCAAUGUUAUUUCGAUGGACUUAGAUUGAUGUGAGAGACCAGGAUGUUACAAUUGGAGCUGUUGACACUAACAGGUACUGCAUAUUUUUAAUGGAUCCGAGCAACAUAGGUUAUAAAAGAAGUGAAUCUAUAAGUACCAACCGGUACUACAAUAAAUACUUUCAAGGAGAAAAAUAUACUAAAUACACAUGAAUAUAAGUUUCAAACAACAAAUUAAUGAAGAAAGGGCAGGCCAGAGAACUAAAGCUACCGCUAUGCGCGGUGUCCGGGGAAGGGCCCCACCACAAGGGUGUAUCGUAUGCCGCCUUACCUUGCAUUUCUGCCAGAGGCUGUUUCCAAGGCUAGAAGCCGUGACAUGACAACAACUUUACCUGUUAUUCCAAGGCUCCCCUUCCAUGAAACAUAAAAGAAAUAACAAAUAAGUUCUAUUUAUGAUAAUAUAGAAUGGAAAAAAAGAGUUGACUUUAAAGAAAUGGGAUGACAACUCCAAUAAGUUGACCUUGGAUUUGUGUCUAUCAAGGAAAAUAUAAUAUUAUAACACCUGUUUUUUAACCUCUCCCCCUUGUAUUUUACCACAUAGUUACUGCCACAGGUAGAAAGCAUCUCGAGAGAAUCAUACAGGAAUAUAUGUAGAGGGAUCCUUUAACAAAUAUUAAACCAAUUAAACUAAAUCAUCAUCCAGUUCCCACAAUAAAAAUUGUUUCAUGAAGGAUAAAAAGUACACCACAACUUAGAAGACAUUACAACAUAAAUUCAUCGAAUCAAACUCCCAUAUUGGAUAGAAACCGAUUGAAUACUCUUGUUGCUCGUCCUCUCCUUGUCUUCUUUUUUCCAAAAGCUGCUCGAAGAAUCCAGGAUACUUAGUCGAGAUCAAGCCUUCUCACUCUAGCGUCUUGCUAUAACAAAGAAAUAUAAAUUAGAAAUAUAAAAUCUCCCAUUUACAAUCAAAUCAUGUCAAUUAAAGCAUAGAAAUAUCAAGAGGAAUUGUUUAAGUAUACAUUUUUACAUUAGUGAUAUAUAUGUUAGAGGAAUUGUUACAAAGAAAUCAACAAACUAGAAAAUAAAAUUGCAAAGAGAACACCUCGAAAUGUUAGUUCAUAUUAAAUUUUCUUUUUCACAAUUCAAUAAAAUUUACUCCACUAUAUCAAAAAUAAAUGUUAAUAAUACUUGUCCAUUUUGAAACCGAUGGAUAAUUUACCCAUUUUACCCUUAGCAUUAAAUACGAUUCAUUAUCCAAUGUGUUUUUCAAAGCAUUAGAUUUAGUAGAUUCAAAGGGUAAUAUGGUAAAACUAGCCCUAUCAUUUACUAUUUCUUAGUGGACAACUAUUGAUAGACGAAGGUAGUAACAAUUAGACCAAAUGUGCUCACAUUUAGAAAGCUUAAACUAAAGUACCAAAAUUGCUCAAAAAUAUAUUAAAGGGGACAUUUUGAACUUCCUUCAAAUAUAAGAGAUAUUCUUGUUAAUUUCUGUUACAUUUUAAGUAGAGUAUUAACCAAAUUUUGUCAAGGUUAUUUUUGUGUAAGAAUAUGGGGUAAAGCUAAAUAACUUUUGCGUAUGACUUGACUUGUGGAAAUGAGAAACAGAGUGUGACCCAGAUAAAUACUAUAUACUUACGUGGAUUGGAGAUACGAACAUCCACGGGGUUGUUUCCAAUGUCUUCUUGUUCUUGUUGAAUUCGUGCAGCAGAUUCCCCAAGUUCGGGAAGAUAACUUGUUAACUCAAUCAGUUGUAGUGUGUGUAUUUCUGCAAACUCAACGGGUAUCUCUUUUAAAUUAUGGCAUUUGUUAAGCACAAGGCGCUCAAGGAUAGGAAAAUUGUCAUUUGUGGCUUUCCAGUGUUAGCCCAUAUGUUAUUGGGCCUUUAGUUUAUGGACCUUUAGGUUAUUGGCUAUGUAUAUAUAUAGCCUACUUUUGUUUUAGUUAUUUUUCAUGCUUUUCAGAUUAUAUUGUAAACCUUAGCCUUUCUUUCUUUCAAUAAAGUUCUAUUAACAUGGUAUCAGAGCUAGUUUGAUCCAUGUCCUUUGAUUUGUUGGUUGAAGAUUUUGUAGCAGGCACCUACUGCGCGGAUCGAACUGUCAUUGUUCGUCUUUCGUUCUUUUGCUUGCUGCCAUUGUUGUUCGUUCGGAAUUGUUCAACCUAGGGUUUUGCAUCUUUUUGUUUUUUUGAAUUGUUUGUGUGUUGCUGUGUUUACAAUGACUGGAAAGGAUGAUUCUCUCCAGUCCAUUAGUACUCAAUUAGAUGGUAAGAACUAUGCCUAUUGGAGUUAUGUCAUGAAGAAUUUUCUUCGUGGGAAGAAUAUGUGGGGUUAUAUCACUGGAGUAAAACUAAGACCUAUCGAUGAUAAAACUGAAAAUUUUGAUUUGUUGGUGGACUUAUGGGAAACUAAUAACUCCAAGAUUAUCACUUGGAUCAACAAUUCUGUAACUCAGUCAAUUGGUAUGCAAUUGGCUAAGUAUGACACAGCAAAGGAGGUCUGGGAUCAUUUGGAAAGACUGUACACUCAGUCUAAUUUUGCUAAGCAGUACCAGUUGGAGUAUGAUAUCCGUGCUCUUCAACAGCAUGAUCUCAGUAUUCAAGAUUUUUAUGCUGCCAUGUCGGAUUUGUGGGAUCAAUUGGCACUUACUGAAUCUGCAGAGUUAAAAGGUUUUGGGCCGUACAUUGCUAGACGGGAAGAGCAACGCUUGGUUCAGUUUUUGAUGGCACUACGUUCUGACUUUGAGGGCCUACGUGGAACAAUCCUUCAUCGAUCUCCCCUCCCUACUGUUGAUUCUGUGGUUCAUGAACUGAUUGCAGAGGAGACUCGUAUCAAGUCUCAAGUGGAUAAAGGGUCUAAAGUAACUACUACUCCUGUCGUGUUUGCUGCUUCAACUGAUCAGUCUAGGCCACCACGUACUCAGACUCGACAAUCUCCUAAAGUUGCAUUUGAUGAGUGUGCAUUCUGCAAACAGAAAAAUCAUUGGAAGGCUCAGUGUCCGUUGUUACUUAACAAGGUCAAACAGCCUCAAUCUGGGCAGCAACAGAAAUAUGGGCAGCAAAAGUCUCCGUCACGCUCCUCUGGUGCUCCUCCAUGGUCAUCUCGUCCUCCACAGUUCGCUGCUGCUGCACCAUCUGUAGAUGUUGAGUCUGUUAGCACUAUGCCACCUUCUGCGUUGGAUCCCCAGGUUUUCGAACAGUUCAGACAGUUCUUCGUUUCUAAUCCUACGGCCAUGUCAGCAUCUAUGUCUCAUUCGGGUUCAGUUUCUUCUAGUACCUCAGGUAUUCCUUCCUCCUUGUGGAUAUUGGAUUCUGGUGCGUCUCAUCACAUGUCCCCUCAUUUGUCAUCGUUUGGUUCUUUGUCACCCAUUUCACCAAUCUCUGUUAUGUCCGCGAGUGCUGUACCUAUGUCAGUCGAGGGUGUUGGUUCUGUUACUACCCCUCACAUUGUCCUCUCUGAUGUUUAUUACAUUCCCAAACUUGCUUUAAAUCUUGUUUCGGUCAGUCAGUUGUGUAAGGCUGGUAAUUGGGUGUUUUUUUCUGAUUCUGUUUGUGUUAUACAGGACCAACACACUCAGAGGGUGAUUGGGACCGGCCGUAGGUUGGGGGAACUCUAUGUCUUGGAGAAUCUCAAAGUGUCUGUAGUUGCUGCCUCUAGCAUAGAUUUAUCUUCUUUUCGUUUGAGUCCUUUGUCUUCUCAGUUUUAUCUUUGGCAUUCCAGAUUAGGACAUGUGUCAGUUUCACGUUUACGUUUUUUGGUCUCUAGUGGUGCUUUGGGUCAUGUGAACACUAGUGAUAUUUCAGAUUGUAGUGGUUGUAAACUGGCAAAAUUUUCUGCCUUACCGUUUAAUAAAAGUGUGUCUUAUUCUGUUGCUCCUUUUGAUAUUAUUCAUUCUGAUGUAUGGGGACCAGCGCCAGUAUCCACUAAGGGUGGAUCGACCUAUUAUGUUUCGUUUAUAGAUGACUAUACUCGUUAUACCUGGGUGUAUCUUAUGAAACGCAGAUCUGAUUUCUUUGGCAUUUACAACAACUUUAGAGCCCUUGUUAAAACACAACAUUCGGCUGUGAUAAAGUGUUUCAGGUGUGACUUAGGGGGUGAAUAUACCUCUAAUGACUUCACUCAGUUACUUGCCUCUGAUGGUACCAUACACCAGUCAUCUUGUACCGACACUCCUGAGCAGAACGGUCUGGCAGAAAGAAAACAUCGUCAUAUUGUUGAGACAGCACGCUCUUUACUUUUGUCUGCAGAGGUUCCUAGUAUUUUUUGGGGAGAAGCAGUUCUAACUGCUGUAUAUGUGAUUAAUCGUAUUCCUACUGCAUUGACUUCAGGGAUGUCUCCGUUUGAGAAACUAUAUGGUCACCCGCCGAAUUAUUCUGCAUUACGAGUUUUUGGAUGUACUUGCUUUGUUCUUCGUCCUCAUGUUGAACGAAAUAAGUUAGGGUCAAAAUCAGCUAUAUGUGUGUUUUUGGGGUAUGGUAUUGGACAAAAAGGAUAUCGUUGCUAUGAUCCUGUAAGUCAGAAAUUAUAUGUUUCACGACAUGUCACUUUUUUGGAACAUAUUCCUUUUUAUUCCAUUCCAGCUAAAACCCAUGAUGUGACAAAGUCAGAUAUUCGGCUUAUUGAUCCCUUUGGGAUUGACAUAGAGGUUCCAGUUCCGGAUUCAUCCAUGCCAUCUGGUGUGCCACCUGAUAGUGCUUCAGCCUCGCCUGUGCCUGAGUCUGCUCCUUCGACUGUUGAGACUGGAGACCCACCACCUCUGAGGAGGUCUACUCGACCUUGUAAGUCCACCAAACUGCCAGAUUUUUACUAUUCUACAUAUUCAGCCUCAUUUGCUUCCUUUAUUGCAAACAUACAUCAUUUGUCUGAACCUGAGUCGUAUAGAGAGGCUGUGUCUGAUCCUCUUUGGCAGAAUGCUAUGGCUGAGGAACUUGCUGCUCUUCAUCAUACACAUACAUGGGAUUUGGUUACUCUCCCACCUGGUAAGCAUGCGAUUGGUUGUCGAUGGGUGUAUAAGAUAAAAACAAAAUCUGAUGGGUCUGUUGAGCGAUACAAGGCAAGACUUGUGGCAAAAGGGUACUCACAAAAAUAUGGUAUGGAUUAUGAGGAGACUUUUUCCCCCGUAGCAAAGAUGACGACUGUUCGCACUAUGAUUGCUGUUGCAUCCGUUCGACAGUGGCAGAUAUUUCAGAUGGAUGUCAAGAAUGCUUUUCUGAAUGGUGAUCUCCACGAGGAAGUUUAUAUGACUCCUCCCCCAGGUAUUGACCACCAGCCAGGUGAAGUUUGUCGGCUUCGAAAAGCUUUAUACGGUCUCAAACAAGCCCCUCGUGCUUGGUUUGAGAAAUUCUCCACUGUUAUUACUUCCCUUGGAUUUGUCCCGAGUAACCAUGAUUCAGCAUUGUUUGUUAGAUGUACAAGUGCAGGGCGAAUUCUAUUGUCCUUAUAUGUAGAUGAUAUGAUUAAUACUGGUGAUGAUCAUAGUGGUAUUGAGUUAUUGAAGCAUGAUUUGGCUCAUCGAUUUGCAAUGAAGGACUUGGGCUUGCUGCGUUAUUUUCUGGGUAUUGAGGUGGCUCAGUCUAAGAAAGGGUAUCUUCUUUCUCAGACUAAGUAUAUAUCUGACUUGUUUACACGGGCGCGUCUUUCUGACAACAGGACUGUAGAUACUCCCCUUGAAACCAAUGCACGUUACUCUCCUAGUGUAAGACUCAUGUAGCUUAUAAGUGGAGUCUUUUGUAAAAUGUUGUGAUGAUGAAUGAAUGAAAAGCUACUGCUCAAACCUUCCUUUUUUCUACUCUUAAGCUCCAAAUUAUAACAGUGGUAUCAGAGCCGAUCUUCUUGAGGCAUCUGUGAAGGCUUAAAGAUAAGUUUUUUUCAGAUCUUCUAAAAAAAAGAGACCUGAACAGCAGCAUGGCAUCCAACAGCUUCUUGGGUGCAGGUCCUCUUACGUUUACAGGAUAAAAUUAUCGCAUAUGGGUCAUAAAGAUGAAGGCUUAUCUUAAAGCUCUUAGUCUAUGGGAAGCAGUUGAAAGUGAAAAUGAUCCCCCUCCAUUGGGACCAAAUCCAACUGUUGCACAAAUGAAGAAUUAUGAAGAUGCAAAGUCCAAGAAACCAAAGGCUCUUACUUGUCUUCAUUCAGCACUUUUAGAUGUGAUUUUCACAAAAAUAAUGGCUUGUGAAACACCUAAAGAAGUAUGGGAGAAGCUAAAUGAGGAGUUUGAUGGAAGUGAAAGAGUGAAAUCUGUCAAACUCUUAACUCUCAAAAAAGAAUUUGAGAUGUUAAGGAUGAAAGAAGGAGAUACCGUGAAGGAGUACUCUGCCAAACUUCUGAAAAUUGUAAAAAAAAUAAGAUUAUUUGGUGAAACUUUUCCAGAUUCAAAGGUGGUGGAGAAGAUGAUGAUAAUAUUACCAUCAAGGUUCGAGUCCAAUAUUUCAGCAAUAGAGGAAUCUUGUGAUUUGAAGACUUUGUCUGUCGCAGAGCUGAUUAGCAAAUUGCAAGCCCAAGAACAAAGAACAAGUAUAAGAGAUGAAGAAGUAGAAGAAAUGGCAUUUCAAGCAAAGCACAAAGACAAGCAACCUGUGAAGGACAAUAGGAGAAUGGAAGGAGAUAAAGCGGCAAAGAAAAAGUCAUGGACUAAAUCUUCACAGAAAGGAAAGUUUCCACCUUGCCUCCACUGUAAAAGAACCAAUCAUCAAGAAAAGGAUUGUUGGUUCAAAGGAAAGCCAUCAAUUCAGUGCAGAUUUUGUAGAAAAAUGGGUCAUAUUGAGAAGAAUUCAGGGCAAAGAAGAAUCAGCCACAACAACAUGUUCAUGUUCAGCAGGAAAAUUUCACUGAAGAGUCAGAAAAGGAAGAAAGCUUGUGACGCUCAUGAAGAAAAAAAAUUCAACCAAUCCAAAUGGUUCCUAGAUAGUGGGUGCACGAGUCACAUGUCAUAUAAUGAGCUUAUGUUUCACACACUUGACAAGUCACUUAAAGCUAAAGUUAGGAUGGAAAUGGUGCAACAUUAGAAGCACAUGGAAAGGGUUCAGUUUCCUUUCAAACUAAACAAGGUACAAAGCUUAUACAUAAUGUGUUGUAUGUUUAUUCUUUAGCAUGUAAGCUGUUGAGUGUUGGCCAAAUGAUGUCUAAAGGCUACUCCUUACUUUUUAAGGGAAAGCAUUGUUUGAUCUUUGAUAUUGAUGAUACUUUGAUUGACAAAGUAGAAAUGGUAGAUAGGAUCUUUCCAGUUGAUGGAAAGUUUGAUAGUGCCAAUUUUUGUAAAAUUAGAUGAUUCAUGGCUAUGGCACAGAAGAUAUGGGAAUUUUAACUAUGCUACUUUAAAAUCUAUGUAUGAGAAGGGCUUGACUAAGGAUUUACCUGAGAUCUUAGUUUCUAUAGAAGUAUGUGGGUCAUGUCAGAUAGGAAAGGUUCACAGGAAAUCAUUUCCUAAAAGUGCUUCAUGGAGGGUAACUGAAAAGCUUGAACUUAUUCACACUGUAUGUGGACCUAUGAAGACAUCAUCCCUGGGUCAAAAUAAAUAUUUUCAGUUUUUCAUUGAUGACUUCACAAGGAUGACUUAGGUGUAUUUUGUCAGUAACAAAUCUCAAGUAUUUUCAGUUUUCAAGAAGUUUAAAGCUUCCGCUGAAAGACAGAGUGGCUACAAACUGAAGGCUUUAAGGUCAGACAAUGGAGGUGAAUAUACUUCAAAUGAGUUCAACAAGUAUUGUGAAGAUGCAGGGAUUAAUCACAAGCUGACAGUAAGUUAUUCACCAGAACAAAAUAGAGUCUCGGAGAGGAAAAACAGGACGGUAGUUGAAAUGGCUAGAUAUUUGGUGCUUGAAAAGAAACUACCACAAAAUUUUUGGGCAAAAGUUGUUUCUACUUCAGUUUAUUUGUUGAAUAGGCUUCCAACCAAAGCUAUGGAUGGUAAAACUCCUAUUGAGGUAUGGAAUGGAAAAAGGUCAUCUGCCAAUCACGUAAAAAUCUUUGGUUCAAUAUGCUAUUCUCAUGUUCCUUCAGUGAGAAGAAGCAAGCUUGAACUGAAAGGUGAAUUGGGGAUCUUUAUUGGUUAUUCAUUGCAAGCCAAAGGUUAUAGAGUUUUCAACUUGCAAACAAAAGGCAUUUCCAUCAGAACAGAUGUAGUGGUGGAUGAGUAUGCUUAUUGGAACUAGGAUAAGAAGCAAGUUGAAAAAGAAAAUGCAGAUUAUUUGAACUUGAAUCCGCUGCCUGAAAUACAACCAUUUGGCUCUGAAAAUCUAGAAGAAGCUGAAGAAUCAAACGGUGAAUCCUCACUUGAUUCGCCAAUUGUGAAGACAAGGUCCUUUCUGAGAUAUAUGAAAGAUGCAAUGUUUCAAUCAUGGAACCCAAUAUCUAUCAAGAAGCAUCAAAACAUGAAUUUUGAAUUGAAGCCAUGAAGGAGGAGAUUGGUAUCAUAGAGAAGAAUGACACUUGAAAGCUGGUUGAUAAGCCCAAGACAGAAAUGUAAUAGGUGUGAAAUGGGUUUAUAGAACCAAAAUUAAUCUAGAUGGUUCAGUUAAUAAACACAAAGCAAGGCUUAUUGUGAAAGGUUAUGUGCAAGUUGCAAGUCUGGAUUAUGGAGACACAUUUGAACCUGUUGUAAGACAUGAUACGAUACGACUUCUAUUUACUUUGGCAGCUCAAUCAAAUUGGAAGUUGUACCAUCUGGAUGUGAAGUCGGCAUUCUUAAAUGGACCAUUGCAGGAACAAAUUUAUGUCGACCAACCGGAAGGCUUUCAAGUUGGAGGAAUGGAAGAUAAAUUUUACAGACUACAUAAGGCGUUGUAUGGAUUAAAAUAGGCUCCUCAAGCAUAGUACAGUAUGAUGAUGAUGAUGAAUGAAUGAAAAGCUACUGCUGAAACCUUCCUUUUUUCUUCUCUUAAGCUCCAAAUUAUAACAACAGAUGGGAAAAUUGUGUGAAAGGUGUAAUAUCUAAGUCAUUUCUUUUUUCACGAUGUUAUUUACCAGAGCAUCGUUAGCAUGAUGGACAGCUCACAGAUCAUGAACGAAUAGUGAAUAUUGUAUAAUUAAUGUAACUAUGUAUCGUUGUAUAUAAGUGUAAUUAUAGAUAUUUGAUUUGGUAACCAAAGAGAAUAAAUAUUGUGAUAGAAUAGCUGCGGAUUUAGAGGGAUAGAAUAGUUGAUCUUUAGGGAUAGGAAAGACGGAUCUUUAGGGAUGUAAUCUUUGAAUACUUUCUAUUUAACGACAAGACUCUCAAUAUUGAGAAUCAUUCAGCAAAAAAUUGGCAUAGUUCGUCGACAAUCAGUCCUUAACUCCUAGGACUUUUGAUCUCGAUCAUUCCGGUUUUUUUUUUCAGUCAUAGUAUUUCUAGUUUUCGCAGCUAUUCAAGAAUAUGUCUUCACAUCAAUUUGAAUCAUUCAGUGUUCGUUUCACUGGAAAAAAUUAUUCAUACAGGGAAUUGCGAUUUCAAUUAUUUGGUACCGGAUAAGAACUAUGGCGCCAUAUAGAUGGAAUCGAUCCCUAUCCCGCUGAUCCUAAAAAGUUAGGUGAAUGGAUGAUUAAAGAUGCUCGGGUGAUGACAAAUCUCUCCUUUUCCCCGUGAACCAUCUAUCUUUUUGAAAAAUUAAAAGAAAAAAGAGACCUUUAGUCUUUGUAUUUGUAUUUGUUUAUUUGAGAGAUCAGCAAAGUUGGGUCAGUGGACACUUUUAGGAUGUGAUAAUGACCACUAAUCUCCUUUUGAUAAAGUCGAAAGAAGUCAAGUGGGAACUUCAGUUUAUUCUUUGUGUUCUUUAUCAAAUGCAUCUUUAUGCAUAAUCGAAAACCUUUUGAUGAAAAUCUUGCAGAAAUAAGUGCAACUAUACUUGUCUAACAGCCGGGCUGGCCUGUUUACAGCGCGGCCCAAGACAGCACGUAGACCGGUAAGGAGGCCGGGCCAGUUAUGAUAAAAGGAAGGGGAUUGUGAAACAAGCCAUACAACUUGAGUUGAUUAGUUCAUACAUAAAACUAACUUGAGCUGAUUAGUGGACACUUUUAGGAUUUUGAGAAAUUAAGAGAUAUGGAUUAUGCUGCUAUUACUUGUCUUAAGAGAACCAUACACCAACCAAUGGAAUUGACAGCAUGUGAUUUCCAACCAUUCUACAAAAAGCUUGAAACUUUGAGAGCUAUUCUGGAGAAACCAUGGAAAGCAACAGAUGAUCUCGAGGCAUCAACAAGUUUGGAAGCUGAAAUCACUGAUAUAGCAUACACAGCAGAAGAUAUGGUUGACUCAGAAUCAAGAAAUGUUUUUUUAGCACAAAGGCCACCAUUAAAAAGUAAUGGCAUGAAUGAGCCGAUUUUGUAACGGCAAUGGCAUGAAUGAGCCAAACUCGUAACUGAUCGCAUAAAUGAGCCAUUUUUGAUAGUUCAAUGGCAUAUUUGAGCCCUUUCCCUAUAUUUCCCAAGAAACAUUGCUUUUCUCAAAGUUCUUGAGAAAUAAUUCCAGGGAGUUCUUGAGAAAUAAUUCCAGGGAGCUAUCAUUUUCUUGAAAAGCGAGAAAUUCUUCUCUGUGUUCACUAAUUAGAGAUUUCACUGGCGAAUUGGAUGUCACAACCAAUUCCGUUGUUCUGUUCAGAGAAGUCAUGCUUGCAUGAGUCAUAUCUUUACUCUCGUGUUCCUUGUGCAGUUUUUACCAGAAAACUGCGAGUUUCAAGAACUCAGCAGUAUUGCUACAUAUAAUACCAGUUUCAAAUUCUAUUAACUCAAAAAAUAAAACUAACAACACAAAGUAAUAACCAAAUCAAUAACUGAAACCAUAAUCAAGUACAUCACCAAGUCAUAAGGGCAUUUAUUAAGAGUUCAAGUUGGGAUGUGGCUAGAAAUAAUGGAAUCAGAACAAUAACAUAAAGACUCCUAGACACCACAAAACUAACAGGUUGUCUCAUCGUAUAAAAUAAUCAUCAAACUCGAUCCACGUGGUCUGCUACUACUGGAGUUGAAUUUGUAAAGUUACAUAAAAAGAGAAGGGAAGAAGGGAAUUAGUACAACAUAACCUGUAAGUCUCAUAGACCAUCACCUAAAGGCCGUGGCAAGGCUUUAUGCAUUACAGAAAAUUAAUGUGUGCCACAAAUCCUUGGAAGCCACACGUCGCUUAAAACUGAUAAUUUAGUGGUAAUUUGCGAUAGAGGAACCGAAAUGAAAUCCUAAGAGUUCAAUCCUUCUGGCCUUGAACUCCUUUCCUAAUGUUCUUCUGAAUCAGAAUAACUCUCCCCGACUGAGAAGAAACAAAAAGGGUCAGUAGAAGUUCGACAAGUCACAUUAUUCAGAUGCAGAUUUAGAACAUGUUCAAUCAAACUCACAUCUUUCAACUCAACGUCAUGUGAGCACACACAUACAUUUUUUGGAGAGCUAAAUUGCUUAUAUUACAUCUUAACUAACAAUUAUUUACUAAUUCAAAAAAUGAGCUGCAAAUAUUGAUGUAUAAUUUUAUAGACUCUAUAUAAUAUUAUUUACUCUAUAAUCUUUUUGACAAUAUUAUAUGUGUUUUUUAAAAAAAAAAAAUUAAUUUCUAUAUGGGAUAUAGACACAACACGCUUCAUAGAGACUAUAAAACCAAAGAUAUACAUUUACAUUUAUGAAUAAACAUCGUGUGACGAACUAGCAUCAACAGUCUAUAACAGUAUCAAAUUGUUAAUCCAUUGUUUCCCUUCUCAAUAUAGGUUAGAGUAAAGCAUCUAGUACCCUCCUAAACUAUGACCAAAUUUUCUACAACAUACUCCCACUUCAUGGGGUCUCUAUUACCCCCGAACAAAAUUUUAGCAUAUUUUCACCAACCUUUUUAGCUGAUGUGGCACAUUUGAUCUAACACAUCUGCAUAUUCUUCUUCAUCGUCAUCAUCUGUAUGAUGUGAGUUGUGGAAAUGAGAAACAGUGUGUAACCUUGACAAAUAUAUACUUACCUUGAUAAAAUUAAUACAAAGUAUUUCACUUAUUGAUAUUAAAUUAUUUCAUAAAAGAGUUGAAUCCAAGUAAACCUCAUUUUACUAGAAUUUACACAAUCUAUACCUUAAAUUUUGUGAGCAAGGACAACAAAGAGAGCAAACAUCUACUCUUCAUUUUUCAUUUUAUUUUUAUUGUAAUUUAAUGGCAGGGCUGGACAUUAGCCCAUUUGUUUGUUCAACCCAUCUUAAACCGCCCAACUUCAGCCCAAACAACCCAGCUGCCACCCCUAUGAGUAAAAAUUAGAUCAAAUGUGCUCAAAUUUAUCAAUCUUAAAUGAAAGUACCAAAACUACUCAAAAAUAUAUUUAAGGGGCCGUCUUGAACUACGCUCAAAUAUAAGGGAUAUUCUUGUUAAUUUCUCUUAUUUCUGUGAAAGAAUAUGGGGCAAAGCUAAAUAACUUUUGUGUACGACUUGACUUGUGGAAAUGAAAAACAGAGUGACCUUGAUAAAUACUGUAUAUAUACUUACAUGGAUCAGAGAUACAAACAUCCACAGGGUUGUUUCCGAGGUCUUCUUGUUCUUUCUGAAUUCAUGCAGCAGAUUCCCCAAGUUUGGGAGGACACUUUCUUAACUCAAUCAGCUGUAGUGUGUGUAUUGUUGAGAAUUGAUUCAAAGCCUGUUUUGUUAAGUUACUACAUAGGAUACGUUUUACUGUUAGUUGAAUAAGUCUUUCACUAGAGUUGAAAGAGUCUUUGUUAGGUUGCUAUAUUUUCAGAUUCAGUUGCUACUUUUUCUGAUAUGGUUCCUAGUUUUUAGUCAAGUAGAGUCUUGGAUCUUUUAGAGUUUGUAAGCCUAUAAAAGGCAGAGAUUUCCAGUUAAUAAAAACGCUCUUCUAAAAGAUAUUUCCUUCAUCUUCUUUGCGCAACUCUUACUUUUCUAGUUGAACAACCUCUCUUUUCCUACAUUCUGGUAUCAGAGCUUGCGUUCGGUCUCUGACUGGGCGAUAAAGAGAUUAAGAAACAGUGAGGGAGUGAAAUACAAGAAAAAGAAAAGGAGUUAUGGCAGCAAAUGGUAUGUCCUCUUCUUCACAGCCGCUCAUACCCGUCUUCAAUGGUGAAAAGUAUGAGUUUUGGAGUAUCAAGAUGAAGACUUUGUUUAGGUCUCACGAAUUGUGGGACAUAGUCGAAGAUGGGUUCGUUGAUGUACAAGAGCCGGAUGCAGAAGAAGAAAGGAGAUUAAAUGAAAUCAGAAAGUUGAACGCCAAAGCUUUGUUCUUUAUUCAGCAAGCCGUUCAUGAGACAAUGUUCUCAAGAAUUGCAGCAGCUGCUACCUCAAGAGAUGCUUGGCUGACUUUGAAAACCGAGUUUCAAGGUUCCUCAAAGGUAAUCACUGUGAAACUACAAUCUCUUCGUCGUGAUUUUGAAACAUUGUUCAUGAAAAACAGUGAAUCUGUGCAAGAUUUUUUAUCAAGAGUUAGCGGAAUUGUAAGUCAAAUGAAAUCAUAUGGUGAAGAGGUAGGCGAUGAAAUUGUAGUUUCAAAAGUUUUAAGAAGUUUACCUUCGAAAUUUGAUCAUGUGGUUGCAGCCAUAGAGGAAUCAAAAGACUUAUCUGUGUUUUUAUUUGAUCAAUUAAUGGGUUCUUCGCAAUCUCAUGAAUCACGGAUCAAUAAGUCAACAGAGAGGACUGAAGAACAAGCUUUUCAAGUGAAGGAACAGCCUCAAAUUCAGAAUGAGAAGUCACUAGAACAAGGAGUACAAGGACGUGGCAGAGGAUCUUUUAGAGGCAGAGGGCGUGGUAGAGGUAGAAGCCAAUCCAAGUGGACAAAUAGCCGUAGAAAUGGAGUGCAAUGUUACAAUUGUCACAGGUUUGGCCAUAUAGAAGCUAACUGCUGGUACAAAAAUGAUCAAGCUGGUUAUGUUGAGGAAGAGGAAGAAGAAAGCAUGCUUUUCAUGGCUCGCUCUACCACCAUAGAUCAUAAGACUGAUGUUUGGUUUGUUGAUAGUGGCUGCUCCCAUCACAUGACUGGUGACAGAAAAGGGUUUAAAGAGUUAGAUGAGACCAAAAAGAGGCGAAUUUGGCUUGGAGAUAAUAAGGAAAUUCAAGUCGAAGGUGAAGGUAUUGUUGCUGUCCAAACUAGUCAAGGUAAAGUGAAACUUAUUCAAAAUGUUUUAUUUGCUCCUAGUUUGGCACAUAACUUGCUAAGUGUUGGGCAAUUGUUGAAUAGUGGAUUCUCUGUCUUGUUUGAUGAUAGCUCAUGUGUUAUUAAGAAUAAAAAUUCAGGUCAAAUCUUAGCAAGUAUUCGUAUGACAGAGAAUAAAAUGUUUCCACUUGAAGUUUCAAAAGUCGAACAAGCCCUUGUUGUUAGUGAGAAAAAUCUUGAAGAGUCUAAGUUGUGGCAUUUGCGUUAUGGACACUUGAAUAUGAGUGGAUUGAGAUUGCUUAGUCAAAAUAAGAUGGUUCAUGGUUUGCCAAAUAUAGGACCUGUUGAAAAUGUAUGUGAAGGUUGUAUAUAUGGCAAGCAACAUAGAAAAUCUUUUCCUGUUGGAAGAUCUUUCAGAGCUACUAGUUGUCUUGAAAUUGUUCACGCAGAUUUAUGUGGUCCUAUGAACACAGAAUCACUUGCUGGUUCUCGAUAUUUUCUGUUAUUAACUGAUGAUUACAGUCGGAUGAGUUGGGUAUAUUUUUUGAAACUCAAAUCAGAAACUUUUGCAAGCUUCAAAAAAUUCAAGGCGCUGGUGGAAAACCAAGUCGGUAACAAAGUUAGGGUUCUUCGUACCGACAGAGGAGGUGAAUUCUUGUCCCAAGAAUUUAAGGUGUUUUGUGAAGAAAAUGGCAUUCACAGGGAAUUAACUGCACCUUAUACUCCGGAGCAAAAUGGGAUUGCUGAGCGGAAGAACCGAACUGUAAUGGAGAUGGCUAGGAGCAUGUUGAAGAGUAAGGAUCUUCCAAAUCAGUUUUGGGCUGAAGCUGUUCAUACUGCAGUUUAUCUGCUAAACAUUUCUCCGACAAAAGCAGUUAUGGGUCGAACACCUUUUGAAAUCUGUAAAGGUAGAAAGCCAUGGGUAAGUCAUUUGAGAAUUUUCGGUUGUAUUGCAUAUGCUUUGAUAAAUUCUCAACAUCAUAAAAAGCUUGAUGAAAAAUCUGAAAAAUGCAUUUUCUUUGGAUAUUGCUCUGAAUCCAAAGCUUUUAGAUUGUAUAAUCCCACAAAUGGUAAAGUGAUUAUUAGAAGAGAUGUUGUAUUUGAUGAGAACGCCUGCUGGAAAUGGGAAAGCAACAAUCAAAGCUCACAAGUUGCAGUGGGAAAUGAAGCCGUUCCUGGUGAAGCAGUAAGUCAACCUCUUGCUGAUACACCAAGCCACUCUUCAGGAAAUUCCAGCAACAUCAGUCCAAGUGGUAGCAGCCCAACAUUGAUGGUGCCUGACUCAGAAGAUUCUGAUGAAACUCCUCCACAGAAGUUUAGGUCGCUGUCAGAUAUUUAUGAAACAUGUACCUUUGCUUUAUUUGGUGCAGAUCCAGCUAGUUUUAAGGAAGCUUCAACAAAAAUGGAAUGGAGGUGUGCAAUGGAAGAAGAGCUUAUGGCAAUAAGAAAGAAUGGGACAUGGGACUUGGUGGACCUUCCAGAUGGAAAAAAUGUUAUCGGAUUAAAAUGGGUGUUCAAGACAAAAUACCAUGUUGACGGGACCGUGCAGAAACACAAAGCCAGAUUGGUCGCAAAAGGAUAUUCGCAGCAACAAGGUAUUGACUUUGACGAGACUUUCUCUCCAGUUGCUCGCUUUGAAACAAUAAGAAUCGUUUUAGCUUUGGCUGUACAAUUAAAAUGGAAGGUUUAUCAAUUUGAUGUUAAGUCUGCAUUCCUUAAUGGCGAUUUGGAAGAAGAAGUGUAUGUGACACAACCAGAUGGCUAUGUGGAGAAAGGAAAGGAGAACAAAGUAUACAAGUUGAAGAAAGCACUCUAUGGGCUAAAACAAGCUCCUCGCGCUUGGUAUAGCAAAAUCGACUCACAUUUCAGAGAAAAUGGAUUUGAAAGAAGUAAGAAUGAACCAACUUUAUAUGUGAAAAAAUAUGGAAAAAAUGAUCUUUUGAUGGUGUGUUUGUAUGUUGAUGAUAUGAUCUAUAUGGGCUCAUCUCACUCUCUUGUAUGUGAUUUCAAAUCUUCUAUGAUGAAAAAAUUUGAAAUGACUGAUUUGGGAGUGUUGCACUAUUUUCUUGGACUUGAAGUGAAGCAGGAAGAAGAUGGAAUUUUCAUUUCACAAAGGAAGUAUGCCAUUGAUCUUCUCAAAAGAUUUAAUUUGCUUAAUUGCAAAACAGUGGCUACUCCUAUGAAUGUAAAUGAGAAGCUGCAACUUGAUGAUGAUAUUGAAAAAGCUGAUGGAAGUUAUUUUAGAAGCUUAGUUGGAGGCUUAAUUUAUUUGACGCACACUCGUCCUGAUAUAUCAUUUUCUGUUGGAAUGAUUUCAAGGUUUAUGCAUAGGCCUUCAAAGCAUCAUCUUGGAGCAGCUAAAAGAGUCUUGCGCUAUGUUGCUGGAACUACAGGAUUUGGACUAUGGUACUUUCGAAGUUCCAAUUUUAAUCUCUAUGGUUAUUCAGAUAGUGAUUAUGGGAGAUGUUUGGAUGAUAGAAAGAGUGUUUCCGGGAACCUUUUCACUCUUGGUUCUGCAGCUAUUACUUGGAGCUCAAAGAAACAACCAACAGCAGCGUUGUCUACUUCCGAGGCUGAAUAUGUCGCAGCAGCAUCUUCAACAUGCCAAGCAUUGUGGCUCAGGAAAAUACUUGCUGAUCUUCACCAAGAACAAAAGGGGGCAACAAAAAUUUUCUGUGAUAAUCUAUCAGCAAUUGCAAUGGCUAAAAAUCCUGUUUGUCACGGAAGAUCGAAGCACAUAGAUAUUCGGCACCAUUUCAUCCGUGAACUUGUUGCAGAAGGGCUGAUUGAGUUGAAGAGUUGUAGCACCGAAGAACAAGUGGCAGAUAUUCUUACUAAAGCACUUCCUCCAGCAAAGCACAAUUACUUUAUGUUACGCCUCGGCAUAUGUGAUUUUGAAUCAAGGGGGAGUGUUGAGAAUUGAUUCAAAGCCUGUUUUGUUAAGUUACUGCAUAGGAUACGUUUUACUGUUAGUUGAAUAAGUCUUUCACUAGAGUUGAAAGAGUCUUUGUUAGGUUGCUAUAUUUUUGGAUUCAGUUGCUACUUUUUCUGAUAUGGUUCCUAGUUUUUAGUCAAGUAGAGUCUUGGAUCUUUUAGAGUUUGUAAGCCUAUAAAAGGCAGAGAUUUCCAGUUAAUAAAAACGCUCUUCUAAAAGAUAUUUCCUUCAUCUUCUUUGCGCAACUCUUACUUUUCUAGUUGAACAACCUCUCUUUUCCUACAUGUAUAUCUGCAAACUCAAUGGGUAUCUCUUUCAAGUUUUGGCAACUUCUAAUCAUGAGGCGCUCAAGGCCAGGAAAAUUGUCGUUUGUGGCUUUCUAGUACUUGAGAUAAUUACCUUCAAUUAGCAAAAACUUCAAUUUAUUAAAUCCCCUAACAAUUGGAUGCCAUUCUUUGCCACCACAAGCGUCAUCCAUCAGCUUGAGCACCUCAAGGUUAGGCAAUUCAGCAAUGAUAUCCAAGUACGACCAACUUAGCGAAGUUCUUUCCAACUUCAGCUUCUUGAACGUUGCAGGAAAAGCUCUUGCACUUUCUGGAAAAAGCUUAGAGCACCACAUAAAACUCAAAGUUUCAAGUUGCUGCAGAUGGACAAGAUUAUUGAGAAUCCCAGAGUCCCGAAUACUAUUAAUUUCAGUCUCAUAUCCACUGAUUCCUAAUUCUUUGACAUUCUGAAUCCCCAUAAUAACCUCCUUCUUGCAACAAAGUGGAGACAAGUAAGAAAUAGUUUGUAAGUUUGACAAAUCCAAGUGCCUUCCCUUGUCAACAGAUCGACUUGGGCAAUUUGGAAAAUAUAAUCUGGGCAGUUGAAGAUGCCUUCCUUUGUCAGCAGAUUUUGUUGGGCAAUCUGGCAAAAAAUAUACUCUGGGUCGUUUAGGAUGCCUUCCUUUGUCGGCAGAUCCACUUGGGCAAUCUGGCAAAUAAAAUGCUGGCAGUUUGAGAUGCCUUAAUUGCAUUAGUCCCCAAAUUUCCUCAGGAACAGUUAUUUUAACUAAUGGACUAAGCCCUUGAACAAUGAAUGUCUGCAGAUUCCAUAACCUGCAAAUUUCUCGAGGUCUGUCUAAACACACAUGGCAGAGCAAUGAUAGGUACCUCAACCAGAUGAGGCUUCCUAUCUGUACAGGGAAAUUACCAAUCCCCAAGUGUCUCAACUCCAAGACUUUGAGUAAUUUGAAAUGAAUAAGCUCUGAUUUCAGAAAUGGAGGAAAAAAUGAACCCUUAAGAUGAAAAGAGAAAAUAGAAUGGGUUCGUUUCAAAAGAUCGUUGUUGUCAUGAUCUCUCAACUGACGAUGUACAGGGGUAAGAAGUGCCCUAUAAAGACCAUUGGGACAGUAAAAAAAUUCAUCACCAGUCACCCAUUUAAAGGGCCGCAUUUUUUGCAUACUGAGAGGUCCCCAUACUGAAUCUGAUUGGUCAAGCACAAUGUCGUUCAUGAUAAAAAUGUUCUCCCUUUGAAUUUCUCUUACGCACAGGUCAUAUAUUAGAUCAUGAACCUUACAUGAUCUAAUUUUUGUUCCAUCUAUACUUUUCUUGCAGACGAGAACAAGACAUCUAUCGACAAGCUCUUGCAAACACUUCUCAGCCUCUCCUUCCAAAUCAUUUUCCAACUUUAGGAACCCCUCAGCAAACUAUGAUCUCUUCAAAUUCUUCACUGGUAUCUCACUGUCUUCUGGAAAUAUUCCGAAAUGCAGAAGACAUGCUUUUAGAUCGCUAGUCAAGUGAUUGUAACUCAACCCAAGCACACGUGAACAUCGUUCAUCAGGAUCAUUCAUGACAAAUGACUUCACAUCUUUAGCAACACUUUCCCAAUCUUCUAUUGCCCUUUUAGAUUUGAGAAGUCCAUCAACCACGACAAUAGUUAGUGGUAACCCGUGACAUUCAUCUGCGAUUUGCUUCCCAACAGCCUCAAACCCAUAUGGUAAUGCUUCACUUGAAAAUGCUGCACUUUUUAAAAGACUCCAACUCUCAUCCGGGCCCAUUAAAUCCAUCUGCAAAGAAAGAUUCUCUGUAUCAGCAUAACAGGCUACUUCGUUAUUACGGGUAGUCAACAGUAUUCGACUCCCUACAUUGUCUUCAGUUGGAAAGCAUCGUAUCACGCUAUCCCACACUUCACAACUCCAGAUAUCAUCCAAGACAAUUAAGUACCUCUUUCUCUUCAAACUUUUUUGCAGCAUGUCUGCUAGCUCUGCUUCACCUUUCAUCCUAACUGAGUCAUCCAUUUUGAUCGUCGAUUGCAGCAGGCACAGCAAAAUUUCCUUUCUGUUGUGCUGUUGAGAUACAGUAGCCCAGGAACGAAUAUCAAAACGGCAUAGAACUGAUUUAUUAUCGUAAACUUCUUUUGCUAAGGUUGUUUUACCUAUGCCUCCCAUCCCGACAAUCGGGAUGACUUUGGGUUCAUCAGAGUAGCUUGUAGUCAGAUCAUUUAACAACCGUUCCCUUUGAUCAUCACGUCCAACUGUUAUCUCCUCAACAGUUGUGUAUUCCUUUGAUGUUUUGUUGAACCAUUGAAAAAUAUUGAACCACUGGAAAAUCAUGAAGCACUGAAAAUUCAUCACCUUCCUUUUAUCUUGAAUCUUUGUUGACUUUUUCCAGAUACGAUCAAUAUCCUUUGCUGCUUGUUGAAGGCUAUCAGAAAGCCUCUCACGUGUCUUUUCAUCAUUUGCCAAUACAACUUCAGUUACUCUUAGUUGAAUUGUGUGUUCAGCAAUAUUUGCAACUUCUUUUAUCUCUACUUCCAAAUCUGCAAUUUGCCCAGAAACAUUGUUUUUCUCAAAGUUCUUGACAACUACUUCCAGGGAACUAAUCUUUUCACGAAGAGCACGAAAUUCUUUUCUGUGAUCACAGGUUAGAGAUUGCAUCAGCGAAUUGGAUGUCAAGAGCGAUUCUAUUGUUCUCGUUAGAGAAGCAACACUUGCAUGAGCCAUAUCUACUGUAUCUCGUUUUUGUCCUUUCUGACUAUGACCUGAAACCUACAAGGUAGCAACAGGUCAAUGGUAUUACAAAAAACAAGAUAGGCAAAUUUACUAAGAUUUGGUGAUUUAUUAGUCUUUGCUAUUCGCAAAUUCUAAAUUACUUUUGAUCAUGUAAUUUAUUAUUCUUCGGUUUGAACCUUCCUUCAUAUGUGUAUAGCCCCGAACCCAAUAGUUUAUAUCUAUAUAUUAUUAAUAAGAGAGGACAAAGCCUCCACAUAAAGCCACGUGGCAGCAUGAUAAAUUACCAUGUGGUGUUUUAGGACAACAAGUAGUUAAAUUAGUUAUUAGUUGUGUAUUUUUGAAUUUUACUUUUUAAAUUUUAUUAGAAAACUCAAAUUUUGAUAAUUAGUUAAUUAAUAUUGUAGUUUUUAAAAUAUAUAACUAUACUUAAAUUACUUUGAUACAAAUAUUAUUUAGUUAAGAAACUCCCAUUUAUUUCUUUAUUUUUAUAAUUUUUAAUCUCGAUAAUCCCUUUUAGAUUUUAGUUUUUAUAAAACAAAAUUUAAUAUUUAAUAAUCUAUCUAAUAAGAUUAUUAUAAUUGACUAGUUACCAACUUCAAAAAUAACUCUCUUUAACUUCCUUUUCCACUUUAAUGUUCUCCACAAAAAAGAUGUCUCUAUAUGCACCAUACUACCCAAAUCACUGUUUGGCUUCUGACACUUCCAGAUUCAACCAGAUCAAGUUCUUAGUAGAAAGUGGUUUACUCGAAUUUCAGUGACGACUCACAAUUAGUGGCUUGAUUGUGAUGUAAGAAAUGGAUUUUUGAUGUUCCUAAUUCUCUUCUUUCUCUGUAUUGAUUGCUUUCAGUGAUAAGAAAUGAUCAAAUUUGCAGUAUUAUAUUGUUAAAUAUUUUUCCUACUUUUUUACAUACCGUUCAAAUUUGAUUCCAUUCUUUGUUUUCUUUGGAUUCUGUAGAUUUAAUCAAUUCCAUUGAGCAAUAGAGAAGAGGUAGUGAAGAUGCCUUAUCCCCAAAGACUUCAAGAGUAUUUGUUUAAUUUGAAGAUUUCAAAUAACGAAGACCUUGACUAAUUAAACCCUUAUCCAAUGGAUUUUUUAAAUUAACUACAAAUUAGAUAAGAUGAUGACUGAGGCAAAGAACAAAUAUGUUCAAGUGAAUGGUUUACAUAUCAAAGUGUUUUUGGUAGUCUUCCUUUGUUUGUGUUUAGAUAUGUCUCUGGUGCAAUACCUAAUCUUUUUCGUACAAACGUUUUUUUUUACUCAAUUUUUUUAUAAUGUCUUAAGAAAAAGAUCCCAAAAAGUGCAAACUUAUUUUCGGUGGUAUGAAAUUCUGCUACAAAGAGAUCAAGUUUCAUAUGACCUGAUAGAUUGUUUUUUAUCUAAAUUCUCUGUCAAGUAAUUUAGAUUCUGAUUUUUUCAUAAUUUUGCUUCAAGUCUUAUCGAUUUCUUAAUUGUAUUAUAACUACAUUAAGCAAGUUGUUUAUUGGCCACUUCAUAUGUUAAAUAUUAACUAUUCUCAUGUGAUUCAUAAUAAGUGUUCGCUUAUAGACGAUUGUGUAUUUGUUGUUUCUUAACUUUCUUUUAUUUGUACAUUUUCCAGUGUUAAACAUAAGAGACUUCCAAAAUGCAACUUUUCACUUUUGCAGUCAACAACAACAACAACAUAUCCAUUAUAAAUUCAUCAAGUGGAGUUUGGAACGGGUGGAUUUUAUGCAGAAAUGACGAUUUGAUUAAGAAAAAUUUAACUACUUGGAGAAAUAUCGAAUGCUGUAUAGAGGAGGUAGUAUCAAAAUUGAUUGUUCUAUAAGAACCAUUAACGGUGUCUUUGGCGAUUCGCAAAGGCAAGACACACCGAGUUUAAUCUUCUGGUACAUAUUUCACUAUCUCUUUUAUUUUAUCGAAAUUAUUUACUAAACAACUUUUGACAGUUUAAUUGGUAAUUUUGUAUUCCUUUUAUUUUGAUUAUGUUUGCAUAUCUUAUUCGUUAAUUUUUGGGAAUAAUGUGGUCUUGCUCUGUCAAAUUUUGCAUUUGGGGUUUCUCUGUUUAUCAGUACAUUGAUUUUUCAGUUAAAGUUGUUGUCAUGUGACCGGAAGGUCAAGGAUUUAAGCCUUUGAAAUAUAUUUGGCAGAAAUGCAAGAGAAGGUUGCGUACAUUACACCCUUGUGGUGGGGCUUUUCCCCUGACCAUGCGAAUAGCGGGAACUUUAGUGCACAGGGCUGCCUUUUUUUCCGGUUAGAUGUUGUUAGCAGACCAAUUGUUAAUUUCUGAAAUGUUUGCAGAUCUGCAUGUCCUGAGCCUUAUCGGGAACUAAGCAUAAUUUUGUGAUGAUUCAUCCUAAAAUUUCUCAUGGGUUUCUUCUCUUCCUGCUUCAUGCUCCUAUUUGGAAACCUCAAAAUCGGUGCUUAAAUGUUUUCUUUUAUAAGUUUAAUUUGCAUUUUCUUUUUCUUUUUCAAUUUCAGGGUGGAGAGUCUAGCAAAAUGUGUGGCACUACUGAAUUUUCACAUGCAUUUCACUUAGGUAUUGCCACUCACUUCAUUUAUAGGAUAGGGCACUUUUCAUCUUUUGCCAUCUUUAACUUGGUAUAGGAAGAUUUUUAUGAUUAUUCAUUCUAUUUAAUUCUUAUCUAAGCAAACUUUUCUCUAAGAAAAAAAAUCUUAUGUUGAUAAGUUAGUUGAUUUUCUUACAUAUCUCUCGAACAACACAUGCUACACACUACUGCUAUAAAUAUAUUGUUUUAUCUACUGCAUCGGCAAGUCAAUGAUAUAUGUGAAUUGUCUAGAGCACACAAGUUACAUGGUUAAAUAUUGCAGAUAUAGAAGAUAAUGAGAGAUCUGACAUAAGGAAGAUUGAACAUCAAAUUUAUGUUUCGUCUUUAAGAUUGAAUAAACAUUAGUCCGAAAAAAACUUCUUAUUGCGUGAAAUGAAUUGUGCAGUGUUCUCUGCAACUUAUCUUUAGCAAUGUUGUAUGUGUAUCUUUAUCCUCAAGUAACUUUAUUUCUUGAUAGUUGGAUGUGAGUGAAAUUCAUGAAGCUUAGUUUCUGGAUGACCUUUGUGAUCUCUAUUGCAAUGCUGCUGAUUUUGAUGGCUAUACUAUUAUUCUUGCAGGUCCAUAUGGUGAUUAAUUGAGGUAUUACUUGAUGACCUUUGUGAUCUCUAUUGCAAUUCUGCUGAUCUUGAUGGCUAUACUAUUAUUCUUGCAGGUCCAUAUGGUGAUUAAUUGAGGUAUUACUUGAAUUUUUAAAAAUUAUUUUUCAAGAUUGCAAUUUUUUCCAUUGACAAACUUUACGGUCAAAAAAAUAAUAUAGUAGCCAUGACAUAAAUUGUUAUAAUAAGAAAUGAAUCACCGUCGAGUACCACCAUUCAUUUCCAGUUUCAUUUCAAUAGAGUUUACCCGCAACCAUUGAGAACCACCAGAUCUCCAUCCAUAAGCCUCUAGAGCUUCGCCGAAUCAAAUCGACAAACACCCAUUUGAUAUUGAAUAAAUGAUUAAAUGUUGCAAAUGUGUUUUGGUGCAAGAGUUAAGAUUCUGUUUGAGUUUUUUAGUCCAUUUUCCAGGUACCAGUCGAUACAUUGAGUCCCCUGGUCUUCAAGAAUUACAAAUUAUGAUUGGAAGGUCCAUUUCUUUCUCACUGAUAUCUUGCUUUAAAGAUUUUCUCUAUAGUGUUCUUUUGCUGUUGAUUUGAGUAUGUGAUUUUUGCGGUCUUAUAUAUAAAGCAUAAAAUUGGUGGUUAUGUUGGGUUUCAAUAUGAAUUCUCUAUAUAUGAUAAGAUCAAUUCUGAAUUUUUGUGAUCAAAGAAAAUGGAAAAGUCACAUAGGUUUAUCAUGGGACGUUAUAGAUUUAUCAGCACGAAGAUUCCUUUAGUCGAUUUGGUAAAAUUAUCCAUUAUCGGGUUUGUACUUUUUCAUAAUCCAGUUUUAAUUGCAAUUUAUGCAAAUUCCUUUAAUUUUAAGUACCCAAUAUGUAUGCAUGUAUCAAUGUGUAUUAAAUGCAUCCUUCAAACUUCUGUCACUGAUUAUCAGUGUGAGUUACAUUCUUUCACUUUCAUAUGGACUAAUGGAGAAUCAAGCGGAAGACUUAUCUAAGACGCCAUAAGCCUGAGUAACAGCAGAGCGACGAAGUUUUUUGUUAUAUUUUGUCCUUGAAUUUCUGUUUUAUUCUCAUUCUCGAAAUUGGGAUCUUGCAUUUGUCUUUUUGUAUGUUUGAUUUGCUGUUGCUUUCAAAUUCGAUCUUAUAUCUCAUGAUUGUCAGCUUAAGUGGAAAUUCUAUCUUAAUUUUUUCACCGCAUAUAAUUUGGCAGUAAAUAGUUAAAGCCUUCGAUGGCUCAGUAGGUUGUAUAUUGAAGUCAAAAUAUAGGGACACACUUAGGAAAGUUCACUACACUAGGUAUAUGUGAAAGCAUUACUACUGGAAACCCUGUUUUUGAGAUAGCAUACAUGUGUUCUCUAACAAAAGAUUAAAGAUCUAGGAAAGAUGACAAUUUAAGAAACUUUCUAUUGCAUAUGAAUCAAGUAUCGGAAAAUAGCAGGAAGUUCAAAGGCUACAAGCUAGGUAUGAUGGUUAUGGCGCUCUAUGCUAUGAUCCCAGAUUUGUGGGUGGUGAUGGCUUGAUGUUGUACUUCCAUGGAGCAAAGGAAACUGACUUUGCUAUUUUCUCAGAUGACAACCUCCACAUUAAUGCACAUCUAAUUGGUACACAACCACAGGGAAGGAGGUGCGACUUUACAUGGGUUCAAACAUUUUCAGGCACGUUUGACACCCAUACAUUAGUUCUAGGAGCAAAGUGUUAAACUGGGAUGAAAAUGUUCAUGCUUUUACUGUACAGUGGAAUGGUGAGACAGUUGAUGUCCCGACGGAUGGAGAUACAGAAUAGUGUGUUUAACACUGCUGAGAGAUUAGUAGUGGUCAAGAGGACAGAUGAUCUUAACAUCACGAAGGUCACAGUUUCCACACUAUUGCAAUUGAAUGUAAAGUUUGUCCUCAUUGGUGAGAGAAAACAAAGGUUCACAACUAUCAGUUACCAGCAUAUGUUACUUUUGCUCAUCUAGAGACACAAUUUAAGUUUUUAAAUCUAUUUAAAGAAGAUGGCAAGUUAUGUUUAAUUUGAGUGCAAAGGUUAUAUUGUUAUACUAAAGAUAAGUUGUGACCUCUAAACUAAAAAUAAUAGGAAUUCAAUAUGAUCAAAUAAAGAAGAUUAUAAUUUUUUAAUAUUGUCCGCACAUCGUGCGGGCACACAUACUAGUUUAUUUUAUAAGUGUGAGGAUCAACUCUUUAGUAUGGAACAUCAUUUUAAAUGGAAGAAUACAUAAGUUGUAAUUUUAAGAUAAAAAGUUACUAAAAGAUGAUUACUUAGAUAUAUACCUUUAUUGUACUUCAAAAAAAAGUAAAGAAUCUAGAACCUCCUUGAAUUAUGACCAAAUUUGCUAUUACACCAAUUUCACGUAGGUCCUAUUACCUCUAAACUAAAUUUUAGUGUAUUUUUGUUAUUCAUUUUAGCUAACGUGGCAUCUUUUGUAAACUUUUGUAGCUGACAUGGCACCUUUGACGUGAGCCCCAUUUCAUGUAAUAAAGGUGUCACGUCAAUAGAAAAGGGUGAUAAAAGUAUGCUAAAAUUGAAUUCAGGGAGUAAUAUUGGAGUAUGUCGUAGCAACUUUAUUGUCAUGUUCUUUUUUUGACUGUUAUGUGCUGCUUUCUCUAUUAUUUAUCGUGUUUUAUUCACUAUCAUUUUUCCUUUUUUAAUAACUAAUUUGAUUUAUUGCAUUUGAGGAAAGUCCUUCAAAAACAAUCUCUACCUCCAUGAGGUAGAAAUAAGAUCUCACUUAUGAAAUUAUGUAAAAAUAUACCUCAUUGUAUAUAUUAAAAAAGGACCUUACCAAUUUGUUUUUGAUGCAAGAGAGACCAAGAAGAAAUGGAAACAUACACCAAAAACAGUCCACAAGUCAAGAAACCCGAGGACUCCUUUGAUGACCACACUCGGAUUCGCUACUUGAACAAGAAUGAGAUAAUAUCAAGGUGUUUUUUUGCUUGUUAUUACUUGAAUUAAUUUUUCCAUUUACAAUGAUGUUCAACACAAUAUGGUGAAGAAUAUAACAAUAACAACAAUACACGAUUACAAUGACAAGAACCAAACGGAUUACACUAGAAUAAGAACCAACGAUUACAAAGAAAAGUAAUGAUAGGAAGAUAGACAAAUGAAGAUGUAAUUUUAAGAACCAAAGAAAAUAUUCCACUCUUGGACCCUUAAGCCCACACACUAAAAUCACCUAUAGCUUACAAUGACACAAGAGAGGCGUCCACCACCCAAGCACUAAUGUAUCAAGCAAAAUGCAACACGCAAGUGAUUCCACCCUUGUGCUAUGCCCUAGUUUCGGAUUAGGACUCUUCUUUCUAAGAGAAGUGUUCUCUCAAUAACAAGCAUAAACCAAUGUUAAUAAACCCUACAAUGUUCUAUAUAUACAACAUUACAAAUAAAAGAGAAAUGACAAAAGGGCCCUUUAAUAGAGGGCUCCACUUGGGUUUGUGCACUCUUUAAAUGGUCUUCAAAAUGCUCAAAAAAUGUCCAUGGUCGUGAUGAUACUUGUAUAAUCCUCUCCAACUUGAGAGGAAUAUUACCACAAAUUCAUAGGCUAACCUCUUUUACAAAAGCACUUCACAAUCUCCUUCUUGCGGCCACACAUCUUGUCCAUACUCUUCAUUUUACACUUCAGUUUCUUCAUGCUCUCCAUCUUGCGGUUUGACAUCAUUCUUAACCGAUUCACUGCCCACCUCUACUCCAAGAUAGUACAAUCUAUCCUCCCUUGGGAUUAUAUUUCUCUGAUUUGGGCACUCACUAGCCUUGUGCCCCCACCCUUGACACUUGAAGCAUUGAAACUCCUUGGGAUUGGAAGUAGAAUUCAAUUUACCUUCAUACCUUGAAGAAUAUUUUUGGACAACCUUGGUGGCCUCGGGGCAGCCAUGAAUGAGUUAUCUUUGAGCUCCCUCUCAACCUCUGAAGCUGCAUGGAAAAUUCCAUCCAUGGUGUUGAAUUUGUGAAGCAUCAUGCGAGUGAAGAUGUCCUUGUUCACAAUGUCAUGACUUACUUGCUCGCCUCGGUGGUCAAGUUUCAACAUCAAUUGUUGAAAUUCAUCGUAGUAAGCCAUGACACUUUUGCUCCCUUGCCUUAAAUUGUACAAUUUUUCAAGGAGCUCAUGCCUAUAAGCCUCGGGAAAGUACCUUUGUUGUAUAAGGUUCUUCAACUAAAACCAAGGAAGAGGUUGUCCCCCGUUCAUCUCAUUUCCAAACCAUUUAACAUACUCCCACCACGUAUUAGCAUACCCUUCAAAGUUAGCUAUCUCAUAGCAAUUCUUCUUUUCCUCGAUGAUAUCAUUAAGUUGGAAUAUCUUGUCACACGAUGACUCCAAAGAAAGAUAAGAUUCAGGAUCACUCUCACCCUUGAAUAUUGGAAGGCUAACUUUGAUGGAGUUUAGCCCUACAUCACGAUUUUGGUUCCCUUGUUGAUUCCAAUGACCAACUCUACCUUUUCGGCCAUGAACUUCCCUCGGAUCACAAUGCCUUCCCCUUAUCUCUUCCCCUCCCAUAUAAGCAUCAUCAUACGACCCAUAACCAUCAUGUUGUCCUCCCCUACCAUAGCCCUCAACAUAGAUGGGUCUAUUUGGGUUAAGUGGAGCUUUUAGUAUUGGAUUUGGAUAGUAAGGUCUUUGGUCAAGUGGAGAUUGGAUGGGAGGGUUCGGUUUAGGUGGUGGUAUUUGGGUUCCAAGCCCUUCUUUUUGGACUUGGUGGAGUGGAGGAUGUUAUGGUCUAUCUUGUUCUCGGCUUUGGGAGUAAAGAUUGGUUUGAUUUGUGGAAAUUGGUAUAUAUAGCAUUUGGUGCAAGGUCUCGGGAGUAUUAUUUGGGUAAAUGUUUAGACGGGUGGAAGGUCAACUCCUUUGGAUUUCCACACGUUCUAAUAUCCCACACAUUGAUGCCACAUCCAUAUCUAAUUUCUCAAGACCCACAUUCAACCUAGCCACAUCUCGAGACAUAGUUUCAAGGCGAGCAAAAAUGAGAUUGAUGGAAUUAUUGUCCAUUUUCUGAGCAUUUGAAGCCUCGAGUUCCAUUGUAGUUGUACCGAAAAUAACCCUUCAAGUUAUAGUCCAAUCAAGACACGAAAUCAGUCUGCAACGUCACACACAGCAAUACAAUACAAAACCUACAACACAAACACACAAUAGUUCCAAAAAAACUCACUUCACACUCACACACUUGUGAUCUCACACUUGAUUUCACAAAUGUUUGCAAGCUUGAUUGUAUCCCGUGCUUGAGAUGUUGAGAGGUGAACUAAUUGUUUACAAUGGCUCAAAAGAAUAAAGCACACAAAGGAACAUUAACACGAAGGGCGGUUUCAAGACUAACUUACAAUCUAGGACUAGCUUGUAAGUUAGUAAUGGAAUCAACAAUUGAGACAAAACAGACAACAAAAUGAAAGUAGAAGAUCAAAAUUUUGAGCUUAAAAUUGUUGUGUGAACAGUAAUUUCAUGACGUGUCACUAUCCAAUUGUCUACGGUUUUCCUCAAUUUGGAAUGGAUGAAAUUGUUUUAGAGGGAAAGUGUAAGUCUUAGAGCCUUUUUCCAAUUUCAAUCUUAAAAUAGAUGUGACUUUGAAUUGUAAAAUUUCCACAAAACAAGACCCUUGAAAUAGGGAAAUUGGUUGGAAGUGAUGGGCUCAAGUCCUCUCACCAAUAAGUCUUACAACUUUAUUCUUCACCUUUUUAGAUCUAAAGUUCGCUUUUCUUGUUUUAACAAAAGAUGUAAGGUGAAGAACAACAAGAAGUCACAACAACCUUCAAGAACAAAAACAAUAUCCACAUAUCCAAGACCCAACCCGCCACAACAAACCACAAAUUUUUGGCCUAGGCCUUUGUUCACAAAACAACUUUAACAAGUUUAUGCCCAAAUAUAGAUCUAGAUACCUUUAGUGUUAGUGAAUCAAGAAAAUAACACAAGAAACAACAAUAACAACAAAAUAAACCCUAGGCCUAAACUCCACAAAUUGCGGCCAAGAAUAUAACAACAACAAGCUAAUUUCUCGGCCAAGAACAAACACAAGAAGCACUUCUUUCUCUUUUUUUCAUUUUUUUGAAUUUUCAACUACCAAGCUCAAGAUUGAUUUUAUUGGAACAAAAUCAACCACAAGCUUUGAUACCAAAUGAUGCAAGAGAGACCAAGAAGACACGGAAACAUACACCAAAAAUAGUCCACAAGUCAAAAACUCCGAGGACUCCUUUGAUGACCACACUCGGAUUCGCUACGUGAACAAGAAUGAGAUAAUAUCAAGGUGUUAUUGGCACCAAACUAGCAACCAAACUAAGUUAUCAACACAAUAUGGUGAAUAAUAUAACAAUAACAACAAUACACGAUUACAAUGACAAAAACCAAACGGAUUACAUUAGAAUAAGAACCAACAUAUUCCACUCUUGGACCCUUAACAACACACACUACAAUCACCUAUAUCUUACAAUGACACAAGAGAGGCGUCCACCACCCAAGCACCAGCGUAUCAAGCAAAAGUCAAUACAUAAGUGAUUCCACCCUUGUUGUAAGACCCCACAAAGUUCCCGCAUCGUUAAAGACUUUAAAGUGAACUAGAAGAAGCUUAAAGCUUAGAAUUUUAGCUAAGUGCUCAACACUUGGUUUAUUUUGAGCCUUCAAUCUUCAUUGAAUUAUUUCGCGACCUUUCCAACCUCUAUUUCUUGAAUUUUUUACUAUGUUGCGAUGGGGCAGGGUUGUAGUACAUCUCGGGUGAGUUUUGGAAUUUUUAGACGAGCCUAAGGUCGUGUUUGGAUUGGCAAAACAGUAGCAAAAGGCUGUAAGCCCGCAUCGCCUGGCUUACGCCACUGGUCUAAGCAGGGUGCCGCCUAGGCUAGACCAGAGGUCUAAGAAAGGUGUUGCCCAGGCUAGACCGGGGGUCCAAGCAGGGCGCUGCCCUGGAUAUCGUGCCAGGCCAAAUUUCAGCUUCCUACUCCGACUCAUUAAGGGAAUGUGGUAUUUUUCAACCCCUUAUCAACUCUAACACAGGCUUAAAUCCUUAGAACCCAAAAAUAAUCUUAGGUUCAUCAAAUUUUCUCAAGAACUCUCACUAGGGUUACAACCUAAAAAUCCAUAUAUCUCAAGAUUCAAUCGUGAGUUUUCGAUAAGUCUUCAAAAUUCGGAUUCCCCAUUCCGAGGGCUACAAUAAGCACCCAUUAGUUUCAAGAAUAGCAAACCAAAGUCCAGAGUUCAGUCAAAGCUUCAAGUUUAAGGUAUGUACGAUUUUGAACCAGAACACCCUUUCGUUCUUGUGCCCAAAAGUUUUAGUUUUUCUUAAAGAAUUUCAUAUUUUCAAGAUGAAUUCAUGUCUAUUUUACUAUAUUUCGAAAUUAUAAUAUUAAGACUUGUUCAAUUCUUAAGUUGUGUGAUUAUUUUGUUUAAUUAUAAUAUAAAUUGAGAAGUUCAUGUUAUACAUUGCCAUUCCUAUAUUGAUGUCAUAUUUUCUAUGAUUUUCCAAGAUUUGUUGUCAUGAACUAAGAGUUAAUAACUCAAAUGGUCACUGAACUUACGAUUUUUUUCUCACUCAACUUUGAUUUUCACUUCAAAAGUCACUUAAGUAUGAAUAUUUUACUUAUAAAGUCACUCAACCAUUUAAUUAUUUGUUUUAAUUAUAAUUUGCUAAAUUAAAAUUUUAUUUAAAACCAAAAUUCUAAAAAAACUAAAAAAAUAUUUGAACUAUAUUUAUUACAUAUUCUCAUGUUUACUUUAUAUUUAACCCUCUGAAAUUUUAAAAUAUCCUAAAUAGUUUAUAUCAAUUCACUUAUAAUGUUAAUAUUAAUUUUUAAGAUUUUUUGAAUCAUAUUCAUUUAGUUGAUUAGAUUUAAUUAACUUUCAACGUGAUACUUAUUUACGAAAUUGAUUUUCAAUCACAAUGUAAUUUUUUAUAUUACCACUUGUAUAAUAUACAUAUGCAUCAAAUAAAUACAAUAAAUUCUAUUCCUAAUAAGUUGAUAAAAGGGAUUGUUAUAGAUUUUAAACUAAAAUGAUAUAAUAUAAAACAUUACCAAAUGUUAUUAAACAUUUGUACAGUAUAAUAUAUACACUGCAACAAAGUAAAAUUACCCGCAAAGAUUGUACAAUCAAAUGAGUGUGGUUUUAGGAUAUUAAUUGAUGAUCUGUAUGACCAUAUACACUUUAUAGUAUAGAGUAACCGUUAGACAAGAAAAUAGUAGUAAAAUCAAAAUUCUAAGAAAUAAAAAAGAUAUUCAAUUAAACCAUUUAAAUGAAUUUUGGAUGUGGCCGGAUCACUAAAUUGAUUGUUUAAAUGAAAAUCUUUUUUAUUUCUUAAAAUUUUUGUUUUAAAUAAAAAUGACAUGAUAAAAAAUUUUAAUGAAAAAAUUAAUAAAAUAGCUUGAGUGAUUUUCUGAGAAAAGAAUUCAUACUUGAAUGACUUUUGAAGGAAAAAUUAAAGUUGAAUUACUUUCUGAGAAAAGAACUCAUAGUUGAGUGACUUUUGGAGUAAGAAUCAAAGUUGAUACUUUCUGAGAGAAAAAUCACAAGUUGAGUGACCAUUUGAGUUAUUAACUCCAUGAACUAAGCCUUAUUGUGAAAUUAUGAACCUUUGAGAAUGAGUUAUUGAUACUCUUUAAAGUGUUUCAAGAAGUGUACUUAAAUCCACAUGCUAUUGAGUAUUCAAGUUUAUUCAUGAUAAGUCUAUCGAGAUUUCAAUAAAAACAUUGAGUCUUUAUCCUAAGCUAAGAAAGAAAUCAACAUCAUUUUAAUUUAAGAUAAGGCGAAGCAUAUUGGCUCCCAUUUCAUGUGUUAAGUUGUUUAAGGUGGAUUUUCUUAAAAGUUCUGAGCUAAGUAAGGGAGUAGUAUUUAGCACCGAGUUGGGCUUGAUUCCGAGGUCUCAUGCCCUUGAACUACGUGCGCCCGUAGGUUUCUGAUUUACCCUAAGUGGGUUAAAAUAGUGAUCACUAAAAAGUUAAGGCUCUACUCCGAUGGCAAGGAUAGAAAAACUCUCCCCAACGUGAGUAAGACGUUGGAAUUCAUGUAGCUCACAUGGUUUAUGUCGGUUAGAAGAAAAUCCCGAGUCCCAAAGUUGUAUAAUCCCAAGUCUCCCAAGUUUUCUAGAGUCUCAAGUCGUAAAGUUCUUAAAAGUACCAAAUGCUUGAAUUUUAAAGAUGUUUUACUCUCCCAAGGCUAAAAGCAUGAAUUUUGAAAGUAUAAGUAUUUCAAAAGCUAUUGUUUUAAGAUUUAUAAGAUUUCAAAGUGUCAUGAUGUUUAAGUCCUAAAGAAGUUACUUGUUCUCACAAGAUUAAAGCAUAAGUCCUGAAAGUUGAUAUUUUCAGAUUUUAUUUAGUUUACAAGUUGAGAACAAAUAAAGAAGGCAGAUUUAGAAUAAAGUAAAAUGGCGCACAUGAUUUAUAUUGUAUGUUUCCCAUCCAUGAUUUCUGAGGAUUUUAUUCAAGCUAUGUGAGUCAUCUAUUAUAUCAUGCAUGUUUUCUGUAAAGACUUAUGAUGUUAACUAUUUAACUGCCACACCCCCAUAUACUCAGUACAUUCCCGAGGUACUGUCCACAUACUUGUCUGUGUGCUACAUUUUCUCGUAAUGUAGGUUCGGGUGCUCAGUCCCAGCCUCGUCAGUGAUUCCCGCAUGCCUUUAUCUACAUCUCCACAGUGGUGAGUCCUCAUGAUUCGAGGACCUAUUAUCUUCAGACAUUCAUUUUAUCUAGUAGUUGUGUAUUUCUUUUCAGUUAAGUAUGUAUUAGUUGGGAAUCUGUCCCAAUGGCUCUCUAGUUUCUUGAGUAGUAGAGGUUGUGUUAGACUAGUUAUCAGACUGUUAGUAUGCUACGGUUUUUAGUAUUGUGACUAUUCAGAUAGAGAAUUUUCUUAGUAUCCCUUAUGAUUUGAUAUGACAGUACCAGUGUUUUGUUUAUUUUAUCUAUAAGUAAGGUAUCACAUGAAGUAGCAGGCUCAAAGGGUUAGCUUGGGGCUACUUGUAGCCUUAAGCACCGUGUGACGUCUCCGAUCCCGUUUUCAGGGUGUUACACUUGUUUUAUGCCCUAGUUUCAGAUUAGGACUCUCUCUUUCUAAGAGAAGUGUUCUCUCGAUAACAAGCACAAACCAAUGGAAAUAAACCCCUUAAUAUUCAAUAUAUACAACAUUACAAAUAUAAGAGAAAUGACAAAAGGGCCCUUCACUAGAGGGCUCCAAAGCCUCCCCAUUGAGAGCACCAAAAGGGAGGGUUUGGGCCUCCUCUUCAGUUGGGUUUGUGCACUCUUUAAGUGGUCUUCAAAAUGCUCAAAAAGUGUCCAUGAUUGUGAUCAUACUUGUAUCAGUUGUUCCAAUCACAACUUUUGUGAUUAUAUAGUUGCCUGCCACUAAUAUUUUGUGGACUAAUAAGUCAAUAAAGAAAUAAUAUGAUAAGAGGGAGUAUCAUAGCAAAUCUCCAGCUAAGGAGCCAAAAAGGAAAACUUUUUGACUCAUAAAGUGAAUAUCACCUAAAUUUUUUUACCCUUUUCCAACAGUUUUCAUGACCCUUGGAAGUGCUCGAAUUGUCAGAGGGUUCAAAUGCUACAUAAUUGACUCAUAAAGUGAAUAUAAGAUCAGUGAAGUCACAACAAGAUUUUCAGAGGGUUCAAAUGCUACAUAAUUAUCACAAGUUUUCUUUUAUUGCUCUAAUGAAACCUUUUCAAGAUAGUAGAUUUAUCAACAAAUACAGAAGGAGAUUGCGCAUGCCAAUAGCUACUUCUAACUGUAAUGGAAAAAUAUGGGUCUUUAUAAACCAUGAUUUUGAUAUUAUAGUUAUUAGUAAUACAGAAAAACAGCUUACUAUAAAGCUGAAACAUCAGAUCAUGCAUCAGAGUUUUUACAUCACUAUUGUUUAUGCUAAGUGCAAUGCAGAUCAAAGAUUAGUUUUGUGGAAUGAUAUUUAUCAGGUGGAAUAUUAAAUUGAUGGCCCUUGGUUAGUUGGGGGUGACUUUAAUGUGGUGAUAAAUGCAGAAGAGAAAAUAGGAGGUCUGCCUGUGGUAAAUGCUGAUCAUGAAGACUUUGAAUGUUGUAUCUCAUCUUGUGACUUAACAGAAGUUCCUUUCAAAGAGAGCCCCUUCACAUGGUGGAAUGAUAGAGUUGAUAAUGAUUGUAUUUUUGAGAGGUUGGAUAGAAUUUUUAUUAAUCAAGAUAUGCAAGACUGGUUCAAUCAUACUGAAGUUGAACAUUUACCAAGAACUAGAUCAGACCAUGCUCCAAUGUUGCUUACUUGUGAAGAAAAUGAUUCCAGAUAUAGGAAACCAUUCAGGUUUCUACAAUUUUGGACAGAACAUAAAGUCUUUAAGGAGAUUGUUAGGCAGAAUUGGGUUUCCAAUGAUUCUGGAAAUCCUUUUCUAGCUUUUAAUAAGGAGAACAUAAAGAGGGUUAAGAAUGCUUUGACCAAAUGGAGCAAGGACACUUAUGGGGAUAUUUUCAAGCAAUUGAUCAUUAGAGAAGAUUGUUAGAAUCAAAGAGAAUCUCUUUGAAGAAGUGCCAAAUACUAUGAAUAGAGUUGUGUUGCAGAAGGCUCAAGCUGAAUUUAAAAGAUAUCUCCAUUUUGAAGAGAUUUUUUGGCGACAAAAAGUUAGGUAUGAUUGGUUUGAAAAUGUGGAUAGAAAUACAAGAUUCUUCCACAACAUAGUAAAGGGAAGAAGGAAUAGACUUCAUCUAAAGAGAAUACAAAAAAGUCAGGGGACCUGGUUGGAAGAGGAAGGAGAGAUAGCUGUAGAAGCCAUUGAUUUUUACCAUACACAGUUCUCUAAAGAGAGAGAUGCCACUGAUUUUUCAUUAUUGAGGCACAUCUCUGAAUCUGUGAGUCUUGAAGAGAACCUUUUGUUAUGCAAAACCCCAGAGUUAGAGGAGGUUAAGAAGGUUGGUUUUGCCUUGAAUAGUGAUAGUGCUAGUGUACCUGAUGGUUUAACAGAGAGAUUCUACCAGUGUUGUUGGGAUAUAGUUGGGAAUGAUAUCCUAACAAUAGUUCAUGAUUUUUUUCAAGGUAACUCUUUGCCAAAGUGUAUUACUCAUACUAAAUUGGUGCUUUUACCUAAGAAAGAAAAUGUUCAAUCUUUCUCAGAUUUAAGACCUAUUAGUUUGAAUAAUUUCAUCAAUAAAAUUCUUUCUAGAAUUAUUCAUGAUAGACUUGAGGCUUUGAUACCUAAUUUGAUCUCUUGUAAUCAAUUUGGUUUUAUAAAAGGUAGAAACAUCAUCAAAAAUAUUUUAUUGACUCAAGAGAUUGUUACGGAUAUCAGAAAGAGAGGUAAGCCUGCAAAUGUGAUACUUAAGCUUGAUAUGACUAAAGCCUAUGACAGAGUUUCUUGGUUCUUUCUGAUGAAAGUUUUAAGAAAAAUGGGCUUCUCUCAUAUUUUUGUAGACUUGAUUUGGAGAUUGAUAUCUAACAAUUGGUAUUUUGUGUUGAUUAAUAGGCAAGCUCAGGGUUUCUUUCACUCAACUAGAGGUGUUAAGAAAGGGGAUCCUUUAUCUCCUGCCCUUUUUAUUUUAUCGGCAAAGGUUUUAUCUAGAUCCUUGAAUGCUUUAUUUGAGGAUGUGCAGUUUGUUGGUUAUGGUCUUCCUAAGUGGAGUUCACAAUUGAAUCAUCUUGCAUAUGCAUAUAAUACUAUUAUUUUUGCUUCUGCUGACAAAUAUUUUUGAAAAAGAUUGUGUCAACUUUACAUGAAUAUGAAGUUUAGUCUGGUCAGAAAAUUAAUAAAGAAAAGAGUUCUUUCUUUAUACAUCAGAGUGUUGCUGCAAAUUUAAAAAGAUUAGUGGAAGAAUGCACAGGUUUUUCUAGGGGUCAUUUUCCAUUCAAAUACCUUGGUUGUCCGAUCACUCAUGCUAGGAAAAGAAAAGAGCAUUAUGUUGAGCUUAUUAGAAGAGUGAGAGACACAAUUCAUGCUUGGAAAGGGAACAUAUUGUCCUUCGAGGGCAAGGAAGUGUUAAUCACUAGUGUUUUACAAAGUACUCCAAUUCAUGUGUUAUCUGCAGUUGUUCCUCCUAAUUGUGUGUUGAAAGAGCUUCAUAGAAUUUUUGCAAAAUUCUUUUGGAGUAAUAAAAUUUUAGGUAGGAGCAAGUAUUGGGCUUCUUGGGAUAAGGUUUGCUUACCUAAAUUUGAAGGUGGUUUGGGUUUUAAAUCUAUGGGUGAUAUAUCUCAAGCUAUGUUUGCCAAGCUUUGGUGGAAAUUCAUGACCCAAAAUUUAUUAUGGGCUAAUUUCAUGUGGAACAAAUACUGCAAAAAACAAAUUCCCGCUCUUGUUCAAUGGAAAGGUGGUUCUCAAGUAUGGAAACACAUGCUGCAAAAUAGAGAGAUUGUUGAAUAGAAUUUGUGGUGGGAACCAAGAGGAGGCUCAUCUAGCAUUUGGUUUGAUAAUUUGACUAAUCUUGGUCCAUUAUAUGUUCAACGUAUUGAUGUUCUAGGAUGUCAUUCUGUGACAGAUAUUGAUAUGUUCUUGACAGAAGAUGGUUGGGAUUUUGAACUCAUGCAAGAACAUUUGCCUAGUAAUACUGGUGAGCAUGUUAGGAUGAAUAUGGGCAAUGUUAGCCAGACUAGAGAAAUGGAUAAACCUUGGUGGAUAAAGAAUAGUACUGGAAAAUUCACUGUCAAAUCUAUUUGGGAAAUUUUAAGAAAGAAAUCUGCUCCUAAUAAUGAUUUUAUGAUGUUGUGGGUGAAGGGGCUUCCUUUCAAAAUUUCUUUUUUUUUUGGAUGGAGGGUAUGUACACAUAGGGUUCCUAUAGCUUCUGUCAUGGCUACCUGGAAUCUUACCAUUUCCCAAAUGUGUCAGUGUUGUAGAAUUCCCAUGAGGGAAACCAUAGAGCACCUAUUCUUGACAUGAGAAGAAGCUAUUUUUAUAUGGGAUUAUUAUGCUAGAUGUGCUGGUCUCUUAGGCCCUUGGGUACAGGUUAAACAGACUAUGAAGAAAUGGAGGGUUUUUCAAGGUAAUAUUAGACAGAAAAUAAUCUUUCAGACACUUCCUAACAUCAUCCUAUGGUUUAUAUGGAAGAGGAGGAAUACAAUUCUUCAUGGUGGUUCAUACUCUAGAAAUAAGGUUUUAUGGGACAUUAAUGAUUCUAUCUAUAAAUUUAUUAGGUUAAAGUUCAAUUUCUUUUCCUAAUAAUUGGCCCCAAAUGGUUUCUCUUUUGGAAAAUUAUAGACCUAAUUUUCAUUGUAAAGUUGUUAGGUGGAUGGCUCCACCUUUUGGUUAGUUAAAAUGUAAUACUGAUAGGGCCUCUAAAGGUAACCCAGGUCCAGUGCUGCUGCUUUUUGUUUGAGAAAUCAUGAAGGAGAAUUUGUGGGAGCUAAAGUUUUCAGAUUGCUGAUACAACUAACCUAGUGGCUGAGGCUAGAGCUAUAAGGGAAGGGCUCCAAUACUGUUUAGAUAAUCCGCUCACCAACAUUAUCAUGGAAACUGACUCUUUGGCUAUGGUUAACAUUAUCAAUGGAGAUUGAGAGAUUCCUUGAACUGUUUCUAUGGAGGUCAAGACCAUUAACAGGAUCAGAAAUGGCCUAUUAGUGAGACUACAACACUCCUUAAGGGAGGAAAAUACUCUUGCUGAUUUUUUUGCUAAUUUAAUUUUUAGUUUUGCAGGUACAUAUGAAUUCAGCUCAAUUCAAGAAGUCCCAAGUGCAGGGAGAAAGAUUAUUAAUCUUGAGAAGAUCAACACUCCAAGCAUGAGAAUCAGAAAAAUAAAUAUAUCAAGCAAUUCCAACUGAUAAGUUCAAAUCUUAAGUUUUACUGUACAUGUUUCAUUGUUUGAAAAAAAAUAACUAUUUUAAUACUAAUACUUUAUAGGCUAAUCAAUAAAGAAAUAAUAAAUCUCCAGCUUAGCUUAGGACUCAAAGACAAAUAGUGGAGUAUCUUUUUUCUUAAAAAAAGUAAACUUUUUGACUGUGUGCUAUCACUCAAUUAUGAAGAUUAUCUUUAAUUUGAAAAAAAAAAAUAUUUUAAUACUAAUACUUUAUAGGCUAAUCAAUAAAUAAAUAAUAAAUCUCCAGCUUAGGACUUAGGAGCCAAAUAGUGGAGUAUUUUUUCUCUUAAAGAAAACAAAUUUUUUGACUCAUACAAUGAGCUAUGACUCAAUUUUCAAGACUAUCUUUAAUUUGAAAAAAUAUAAAUAUUUUCAUUUUUUAUUCAACGAAACAUAUAACAAUUUAACAAGUACUUUCUUCAUUUAAAAAAAAAAAUUGAUUUUUUUUUAUUUUUAAUCUAUUUAAAAAAUAUUUUUUUUAAUAAUACUAUUCCAACUUUUCACGUGGUACAUUUAAAACUACAAAAUAAAAUGAUAUUUUAGUAUUAAAAGUUGGGAGUAACAUUAAUAUACAGGUUUACAUUGAAAUUAAAUAUUUUAAUUUUCGAUAUGCCAAUGCACGGAUGUUUAGCAAGGAGGUGAGAGAUAUUGGCUAUGAUAAGGGUAUGAGGAGAAGUAGAGUUACAUGGAAGAAGUAUAGAAAGAGAUAAGUAGACCUGAUAUGAUAUACUUGUAAAUAUGAAGGUUGAGAUUAUGAUAGAAGAGUAAUAGGUAGUUGAAUGUUGUUUACUUUUUCUUUAUUAGUGUUGUUAUUACUAUUCACAUGUUAUUAAUCUGUACUUCGAUUCUAUUAUUACAUAUUUUCUUUGCUUCCAACUAUGUGUUGUUGCAAUCGUUUCUCUUUUUUCAGUUGAACAUAAGUAUUUUCCUAUUAUAUUAUCUUUUUUAUAGGUGAUUUUAUGCUUUACUUACUCUGAAUGUCUAUCAAAAAUAACUUUUUAACUUUACAAGGUAGAAACAAAGUUACAUACAAACUCUCUUUUCAUAGAUAUUCACUUGCGAAAUUAUACCGAUUAUAUUUUUGUUGUAACAUCUAUAUACCCAAAGGCAGAAGCAAAGUCAUUAUACUAAUUAUAAAUUCAACAAAUUCAAUAACUUUAACUUAAAUUUUAUUUUCUGUACUAAAUUAUAAAAAGAAGUAUGAUUCAGACCUUAUAAAGUAAAGAUUUUCGAUUGCUGCUCUAGCCAAAAACGCCUUUGUCCAGGACAAAUGUACUUUUAAAUAUGUUUAUUUAAAAUUAAAGAAUAUCCAAUUUUAAUUAUAACUUUUAGAAUGAGAGAACUUCUUUAUUGUACUUAAAAAUAUAUAAAGUAUUAGAAUGUCAGACAUAUUCCCCCUACCACAACAAGACGUUCUCGUAUAAGUAGUGGCUAGUGGCCGGGCAAAGUGUCCAACACAGUUUGGUUCAACUUUUCAACCAUAGAUAAUAGUGCACAUUCAGUCAAUGUUUUCUGACCUUGUUCUCGUAUAAGGUGUAAAAAAAGUGUUUAUUUUAUUUUGUAACUUGUCUUAUUCUCCAUUGUGUUUUAAUUCAACUGAACACGAAAUUCAUGCAAUCAUCUUUGAAUUUUAUGAUCUUCAACAUAUAACCUAAGUGUGGGAUAAUGCCAAUAGAUAAUGUAAGUGUUGGAUAAUGCCAACACUGUGUUUAACAAUGCCCAAGGUGAGGCUAGGGAUUAGGGUGACAUGGGUGUGAGUUAUGAUCGAACAUGGUGUUUGUCUGAUGAGCUUGAUUAAGAAAUAAAGUUACACCCUUGUUGUCAUCUAUAACUUUUGACAUCACAUAUUGAAAUUAACGAAUUAUAUUUAAUAUACAAAGUAUGAUUACUUUUUAAACAAAAUAGGAAAAAUGCUCCAUUACCACAUUGAACUAGGGCUGUCAAGUGGGCCGGUUCCGGGUUUUAACUGGGUUGAGAGCCGGGCCGGGGCCGGGUUGGGGUCUAAGUGGGCCAGGCCGGUUCGGGCCCAACAGUAAAAAAAUCAAAAACCACCCUAACCCGGCCCACUUAACCCAACCCGGUCAAACCCACCUAAACCUGGUCAAACCCGUUUAAAAAACCGAUCAAAAAUAUUUUAAAAAAAAAAAAUUUCAAUAUACAUUAUAUAUACCCACCUAUAUACAUUAUAAAUACGUUAAACAAUAUAUAUACACUAUAUAUAUAGUAUAUGCUACAUUAGAAUUUAAAAAAUAUAUACACAAUUACACAUAUAUAUGUACCAUCCAAAUAUAUAUGUACUACUUUAAACUUUAAAAUUUAAAUAAAAUAUACUACAAUAUAUAUAUACACAUGUAGAUGUUAAAUAUACACGUCUAUAGAAGAUCUAUUCACAUAUAAACACUCUAAUCUAUGUAUAUGUAAUACUUUAAAUGAAAUAUACUAUAAUAUAUAAACAUUACAAUAUAUAUGUGUAUAGUUAUAUACUAAUUUAUGAAACAUAUACACAUGUAUACGUUAAAUAUACACGUCUAUAGAAGAUNNNNNNNNNNNNNNNNNNNNNNNNNNNNNNNNNNNNNNNNNNNNNNNNNNNNNNNNNNNNNNNNNNNNNNNNNNNNNNNNNNNNNNNNNNNNNNNNNNNNNNNNNNNNNNNNNNNNNNNNNNNNNNNNNNNNNNNNNNNNNNNNNNNNNNNNNNNNNNNNNNNNNNNNNNNNNNNNNNNNNNNNNNNNNNNNNNNNNNNNNNNNNNNNNNNNNNNNNNNNNNNNNNNNNNNNNNNNNNNNNNNNNNNNNNNNNNNNNNNNNNNNNNNNNNNNNNNNNNNNNNNNNNNNNNNNNNNNNNNNNNNNNNNNNNNNNNNNNNNNNNNNNNNNNNNNNNNNNNNNNNNNNNNNNNNNNNNNNNNNNNNNNNNNNNNNNNNNNNNNNNNNNNNNNNNNNNNNNNNNNNNNNNNNNNNNNNNNNNNNNNNNNNNNNNNNNNNNNNNNNNNNNNNNNNNNNNNNNNNNNNNNNNNNNNNNNNNNNNNNNNNNNNNNNNNNNNNNNNNNNNNNNNNNNNNNNNNNNNNNNNNNNNNNNNNNNNNNNNNNNNNNNNNNNNNNNNNNNNNNNNNNNNNNNNNNNNNNNNNNNNNNNNNNNNNNNNNNNNNNNNNNNNNNNNNNNNNNNNNNNNNNNNNNNNNNNNNNNNNNNNNNNNNNNNNNNNNNNNNNNNNNNNNNNNNNNNNNNNNNNNNNNNNNNNNNNNNNNNNNNNNNNNNNNNNNNNNNNNNNNNNNNNNNNNNNNNNNNNNNNNNNNNNNNNNNNNNNNNNNNNNNNNNNNNNNNNNNNNNNNNNNNNNNNNNNNNNNNNNNNNNNNNNNNNNNNNNNNNNNNNNNNNNNNNNNNNNNNNNNNNNNNNNNNNNNNNNNNNNNNNNNNNNNNNNNNNNNNNNNNNNNNUCUAAUCCAAUCUCUGAGGCAAACUAGAACAUUCAUUGCAUUGCUUCCCAAUGAGUGUCGGUUGUCUCCAAGUUGUUGUCGUCCCUGACUAAAGGCGAUCUCUGAUGCAACGGUUGACAUUGGAACAUUCAAGAUAUCUCUAGCUAAUCUUGAAAUUAUAGGAUAUUGUGUUCCAUUACUCCUUCACCAAUCCAACGUGUUGAUCCGUCGUCUGCGAUCCUCUGGUACUGUCCGAAGAUAAUAUUUCAGCUCUUCCCGAUAAGUUGAUAUAUAAGUUCUCUCGUCAACACUGUUCCAACAAUUUAAAUCAUAAAACAAAUCAUAAAAACCACUAUGUGCCGGCCUUUUAGAAGAUGAUGGCUCCUCGGGAGGAUGAGGAGCGACAAUUGGAGUGAUAUUUUUAGGUACGGCUAAAUCAAAUAAAUCAGCAUAGUGAUUAUAUAAUUUUUCUAUGUAAUCCUUUGCAUCAGCCGUAGCCGUCCACAAAUCAGGUUGUACUUGUUCAGAAUCAUGGUUAGCAUUUAUUUCUAAGUUAGUAUAAAUAAGAGUACUAAAGUGACACAUAUUAUUAUACUUCAUGCACAGAUUUAGCAUAGUACCAACCAAGUAAAUAGGGGGAAUUGGAAAAAAAUAUUUUUUAAAUUUUGUAAACAUGGCGCCAACAGCUUCUUUAUAACCUUCUUUAUUUUUAUAUUCUUUGAGCAAACNNNNNNNNNNNNNNNNNNNNNNNNNNNNNNNNNNNNNNNNNNNNNNNNNNNNNNNNNNNNNNNNNNNNNNNNNNNNNNNNNNNNNNNNNNNNNNNNNNNNNNNNNNNNNNNNNNNNNNNNNNNNNNNNNNNNNNNNNNNNNNNNNNNNNNNNNNNNNNNNNNNNNNNNNNNNNNNNNNNNNNNNNNNNNNNNNNNNNNNNNNNNNNNNNNNNNNNNNNNNNNNNNNNNNNNNNNNNNNNNNNNNNNNNNNNNNNNNNNNNNNNNNNNNNNNNNNNNNNNNNNNNNNNNNNNNNNNNNNNNNNNNNNNNNNNNNNNNNNNNNNNNNNNNNNNNNNNNNNNNNNNNNNNNNNNNNNNNNNNNNNNNNNNNNNNNNNNNNNNNNNNNNNNNNNNNNNNNNNNNNNNNNNNNNNNNNNNNNNNNNNNNNNNNNNNNNNNNNNNNNNNNNNNNNNNNNNNNNNNNNNNNNNNNNNNNNNNNNNNNNNNNNNNNNNNNNNNNNNNNNNNNNNNNNNNNNNNNNNNNNNNNNNNNNNNNNNNNNNNNNNNNNNNNNNNNNNNNNNNNNNNNNNNNNNNNNNNNNNNNNNNNNNNNNNNNNNNNNNNNNNNNNNNNNNNNNNNNNNNNNNNNNNNNNNNNNNNNNNNNNNNNNNNNNNNNNNNNNNNNNNNNNNNNNNNNNNNNNNNNNNNNNNNNNNNNNNNNNNNNNNNNNNNNNNNNNNNNNNNNNNNNNNNNNNNNNNNNNNNNNNNNNNNNNNNNNNNNNNNNNNNNNNNNNNNNNNNNNNNNNNNNNNNNNNNNNNNNNNNNNNNNNNNNNNNNNNNNNNNNNNNNNNNNNNNNNNNNNNNNNNNNNNNNNNNNNNNNNNNNNNNNNNNNNNNNNNNNNNNNNNNNNNNNNNNNNNNNNNNNNNNNNNNNNNNNNNNNNNNNNNNNNNNNNNNNNNNNNNNNNNNNNNNNNNNNNNNNNNNNNNNNNNNNNNNNNNNNNNNNNNNNNNNNNNNNNNNNNNNNNNNNNNNNNNNNNNNNNNNNNNNNNNNNNNNNNNNNNNNNNNNNNNNNNNNNNNNNNNNNNNNNNNNNNNNNNNNNNNNNNNNNNNNNNNNNNNNNNNNNNNNNNNNNNNNNNNNNNNNNNNNNNNNNNNNNNNNNNNNNNNNNNNNNNNNNNNNNNNNNNNNNNNNNNNNNNNNNNNNNNNNNNNNNNNNNNNNNNNNNNNNNNNNNNNNNNNNNNNNNNNNNNNNNNNNNNNNNNNNNNNNNNNNNNNNNNNNNNNNNNNNNNNNNNNNNNNNNNNNNNNNNNNNNNNNNNNNNNNNNNNNNNNNNNNNNNNNNNNNNNNNNNNNNNNNNNNNNNNNNNNNNNNNNNNNNNNNNNNNNNNNNNNNNNNNNNNNNNNNNNNNNNNNNNNNNNNNNNNNNNNNNNNNNNNNNNNNNNNNNNNNNNNNNNNNNNNNNNNNNNNNNNNNNNNNNNNNNNNNNNNNNNNNNNNNNNNNNNNNNNNNNNNNNNNNNNNNNNNNNNNNNNNNNNNNNNNNNNNNNNNNNNNNNNNNNNNNNNNNNNNNNNNNNNNNNNNNNNNNNNNNNNNNCUCUACCGCUAGUAAUUCGCUUUUUACUACCACUACCGCUUCCGGGACAAAAAAUUUUAACACCUUUAGUAGCGAGGUUUCUUAAUUUAUCCAUAAUAUAAAUUAAAUUAAACUAAAAAUAUUCAAAAUACACAAAUAUAAUAAAAUUAAAUAUUAAACAAUUAAUACAAUAAAUAAAAAUUAAACGUAAGAGAUGGAACGACAAUACCAAAUUUUGGAAGUAUCCUAAGAUUGCGACUUUAGAAACUUCCGCUCGUACUUUGUAAGCGAAAAAUUAAAAAAUUAAAGUGAAUACUUUAAGAAAUUAAAUAUAUUGAAUAUUUGAGAAUUGAGAAUUGAGCUUGAGAGAGAAUGAGAUUUGAGAGAGUGAAAAAUUGUGUGAAAAAUGAUUUGAGGUUGUAGGGUAUUUAUAGAUUUUUUUUUGGGAUUAAAAAAUAUUUUUUAAAGUUUUUUUUUUUUUUUAAUAAAUGGGCCCAAACUAGCCGUUUGGACCCAAAAACGAUUAUAUAGCCGUUGGCCCUAGUUUGGCCCAAAAGCCAAAAUAUCUUUUUUUUAUUUUUAUUUUUCUGGGCCGGGCUGGGCCGGUUAACCGGCGGGCCUGGACCGGGCUUGGUCCAGAGGCCGGGUUCCGGGCCCAUUUUAACAAAAUAACCGGCCUGGGACCCGGAACCCUAAAGCCCUAGGGCUUACCGGGCCGGGUCAAACCGGGCUGGGUCGGGCCGUCUCAGCCCGGCUUACUUGACACCCCUACCUUGAACUAUACGUGAAAAGGCUGAUACACAACCAAAUUUUAGAAGGGUUCUAUUACCCUUGGACUGAUUAAAAUCAUAUAUUUGACAACCUUAGUGCCUACCGUGUGCCUACGUGGACCCUUCAGUGUGUUGUGAAGUAUAUGUCUAAUUAGUGCAGGGGGUAAUAGGACCCUCCUAAAGUUCGGAUGUGUCUCAACCUUUUCGCGUAUAGUUCAAAGUGAUAAUUGAGUGUUUUCUCAACAAAAUAAAAAGAAAAGGAAAGCACACAAAUUGAAACAAAGGCUGCAUAUUAAUAUUGAGUGUUAUGAAUUCCGAUUACUCAUAUUAGAAAGGAGAUUUAUAAGCUUUGAAACAAUAUUGAGUUUGAUUUAAUAAUCGAAUUAAAAUUUCUUUUUCUUUUCUGCCUGCAACAGUACAACGUUAUGAUUUGAUUGUAUUCAUUGCAUAUUUGCAGGCCAUGGUGUUGUAGAUCACAAUGCCAUUAAAACCUUCACAUUAGAUAGUAUUUUCUCCUUCCGUUUUUACUUGUUUGUGUUUGAUUUGAUGCACUUUUUAAAUAAUCACAAUAAAUAAAAGGAUAAUUUUCUAUAUUGCUCAUGUUAAUUAUAAGUAAUUUAUAAAUGUUAGAAUAAUGUAUAUGCUUUAACAACAAAGGUGAAAUACACACUCAUUGGUAAAUUAUAUCUAGGUUUGCCAAAUUGAACUAGUAAAACUAGACAUCUAAUUUAAUAUAUCGUAUAUGUAGAUAUAAAAAGGGAUAAUAUCCACGAAAAUAUCUGAACUUUAACGACAUUUUCAGUUGAGCAUAUUGAACUUUGCGGGGGUCCUAUUACACACCAAUACUUUUUUAAGUGGAACUAAUUUCCCCGGGACUUUUUUAAAGUGGAAUUAAUUGCCCCCCGCAAAGUUAUACCUAGUUUUGACGUUGGAAAGUGUGGUACACGGGCUGUUUCUUCUUCAUUUUAUCAAUUUUCAACAUUUUUACACCAUUAUAACCCUAUUAAAGAUUCCACAACUCAAAUUCCUCUUACAAAUCAAAUUUCAAAUGAUUCAAGUGCAUUCCAACUCAAAUUUCAAAUUCAAAUUGAAAACUUUCAUUAAUGGAAUCUUCAAAUUUGGAAAUUCAAAAUGAAAACUGAAAAUGAAAAAACAGGAAACUAGAAACUGAUUUGCAGGGUUAAACUCUUCAUGCUGCUCUGUGGUAAACUUGAAUGGAACCAAGCUUCUUUGCGUUCAGUAAUUAGAGGCCACAUGAUACCCCAAGAGAGCACAGCUCCAAGAAGCAAAGAUAUGUUCACAAUGUGGGAACAAAUUAUUCUAGCUCCCACUUAAGUCAUGUUGAAAUCGAAGAAAAAACUAGAAACAUUCAAUGGUAUAAAUUAGUGCUAGUAGUAAUGCAAAAUCAUUUAUGAGCCACUAAAAGUAUAUAGCAAGUACAUACGUUUGCUUCCAAGCUUUCAAAUUUGAGUUCAAUAUGAAAUUGAAUUUGAAUUUGAAAUUAUUCAAAGUAUUAAAUUGAAUUUGGGUGUGUUGAAGAUGACUCAUUUGGGUGCGUAUGUGUGUGAUUUAAUUGUGUUCAAUUUUAAUUCUACAAUGGAGCAACCAUUGUUGAAGACUCCAUUGUUGAAGAGAAAAAAGAGAGAAGAGAGAAGAGAGAAGAGAGAAGAGAAAAGAGAGAAGAGAAAGAAUGAAAAUAUAUAUAUAUAUAUAUAUAUAUAUAUAUAUAUAAAACUUUGAAUAAUUAAAAAAUUUAGGGGUUGUUUGGACAAAAAAAAUGUGUUUAUAACGUUUUUUAACGCCUUCACACACUCAAUGCACGUGUCGAACACACAAUUGUUCAAGUGGUAGAUAAUGCCAUUAAAAUACGAAAAAAAAAGUCUAUGAGGGUAAUAAGACCCCCACAAAAUUCAGUAUGCUCAACUGGUAAUUCGGUGAAAGUUCAGGUAUUUUCGUGGGUAUUAUUCCACAAAAAUGUACAAAGAGAGUGUAGCAACCUAAAUUUUCGUUUGAUCAUAGAUUUUGAAGUUAAAACGGAAUAUUUGAGCUUUUGCCAUUGUAAUUUUUAAAUUUGGAAGUUGUAUUUAAACUUUCUUUCACUUUAGAAAAAAAAAAGAAAUUGUGAGUGAAAAAUUCCGCGUGAAUUUUUCAAAAUCUGAUCAAAUUUCAUGAUCAGACAGACAUUUAUAGAUAACUUUUUAAAACUAAUUCUAAAAUCUAUAAUUAAACGCUAGCUAAAACUUUGAAAAUACAACAAACAUUUGUAAAAUGUUGAUAAAAAAUAUAAUAGCGAAGACUAUGGAACACAUUAGAGUACCAAACUAUCCUUCUGUUUUUUAUUUUUGCAAAUCAAGAACUCAGAAAGAAAAAUAAAACCUAUUAAAUCAUGAACUAUAAUUAUUUAUUUAUUUUUGGGUACAAGGUACAUUUCAAAAACGUCAUAAAAAUGUGAAAGUGCAAGUACAUUUCAUUUAGUGAGAAAACAUUUUUAGAAACAACCAUAAUUUUUCCCCACUAACAAAGCAUAAAACUAUUAAAUGAAGGCAACGUUAAAACUUCACGCUAAUAUAUACUCCCUCCGUCCUAUUUUACUCAUCCCAAAUUGGGAUAAUACAGCUAUUAAGAAAAAUAAUAAAUAACAUGUCUAGUUUACCAUAGUACCCCUAUUAAAUGAUGUUUACAUUUUAAUUUAAAGAAAAAUAUAACUAAUGCAAAAGUUAAAUAUGAAAAAAUAAAUUGUCUUAUCUUGAUAAGUAAAAAAAGAAAAGUAAAAUGAGAUAUAUAUUAGAAAAUUUGGGACCGGUAAAAUGAGAUGGAGGAAGUAUUUAACACUGUUUUUAUGAUGCACUAUUCCCAAUUACAAGACAUUACUCCAUAAAUACGACAAGUAAAAAAGAAAUAAAUAUUUAUUUUUCUAAAAAACAAAAGGUAAAAACAAACUCCAGAAUCGAAGUAAAUUAAAUUGCUAAAAGUAACGCUGCUAGUCCAAUGAAGGCCGUCAAAGGUGAGGAUAAAAUCGUCAUUUUAUGGCUAUGGUUCUGUUGGCUAAGGGCAAGUGGGUGGUAAUACGUGGGUGUUUGGAUGGAGUUAUUUUAAGUUAAAAAUAGGUUUUAAAUUAUUUUUAACUUUUUAAGUGUUUGACAAUUUAAAAUUUGUUUAAAAAACUAAAAUUUGCUUUUAUCUAUUUAAGUGGAAGACCACAUCAAUGGUAGUUUUUAUUCUUCCCUUCUUUGGAGUUUCAUAUUAGAAUUAUUGGGGGUGUGAGAAACACACCUAAAUUAUCACUCAUCAAUUUAAGGAACACACCUCAAAAUUAAUAAAAAUUAAUUAAAAAAUGAAAAAUUAAUGUAUUAGCCAAAAAAAAAAAAUGCGAUGUGGAUUGAUUUUUAAUGGCUAGAUACACCUAAAUGAGUUUGUCAACGAAUAUUUAAUCUAGUCAGUUUUUAGGUGUGUUUCUCAAACUAAUAAAUAAUCAUUUAGAUGUAUUUCUUACAUUUCCAAUAGUUUAGGUGUGAGACUCAAAAAAAGGUGAUAUUUAAAGAGUGUUUUACAUACUAUACUCAAAGUUUUUAAUUUUUUAUUUAGUGGGAUAUAUAACAACUUAAUAAGUAAUAUGUUAGUAAUAAUAAAAUAGAAAUGUAUAAUUCGUGAGACGGUCGAUAAAGACCUCUUGUAUUUUGCAAAAAGGUCCAACUUUGUCCUCUGUUAGACUCAAUAUGUUAUCGCUGCUAUUACCUUUUUUUUAAAUUUUCUUUUUUGGGUGCGGAAAAGUGCAACAAUUAUUUAAAAAAAAUGAAAGGAAAUAUUUUUGACUCAUAAAGUGAAUAUGACUCAAUUAUCAAGACUACUUUAAUUUUCAAAAAGUAUUAAUUUGCUAAAAUUAUCCCUUCUUUUUUUUUUUUGAGUUUCAUACUAAAAUUAUUGUGGGUGUGAUAAGUACAUCUAAAUUAUCACUCAUUAGUUUAAGAAACACACCUUCAAAUUAAUAAAAAUCAAUUAAAAUUAAAAAAAAAAUGAGUUAGCAAAAAAGAAUAAAAAUAUGCCACGUGGACUGAUUUUUAAUGGCUAGACACACCUAAAUGAGUUUGUAAAUGAAUAUUUAGUCUAGUUAGUUUUUACAUGUGAUUCUCAAACUAAUAAGUGAUAGUUUAGAUGUGUUUCUUACACUUCCAAUAUUUUAUGCGUAAGACUUAAAAAAAGGUGAUAUUUUAAGUAUAUUUUACAUACUCUGCUCAAAAGUAUUUUAAUUUUUUAUUCAGUGGGACAUAUAACAACUUAAUACAUAUUAUGUUAGCAAUUAUAAAAUAGAAAUGCAUAAUUCGCGAGAAGGUCAAGAAAGACCCCUAUUGCGAAAAGGUCUAACUUUGCCCCGCUAGAAGUUUGGCUCACUAUGUUAUCGCCGCUAUCACUUUUUGUAUUUUUUUAUUUUUUUUCUUUCUUUUUUUUUUUUUUUUUGUUGCCUAAAAGUGCAACAAAGAAGAAUAAGUCAGGAGCCUUAACAUCAGGAUUUAGUCCAACUAAUGAUUAUACAUUAGUUGAAGGGGUGAAGGGGUCUUCUCGGGCUUUGCUAGUUUGGAUUGCUUGUCACGUCUAGGGCCUCGACUCGGAUAGUGACAUUUUUGGUCAAAAUCCCAUAUCUACGAUGGAAACGUAUGUUGGAAAUACACAUUUUUUUCAAAUCACUGUUACAUGUCAUAAUACCAAAACUAGUUCUAAAAGAAUAUCUUUUGCAAAAUGUAUUAUACUGGCAUGGACAAAUGGUCGAGUACAUUCUCCUAUUCAUAGAGUAACAAUGGCUGGGGAGAGUGAUAGAUUCACCAUUCAGUUGUCAUCACUACCAAAUGGAUAUUACACCAUAAAAUUCCAGCAUCCUUUACUCUUUAAGCCCUAUGAAAGUGUUGAGUAUUUUAAAUAUGUUAUGUCGGAAGCUGGCCAAAAAGCAGGCACUGGUGUUUUCAAGGCUUAUUGUGGUGUUUGAAUGAGGGUCAAUCGGAAAAUAGUCUCUCUAUCUAUCACAAGGAGAGGAUAGAUCUGCAUACGUCCUACCAUUUUCUGUUGUUGUUGUUGUAUCUAUCGCAAGGCGAGGGUAGAUCUGCGUACGUCCUACCAUUUUCUGUUGUUGUUGUUGUAUGUGGUGUUUGAACGAGGAUUUAUAAGAUUUUCGGGUUGUUGUAACUUGGAAUAAAAAGAGAAACUAGCACUUUUAAUUCCUGAAGUAUUGAUAAAUUCUGAUUUUCUCUUUGGAUAACUAACAUUUCAUUUUCUAAUCACCAAAAUUGAAUCACCACAAGCUCCAUAACAUAGCUAUAAAAUGAGAUUGAAUCUUUAUAUAUACAAAAAAUAGUAUAUUCAUUCACUUAAAUUACAAUACAUCUAAAUUUUAUAAUCCAAGUUGAUUGACAACAGAAGAGUAAACUAUAUAACACAAAAAUCAUGGUUGUCAUGCUCCGAGUCUACACCUUGGAUGUGGUUAGCACCCGAUGUCAUUGCUGCCCCGAGAGUACCCUUGAUCUAGCGUACUACUAGAACUGACUCUGAAAGAUAAGCGGAAGCUUUGAAUAACAUAAAGUACGAACUAAGAUAAUGAAAUCAAGUAACAAGAUACUUUCAUAAAGUGAGACAUAACGUCAACAGAAAACCAAAUACAACUAACUGACCAACUGAUUGUCUAAAAAGCCUCUAUGACAUACUGAAUAAUGUUUAUCAGGACAAGACCCAAGAUCUAAACUUAUUAACAAAACUGAACUACUGACUAGCCCUCUGAAAGUAAAAAGACCUCAUCCAUAGCUGAACGGAUAGGGAGCUAUGGAUGGUCGAAACCUGCAAAUAUCUUUGAAUAGUUGUGUUUCUUUUCGCGUUUAAUUCUGUCUAUGGUGUAUAAAAACUUGAUUAUAAUUAAAGUGUUACAUCAUUACUCAAUUCUCAAUGUUGCUGAUACUAUGGGCUGUCCAGCCUCAUAGAAACUUAAUUGAACUUCUGUGUACACCACUGAUUGUGUUGUAACACCCCGCAUUUUGGGCUAGAACAAAACCGUCAUUUCUAGGCUUAGAUGUUCCAAAAGUCAUAAAUCCUAUGAAAAUUUAGCGAGUGAAUCAAUUAUGUAGUGUGGAAUCUAUUUGAUCAUGAAUUCAGAUCAUAGAGGUCCCCUAACUCAAGGACGAGUUGAAAACUUUCCUAUAGUUCGAGUUUUAGUGAUUGUCGAAACUUAGAUCAACUUCAAUUGACCAUAACUACCAAUAUAUAGUAAAUUAGAGGUCUUACUAUAUAUCAAAUGAAAUAUCUUUGAAUUAGCUUUCUAACAAUACUAAUUUUUUCAAAAUCCGAUAAUCGAGUGAAAAGUUAUGCCAUGCAAAGCAGUGAGGGGUCACGGUAGCCCCGCGACACGGGGUCUGCCUGACCCAAAAGGGGGUCACGUCGCAAGGGAUACUUAACCGGAAUAGGGGUCCUGACGCGAUGGCAAUUCCCAUGUUAUUUCAGUUCCAUAAGGGUCAAAGGAGACUUUAGUCCUUUCCCCUCAACCCCAAAUGUCCAACGGAUGAUUUAUAUCACCAAAAAGGGCGAUAUUUGCCCAUCUUCUUCAACACCAACUCACCCAAAAUACUCUCUUCCCCAAGAACAAAAUCCAAAAUCCUUUUCUCCAAGAAUCCAAGGAAUUCAACUCCUUCAUUCCAAGAUCACAAGAAACGAAAUCAGAUCUGGAUUCCAUACUUCAACUAAGUAAUCUAAGGUUAAGAACUCUUACCCAAGAUCAAGAAUUCCAUGAAAAAGAUCAAAAAUACGGGUUCCAUCUAUCAUGAUCUAGGUUUCAUCUUUCAAAUCUCGUAAUCUAAGGUACGUGGGGUUUAUCCUAAAAACUAUAUGGGCUUUUAAACACUAGAACGUGAUUUAAAGAUUAUCAAGCAUGAAUUUUAAAGGGGUUUUGGAACUUAUGCUUUAAAUUUCGCAUUAUGGAUGUUUUGAUAAUAUUAUUGUUUAGGCCUUUAGUCCUUUCCCCCUUAACUUGAUUUACAUCUAUAUGUAUAUGAAUGAUAUUGAAGAUUUGAUUGAGAGUAUUAUCAUUAAAAUUCCUCUCUUUGAUGAUUUAGAGUUUAUGAAACUAUUGAAAAUGAUUUGAGAUUCAUGUUUAAUGGUUUGGAAGUGAUCUUUUCAAUAUUAAAGUAAUUAACAUGAUUUUGAUGAUGAUGAGAAGGAGUUUAUUGAUAUUAUUUCGUUCUUGUAUUAUAGAGAAAGAAUUGCAUGUGAUUGAUAUCUUUGACAUGACCACCUUGUGUGUUUGGAAUGUUGAAAAUGAGAGUUUUCUUGCAUGUGGUUACGUGAGUUUUAAAGAAUGAGUUUCUUGAAAAGAAUUGUUGAUAUAGGGUCCAUAAAUUUCAUAUUUUGAGAACAGAGAUAUAAUUUUCCAUAAAUAGCUCAGGGAAUGUGACUUGCAAGUCAAUGGUAUGACGACACCAUAUAAAUUUAUGCCAUAAUAGAACUAGAGUCUUCAGAGUUUGAUUUCAAGGAUUGCAUAUUAUAAAGAAUUAAAAAUGGGAUUAAAGAGGGUUAGGCGGUUACCCGAAGAGGGCACAAGUCAAUUGACUCAUACACCAAAACUGUGUUUUUUCGAUAUAGGUAUGUUACUAUUGUACGCUGGCGAUGGCCCUGUGGCGUAGUAGAGAUUCAGAGACUCCAACCCUUGCGGAAAACUUGGGUUGGGGGCUUGGCUUCCAAGUUAAUGGCAGAUUCCAUAUGGCCUAUGGAAUUUCAGAGUUAUAGGGUAUACCACCUAGCGCAGAAGUAAAACAAAGAGUGUCACAGAGUUCAGAUGAUUUUAUAGAGUCUUAUAAGAAAUUGCCUAUGUGAUUCUUACCAUAUGACAUAUUUAUGAACAAUUUUUAAAUUGCUCUCAUAUAUGUUGAAUAUAAAUUAUUAUUUUGUAUUUGUUCUGCGUACCAGUACAAAUGUGUUAACCCCCAACCUUCCAGGGUUUAAUACUCAGUCUAAAGAUCCUGCUAAGCCGUAGAGUAUUCAGAUAGAAGUGAAGCGUGCAGUGGUGAGCCUUCUUUAUUCCAGAAAGCCUAUUUCGUUCAAACUUUUGAUAUUUAUUUUGGUUUAGGUUCACUAGGGGCCUUGUCCCAUAUUCAGAUAGUUUUGUUUAUUUUGUAUGUAUUAUAGAUUUCAUAGACAGAAACAGAUGUUGUUUAGAUGUUGAUUAGAUGUUGAUAGUGUUAAUAGAACUUUAUUGAAAGAAAGAAAGGCUAAGGUUUACAAUAUAAUCUGAAAAGCAUAAAAACUAACUAAAACAAAAGUAGGCUAUAUAUAUACAUAGCCAAUAACCUAAAGGUCCAUAAACUAAAGGCCCAAUAACAUAUGGGCUAACAUCCCCCCUCAAACUUACAAUGCAACAGCAAUAAGCAUUGAGAGUUUGUCACACAAAAAACGAAAUCGAGACGCCGAUUGAGCCUUCGUAAAAAGGUCAGCAAUCUGCAAAGACUAUGGAACAAAAGGAAGCGAUAUGGUCCCGAGCUGUAAAUGAUGACGGGUGAAGUGACAAUCAAUCUCAAUGUGCUUCGUACGCUCAUGGAAGACAGAAUUCUUUGCAAUUUGUACCGCACUUUUGUUAUCACAAUGCAGGGGAGUAGGCAUAGAAAUGUGAACCCCCAUAUCUGCAAGAAGCCAACGUAACCAAAUAAUCUCACAUGUAGUCACAGCCAUAGCACGAUACUCAGCCUCCGUGGAAGAUCUAGAGACAACAUCUUGUUUCUUGCUCUUCCACGAGAUUAAAGAGUCUCCAAGAAACACACAAAAACCAGUGGUGGAUUUACGAUCAUUGCGAUCUCCAUCCCAAUCAGCAUCACUAUAGGCUCGCAACUCGAGAGAUGACGUCGAGGGAAACAAGAGAUUCUGAAACUGAGUGCCACGAAGAUACCUUAGAAUACGAAGUACAGCUCCCCAGUGCACAGAAGUAGGAGCAGUAACAAACUGGCUAACAACAUGAACUGCAUGUGCUAUAUCUGGACGAGUAACCGUAAGAUAAACCAAACUACCCACAAUAGUCCGAUAAAGACUCGGAUCUGAUAAUGGAACACCAUCACUAGGAGAGUAACGUGCAUUGGUUUCAAGGGGAGUAUCUACAGUCCUGUUGUCAGAAAGACGCGCCCGUGUAAACAAGUCAGAUAUAUACUUAGUCUGAGAAAGAAGAUACCCUUUCUUAGACUGAGCCACCUCAAUACCCAGAAAAUAACGCAGCAAGCCCAAGUCCUUCAUUGCAAAUCGAUGAGCCAAAUCAUGCUUCAAUAACUCAAUACCACUAUGAUCAUCACCAGUAAUAAUCAUAUCAUCUACAUAUAAGGACAAUAGAAUUCGCCCUGCACUUGUACAUCUAACAAACAAUGCUGAAUCAUGGUUACUCGGGACAAAUCCAAGGGAAGUAAUAACAGUGGAGAAUUUCUCAAACCAAGCACGAGGGGCUUGUUUGAGACCAUAUAAAGCUUUUCGAAGCCGACAAACUUCACCUGGCUGGUGGUCAAUACCUGGGGGAGGAGUCAUAUAAACUUCCGCGUGGAGAUCACCAUUCAGAAAAGCAUUCUUGACAUCCAUCUGAAAUAUCUUCCACUGUCGAACGGAUGCAACAGCAAUCAUAGUGCGAACAGUCGUCAUCUUUGCUACGGGGGAAAAAGUCUCCUCAUAAUCCAUACCAUAUUGUUGUGAAUACCCUUUUGCCACAAGUCUUGCCUUGUAUCGCUCAACAGACCCAUCAGAUUUUGUUUUUAUCUUAUACACCCAUCGACAACCAAUCGCAUGCUUACCAGGUGGGAGAGUAACCAAAUCCCAUGUAUGUGUAUGAUGAAGAGCAGCAAGUUCCUCAGCCAUAGCAUUCUGCCAAAGAGGAUCAGACACAGCCUCUCUAUACGACUCAGGUUCAGACAAAUGAUGUAUGUUUGCAAUAAAGGAAGCAAAUGAGGCUGAAUAUGUAGAAUAGUAAAAAUCUGGCAGUUUGGUGGACUUACAAGGUCGAGUAGACCUCCUCAGAGGUGGUGGGUCUCCAGUCUCAACAGUCGAAGGAGCAGACUCAGGCACAGGCGAGGCUGAAGCACUAUCAGGUGGCACACCAGAUGGCAUGGAUGAAUCCGGAACUGGAACCUCUAUGUCAAUCCCAAAGGGAUCAAUAAGCCGAAUAUCUGACUUUGUCACAUCAUGGGUUUUAGCUGGAAUGGAAUAAAAAGGAAUAUGUUCCAAAAAAGUGACAUGUCGUGAAACAUAUAAUUUCUGACUUACAGGAUCAUAGCAACGAUAUCCUUUUUGUCCAAUACCAUACCCCAAAAACACACAUAUAGCUGAUUUUGACCCUAACUUAUUUCGUUCAACAUGAGGACGAAGAACAAAGCAAGUACAUCCAAAAACUCGUAAUGCAGAAUAAUUCGGCGGGUGACCAUAUAGUUUCUCAAACGGAGACAUCCCUGAAGUCAAUGCAGUAGGAAUACGAUUAAUCACAUAUACAGCAGUUAGAACUGCUUCUCCCCAAAAAAUACUAGGAACCUCUGCAGACAAAAGUAAAGAGCGUGCUGUCUCAACAAUAUGACGAUGUUUUCUUUCUGCCAGACCGUUCUGCUCAGGAGUGUCGGUACAAGAUGACUGGUGUAUGGUACCAUCAGAGGCAAGUAACUGAGUGAAGUCAUUAGAGGUAUAUUCACCCCCUAAGUCACACCUGAAACACUUUAUCACAGCCGAAUGUUGUGUUUUAACAAGGGCUCUAAAGUUGUUGUAAAUGCCAAAGAAAUCAGAUCUGCGUUUCAUAAGAUACACCCAGGUAUAACGAGUAUAGUCAUCUAUAAACGAAACAUAAUAGGUCGAUCCACCCUUAGUGGAUACUGGCGCUGGUCCCCAUACAUCAGAAUGAAUAAUAUCAAAAGGAGCAACAGAAUAAGACACACUUUUAUUAAACGGUAAGGCAGAAAAUUUUGCCAGUUUACAACCACUACAAUCUGAAAUAUCACUAGUGUUCACAUGACCCAAAGCACCACUAGAGACCAAAAAACGUAAACGUGAAACUGACACAUGUCCUAAUCUGGAAUGCCAAAGAUAAAACUGAGAAGACAAAGGACUCAAACGAAAAGAAGAUAAAUCUAUGCUAGAGGCAGCAACUACAGACACUUUGAGAUUCUCCAAGACAUAGAGUUCCCCCAACCUACGGCCGGUCCCAAUCACCCUCUGAGUGUGUUGGUCCUGUAUAACACAAACAGAAUCAGAAAAAAACACCCAAUUACCAGCCUUACACAACUGACUGACCGAAACAAGAUUUAAAGCAAGUUUGGGAAUGUAAUAAACAUCAGAGAGGACAAUGUGAGGGGUAGUAACAGAACCAACACCCUCGACUGACAUAGGUACAGCACUCGCGGACAUAACAGAGAUUGGUGAAAUGGGUGACAAAGAACCAAACGAUGACAAAUGAGGGGACAUGUGAUGAGACGCACCAGAAUCCAAUAUCCACAAGGAGGAAGGAAUACCUGAGGUACUAGAAGAAACUGAACCCGAAUGAGACAUAGAUGCUGACAUGGCCGUAGGAUUAGAAACGAAGAACUGUCUGAACUGUUCGAAAACCUGGGGAUCCAACGCAGAAGGUGGCAUAGUGCUAACAGACUCAACAUCUACAGAUGGUGCAGCAGCAGCGAACUGUGGAGGACGAGAUGACCACGGAGGAGCACCAGAUGGGCGUGACGGAUACUUUUGCUGCCCAUAUUUCUGUUGCUGCCCAGAUUGAGGCUGUUUGACCUUGUUAAGUAACAACGGACACUGAGCCUUCCAAUGAUUUUUCUGUUUGCAGAAUGCACACUCAUCAAAUGCAACUUUAGGAGAUUGUCGAGUCUGAGUACGUGGUGGCCUAGACUGAUCAGUUGAAGCAGCAAACACGACAGGAGUAGUAGUUACUUUAGACCCUUUAUCCACUUGAGACUUGAUACGAGUCUCCUCUGCAAUCAGUUCAUGAACCACAGAAUCAACAGUAGGGAGGGGAGAUCGAUGAAGGAUUGUUCCACGUAGGCCCUCAAAGUCAGAACGUAGUGCCAUCAAAAACUGAACCAAGCGUUGCUCUUCCCGUCUAGCAAUGUACGGCCCAAAACCUUUUAACUCUGCAGAUUCAGUAAGUGCCAAUUGAUCCCACAAAUCCGACAUGGCAGCAUAAAAAUCUUGAAUACUGAGAUCAUGCUGUUGAAGAGCACGGAUAUCAUACUCCAACUGGUACUGCUUAGCAAAAUUAGACUGAGUGUACAGUCUUUCCAAAUGAUCCCAGACCUCCUUUGCUGUGUCAUACUUAGCCAAUUGCAUACCAAUUGACUGAGUUACAGAAUUGUUGAUCCAAGUGAUAAUCUUGGAGUUAUUAGUUUCCCAUAAGUCCACCAACAAAUCAAAAUUUUCAGUUUUAUCAUCGAUAGGUCUUGGUUUUACUCCAGUGAUAUAACCCCACAUAUUCUUCCCACGAAGAAAAUUCUUCAUGACAUAACUCCAAUAUGCAUAGUUCUUACCAUCUAAUUGAGUACUAAUGGACUGGAGAGAAUCAUCCUUUCCAGUCAUUGUAAACACAGCAACACACAAACAAUUCAAAAAAACAAAAAGAUGCAAAACCCUAGGUUGAACAAUUCCGAACGAACAACAAUGGCAGCAAGCAAAAGAACGAAAGACGAACAAUACCAGACAGCAAACAAAUACAGCAGCACCUCAAAAUUCGGGGCUCUGCCCCGAACCCCGGACGGGGGCGCACUGCCCCCCGUACCCCUCAGCGAACUCACCGUGGAGUUCGAUCCGCGCAGUAGGUGCCUGCUACAAAAUCUUCAACCAACAAAUCAAAGGACAUGGAUCAAACUAGCUUUGAUACCAUGUUAAUAGAACUUUAUUGAAAGAAAGAAAGGCUAAGGUUUACAAUAUAAUCUGAAAAGCAUAAAAACUAACUAAAACAAAAGUAUGCUAUAUAUAUACAUAGCCAAUAACCUAAAGGUCCAUAAAAUAAAGGCCCAAUAACAUAUGGGCUAACAGAUAGGUCUUAUUUUUUAUUGAUAAACUUAAUUCAGAGCAUGACCAUGAUUUCGUAUCAUUUUACAUUUUUGUAUUUUUCCUUCAUAUUAUAUAAAAGUGUGUAUGAUUGCCAAAUAAAGAAGGGCACUCAAGCCUUCAUGGUUUGGGAUGCUCGUCACGACCAGGGCCCCAAUUCGGUUCAUGACAAACUUGGUAUCAAAUCCGCUCCUGUGUCAUCUCUGUCGAUGUGGGCCAGAUUUCAAACUGAGUGUAGGCAAAUCCCGAUAAGGUGGGGAAAACCUCAGUCCUGAGUGUAGCCAAAUCCCAUUCGGUGGGGCAAACCUCAGCGAGGACGCUGAGUCUAUAAGGGGGUGUAUAUAACACCUCAACUUAGAAAGGAUUCCUAUAUCGGUAAAACAUAAGAGGGAUAUUGGGUAGAUAAGUAAGAAAGUCUUACUCCCCAGUGACGUGUUUUAAAGCCGUGCGGGCCUGGGCCCAAAGCGGAUAAUAUCAUUAGUGGGUUGGGCAGAGAAAGGGAUCUCUUGGGCCUUGAUGGUUUGGGAUGCCCAUAGCGGCUGGGGCUCCGGCUUGAGUCAUGAUAGAAUGGUAUCAGAGCCAGGUUCGUGCUAUGGAGUCAAAAUAUUCCUCUUUUAUACUCUGGUUCAUGCUAUGGCAUCGUCCAUAUGAAAGUAAAGUUAUCCCAAUUAUUUUCUUACUCUGAUGCUCUUAGACAUGUCUCAUUUUGAGGUGAUUCAAGUGUAGAAGUUUAGGAUCUAAAUGAUAUGGUCAUUUUCUGAUUGGGCAAUAAAAGAUUAUGAGAUUGAACAAGGACUUGAGAGGAGUCUGUUGGUGCUUUAAGGUUUAUUGUUUCUAGCGUAAACUUUGAUUCUGAUGAAAUUGUGCUUUUCAACCUGAGGUAUUAAGUGUAUUCAUUCCUUUUCAAAAUUUAUGUUGCAGAUGUCAUGCAUAAGGGGAAUGAUGUGUAGCAGAAUAUUGGAGCUGUAUUUCCACUAAAGUAGUAGUAUAAGUUAAAGUGUCAGUGUCAUGACAUAUUAGUGGGGAGAUUGGACCAUGAAGUUGGUGAUAUGAAGUCACUAGGUUAGCAGUCAGAGUGAGGGUGACUAUUGCAUAAAUAAGUAGUUUUAGUUGUAUAACCCUUUGAUUUAGGGGGUGGUUCUCUCUCUUUUAUGGUGGUUGGAUAAUAUUGUGACAAGAUUUGUAGAUUGUAUGGUUGUAUGUAAAGAAAGUGGUUGGCUAUGAUUAUUAUCUAUUUGAAUUAGGAAAGGAUCCUAGAGUGAAAAGUUAUGGUGGUUACAGAAAUUCCUUAUAGGCUGUGAAUGAAAAAGGUUAGAUUAACCAAUAAGUUACAAGUAUAGACUCAUUGUAGUAUGUGGAAUUUGAAGGUAGUCUAAAUGUAUGCUUUGGGUAAGUAAGUAUGAUGUGAGAAAGUAGAAUAUCUAGAUAAGAUUGUAUAGGAUUAUAAUAUAAGAUUAAGGUUGGCCAUGUCUAUUAUGUGACUUUACCCCCUUGACCUUCUUUUCUUCAGUAGUUGUAAACUAGUACUACUUGUGAGAAGGUAUGUAGUAGAUUUAGAGGUGUAGUAGUAAUGUCAUGGAGGUGACCUGGUUGAAGGUAGUAUCUAGGUGAAAUGAGGUAUUUGAGUUGAUUUCCCUAUUUGAUGGACUAGUACAUUAUGUUGCAUUCUUCAUUGGUGAAAGAUGAUUGAUGCUAGACUAUAGGCUUGAAUUUUAGAUGUAGAAUGUGGUGGUAAGAAUGGUAGCUUAAGAUUAAUGAGGUAUGUUUUGUGGCAAUGAAUUGGUAGGCUUGAUGUGAUUUGUGAAAAAGCCUAAGUUGAUAGUUUAUGAAAAGUUUAAGUGGUAAGUGUGAGGUAUAUGUGUAUAUGAGGACUAGUAUUAAAGUAAUGAAUUUUGGGUGAAUCAUUAAGUGGAUAGAGUGUAGUAAGUAUAUAAGAAUAAGUUGCACCCCUAGUAGUAUGGAGUUGGGUAAAAUUUUAUGAUAUAAAUUAUGCGAUUAAUGGUCUAAUGUUAGAAGGUUAAGUAGUGGGGACUGGAUUUUUUUUAUGUGAUAAGGAGUAAGGAUGUACAUGCUCAUGAGACUGCGAGUUGUAGGUUAGUGAAAAUAGAGGAUCGUAAAAAAAACUAAGAUUAGCGUUCUUUGAAAGCAAUGCCUUUAGAGUAUUAUUAAGAAGGGAAAGUUUAGUAUUUUUGAGUAUAAAUGUUUUACGCACCUAGUUUGUGUCCUUAAAAUUGUAGUAUAGAGAAGCUUGGUGAGUUGUUGUUCUGUGUUCGUUAGAGUUGAAUUGAGGAAAUACUGGUAGGCAAUAUGAGCCUUGGGUAUGAUUUUACAAAUUUUGUUAAGUGCUAAGUUAUGUGAUUAGAGGUGUAAUGCUAGUAUUCUAAGGAGUUGAAGAAGAAGUGUUGAGUAAUUUGAAGCAUAGAUGCCCAUACCCAUAUUAAUGUUAACCAUAAGUGGUGAUUUUGGGGUUAGAGGAAGUUAUGAUUAGUGUCCCUGAACGGAGGUCCCAGAAAGAAUUUAGUGUCUUUAUAUUAGAAAUAAAUGAGAGGAGUUGUAUUCAUGUAUAUAUUGAUAUCCCUUGGUGAUAAGGAGAGUGAAUGCGUACACUCAUGGAAGUGGGGGUUGUAGAGUAAUGGCUAUAAUGGUUGGCGAAAUUUAAGAGUAAUAUUUACAGAAAAGCAAGCCCUUCGGGGUAUAGAUCAUUAGGGAGAGUUAGAGUUUGAGUAUAUGGUGAUGUCUCUUUUAUGUUAAGAGUUAUGGCUAUAGAAUGGGUAAUGGGAUAUGUCUGUCAGUCUAGGAUUAUGACUUUGAUCUAAGGGGGAGAUGGGGAAUUAAGUUAGUUCCCAAAUUUUUUCCAAUGCGGCAAGUUGCGGGAAGGAGUCAUGAUGAACUUAAUUCUACUCAAGCAUUAUCCUCCAACUUCAAUUUAGAAGAGUAUCCUUAUAAUGUCUUUUGUCAUUCAUUCAUGUAUUGCCUAUGCCUAAAGUUUGAACUCUCGAUGUAACUCAUGUCAUCUUCCGAUAUCCAAACAAGGAGCAAUAGUGUCCCUCAGUGAUCCAAUAUUCCAAAUAUCCAAGCCAUAUGUUAUGUUGAUCAUGAUCCAAACCUAUGUCUCACAACAUGUUUGGUCCUAAGAAAAUAUGUUUCUAUAUGUUGCAGAAUCAUUUUAUGCCGAAAUUUCCCAAGGUGAUAAAGUUUAUGCUAACUCUUGGAAAUGUUCAGCUCUUUAAAUGAGAAGCAAUCACUUUAAGUGAAAUCCUUAUCUUAGUUGUUAACUACAUAAAUCUCAACUUUAUGCCGUAUAGCUCAUGAUAUGUGCAUCCAUGUUCCUCAUUUUGGUCUGUCCUAAAGAAUCAUGUUGUGUUGUGUCUAUUCUAUCACAUCUUCACCUCCUGUGCCUCCUUGAGAAGUGAAACAAGUGGAUUGAUAAAUGUUACUUCUAUUCAUGAUGUUUUUGCUUGGGUCCCUCAAUGACCCUCCGUACAUUAAUGUGAUAGUGGUUGUGGAAGCGUAGUAAUGUGUAGGAAAGGGAGUAGAUGUUCUUGAAGGUGAAAAUCUUGAGGUGAUAUCUUGAGCUGCGGUUUAAAGAUAAGAGGGUAGAAAAGAGAAAUUCUCAUUAUGUGAAAUAGUUAUAAGGGAAGUAUAUGGCGAGAAUCUUUGUGAGAAUGAUUGAAUUUCCUGGUCUUAGUGGAGAGGUCCAUGAAGUGGGGUGUCAUGAUGAUAGGCUUGAAUUUUGUUUUUGGUGAAUAAAUAAACCAAUGUGACAUGUUGUUAGUAUUCCUUGAAUUAAGACUUGAGGUUGUGGAGUUAUAGUGAUGAGGUGAGGUGAUGUAGAGUACUGGGUCCCAUAGUUUAAAUAAACACGUCUUUCCUCCGAGUUUGGCUUCAGCAUAGAAUUAUUAGACUGCAGGACACAAAACUCUUGUGGUUAGAUGUCACGACCCAAACUAGGGCCUAGCCGUGACGAACAUCCCAAACCAUGAAGCCUGAACGUCCUACUCUACCUGUUAGUCAAGCACAACAUUUAUAUAAUAAAAGAAGAUGCGAAAAUAUAAUCUAAUAUGGAAACAUGGUCAUACUCUGGAUUCAGUUUAACAAUAAGGAAUGAAAUCCAAAAUCGACUAAACAACAUCUGGAAUAGUCUAUGAAAUCUCUACUACAUCUGAACAUAACAACUGCCUGAAACUGGGACAAGGACCCCAGUAGACCAAAAUAAAAGGAACAACAUUAUCUGAAAAUAGGCAGGCCUUCUGGAACAAGGAAGGUGUAACGCCUCGAUUUCCUAAACCAAAACGCUACACGGUGCUCAUGACCCUGAAGGACCACAAGCUAACCCAUAACUGAUAUCUGUACCUGUAACUGCACAAUAUACAUAUAAAAUUGUAGAAACAUGAACUAAAAGGCCGAAAGGUUCAAUCUUGAACAAUUUGUUCAAACGUCUGAAUAAAGUGGUAUCACAGUACCAAAACAAAACUGAAAAAAUACUAAAGUCUGAAUCUGAAAACUCUGUAAUCGUCUGAACGCCUCUAAACUGUCUGAAUAAGGAGUUGAAGGAAUAUGUCUCCAACUAACUCCCUAAACUGAAAAUAAACUGAAAUACUGGAAUGAUAAAUGUAAUGAUCAUGUCCUCGAAAGAUGAGGACUCACUGCUAACUGAACUGCUACUGCUGAUCUGGAACCUCCGCCUCAGAACCUAUGGUGUGACAUAAAGAGAAAGUACCAUAGCGCGAAUACGUCAGUACAACUAAAGUAUUGAGUAUACGUGGGGAUAAGCUAAAUGCAUGGGGUUUAUAUGCAUGAACAUGUUGACUAAUAUGAACGUGAGAAUACAUACAUACGUACAUAACUUCUACUGAACUCGUGGAGAUACUGACUAUUGAGUCUGAAUACUGACAUCAUGACUUUACUGAUACUGAGAUACUGAAUAGAUGAAUGACUAUUUCUGACAGUUCGAAUUAUGAAGAACUGGUCUGAUUAAUCGUGUAUAACAGUCCUAAAAACUGAAUACUGAUAAUGUAAGCUAUGAAGACUGAUAUAACUGAUAUAACUGUGAUGAUUGGCCUAACCGAUGUAACUGAUACUGAGUGAUUAUAUCUGACAGUCUAAAUCUUCUAAUAAUGGUUAAGAGUGACAAAGCUUGAGAUUAGGCCUAAAUAAUAGGUGAUCUCUGGGGACUGGUAAUGAGAAUACUCAACUGAAAUCUGAGAUUGAGAUCAAGCCUAUCUGCCGGGUGACCUGUAAUAGCCCACAAAAUUUUUCGUUGAAAUUUUGUGCGUAAACGUGUUGGGUUCUAUCUUCUAGAAUGAAUUAUAAAUUUUCCAUGCUUAAUGUCUUAGAUUAUGACCCACCAUUGCGUAGAGUAUCGAAUAAGAUUUCCAACAAUAUGUGGAUCAUCCAAAACCGACACCCGAGUGACGAGUUAUGAACAUUCCGAUCGAACUGUGAAUAGUAGUGAAUAGUAAAACAUGCAGGAAAAAGUACUGAGGCCUGGCGUGUUUUUGCUCCAAAUUUAAACGAUCAUAAAUCCUUGUACAUAAUGAUCUGGGUGAUCUACUAUAUAUCAACGGAAAUCUCUACGAGUCCUCUUUCCAAUGAAAUUGGUUUCAUCCAAUUUGUCUAUUGGAGAAAAAAGUUAUGGUCGAUCUACUUCAACCUAUGAAAAGCCAAUUUUUGGGUCAACUUCAAAUGAUCAUAACUCCUUGUACAUAAUGAUCUGGGAGAGAUAAUGUAUAUCAACAGAAAUAUAUGAGAUUCCUCUAUCUAAUGAAAUUGGUUUCAUCCAAUUUGGAGAUCGGAUUAAAACGUUAUGGUUGAUCUACUUCAGACUAUCAAAACAGUCCACCAAAGGACAAAUUCGAGAUUUUUUUUAUUUUAAGGGGCGUUUUAGUCAUUCCACCUCACCCAAAAUCCGUCCAAACCCUAUAUUAAAGCCUAUUAGAAGCAUUAUAUGUUAUAUUUCAUCAAAUUCCCUCAAAAAGAAAACCCUAAGCUCCUACAUCCAACUUCAAGAACCUCCAAAGUUCACCAUUAAUUCUGCAAAUUUAUUCAAGAUUCCAAGUUCCUAGUUCAAGAACUCUAAGAACCAUCAGUCAAAGGCAUGAUUAACAUCUCUAAAACAAGUAUCUAUCUAAAGUUCAUCAUUCAAGGUAUGUGGGGUUUUUCAAUAAGAACUCUCUUUCGUUCUUGUGCCCAAAAGUAAUUUUCUUUACAAAGGCAUGAUUUUUAUUUGAUUUUUAUGAAUUUGAAGCAUGAACCCAUAUCUUAUGAUGAUUAUUAUGAAAUCUUGAUGUUUAUGAUUUUGAAAGAUGAAUGUACAUGUGUGGAGAUAUAAAGCAUGAAUCUUGAACGAUAUUUAUCAUGAUUUUGAUAUUUGGGUCAUGAAUCCCNNNNNNNNNNNNNNNNNNNNNNNNNNNNNNNNNNNNNNNNNNNNNNNNNNNNNNNNNNNNNNNNNNNNNNNNNNNNNNNNNNNNNNNNNNNNNNNNNNNNNNNNNNNNNNNNNNNNNNNNNNNNNNNNNNNNNNNNNNNNNNNNNNNNNNNNNNNNNNNNNNNNNNNNNNNNNNNNNNNNNNNNNNNNNNNNNNNNNNNNNNNNNNNNNNNNNNNNNNNNNNNNNNNNNNNNNNNNNNNNNNNNNNNNNNNNNNNNNNNNNNNNNNNNNNNNNNNNNNNNNNNNNNNNNNNNNNNNNNNNNNNNNNNNNNNNNNNNNNNNNNNNNNNNNNNNNNNNNNNNNNNNNNNNNNNNNNNNNNNNNNNNNNNNNNNNNNNNNNNNNNNNNNNNNNNNNNNNNNNNNNNNNNNNNNNNNNNNNNNNNNNNNNNNNNNNNNNNNNNNNNNNNNNNNNNNNNNNNNNNNNNNNNNNNNNNNNNNNNNNNNNNNNNNNNNNNNNNNNNNNNNNNNNNNNNNNNNNNNNNNNNNNNNNNNNNNNNNNNNNNNNNNNNNNNNNNNNNNNNNNNNNNNNNNNNNNNNNNNNNNNNNNNNNNNNNNNNNNNNNNNNNNNNNNNNNNNNNNNNNNNNNNNNNNNNNNNNNNNNNNNNNNNNNNNNNNNNNNNNNNNNNNNNNNNNNNNNNNNNNNNNNNNNNNNNNNNNNNNNNNNNNNNNNNNNNNNNNNNNNNNNNNNNNNNNNNNNNNNNNNNNNNNNNNNNNNNNNNNNNNNNNNNNNNNNNNNNNNNNNNNNNNNNNNNNNNNNNNNNNNNNNNNNNNNNNNNNNNNNNNNNNNNNNNNNNNNNNNNNNNNNNNNNNNNNNNNNNNNNNNNNNNNNNNNNNNNNNNNNNNNNNNNNNNNNNNNNNNNNNNNNNNNNNNNNNNNNNNNNNNNNNNNNNNNNNNNNNNNNNNNNNNNNNNNNNNNNNNNNNNNNNNNNNNNNNNNNNNNNNNNNNNNNNNNNNNNNNNNNNNNNNNNNNNNNNNNNNNNNNNNNNNNNNNNNNNNNNNNNNNNNNNNNNNNNNNNNNNNNNNNNNNNNNNNNNNNNNNNNNNNNNNNNNNNNNNNNNNNNNNNNNNNNNNNNNNNNNNNNNNNNNNNNNNNNNNNNNNNNNNNNNNNNNNNNNNNNNNNNNNNNNNNNNNNNNNNNNNNNNNNNNNNNNNNNNNNNNNNNNNNNNNNNNNNNNNNNNNNNNNNNNNNNNNNNGUUUUAAGGUGUCCUAGGGAGUCUGACAAGCCGCGUUAAGUAGAGUCUUGAUCAUCGGUGUGUAGCGCGCCACAUCUAUGAGCAAGAGGCUACAAGACGUUUUAGGAAAAAGUGUAAUUCUUUCUUUCAGAAGCUUAUCAUGCUUAAAGUGUCUCUCUCUACUAUUGAUUCGUGCUUUCCUGUUUCAAAAAUAUGCCUCCACAUCGAGCAAAAAGAAGUAAUAAUGGUCAACAACCUCAACCCGCUGACCCAUUGAAUGAAAAUGUGUCUUAUGCUGAAUUUUGGGCAGCCUUUCAGGCGCUGGCCCAAGUUGUCGUUGCAAAUAUUCAGGACAACCAGGCCCCGACUCUACAGCAGCAGGGAGGUGAUUUAGCUGCUGCCAGGAUCCGUGACUUCAUGCGAAUGAAUCCGUCGGAAUUCUAUGGGUCCAAGUCUGAUGAGGAUCCACGACUAUAUUUAGAGAAGGUGCAGAAGAUUACUCAGGUGAUACAUGUAUCUGAGGAACAAAGUAUGGAGUUAGCUACGUAUAGGUUGAAAGACCUUGCUUAUGACUGGGUUUUUUCUUGGAGGAAAGGUAGAGGUUAGGGAGCUGUCCCUACAACUUGGCAAGAGUUCCAGGUUGCAUUCCUAGAUAAGUUUUUCCCUUUGGAGAUGAGGGAGGCGAAGGUGGAAGAGUUUAUGAACCUGCGAUAGGGCUCUAUGACUGUUAGGGAGUACUGUCUAAAGUUCAAUCAGUUGGCCAAGUAUGCUCUUGACUUAGUGGAUGAUAAUCGGGCUACUAUGAGUAAGUUUGUGACUGGAGUGACUAGUUAUGUGGUUAAGGAGUGUAGGUCUGCUNNNNNNNNNNNNNNNNNNNNNNNNNNNNNNNNNNNNNNNNNNNNNNNNNNNNNNNNNNNNNNNNNNNNNNNNNNNNNNNNNNNNNNNNNNNNNNNNNNNNNNNNNNNNNNNNNNNNNNNNNNNUGUUUGUGAGUUGAGUGACUAGUUAUGUUGUUAAGGAGUGUAGGUCUGCUUUACUGAAUAGUGAGAUGAAUCUUUCAGGGAUGAUGACUCAUGCCCAACAGAUUGAGGUAGACAAGAUUAAGGAGAGAGAUAUAAUGAGAGGGAAUAAGAGAGCUAGGUUCGAGCAGCACGGACAAGGUCAGACUAGAUCGUAGGGAAGGAGUCACCCUUAGUAUCAGGAUCGUUCGUCUAUGCCAGCACCGUCAUCUGCUAGUGCACCCAUGCCUAGAGGUAGGAAGGAUCAAGGUAGCAGGUCAUAUGCAUCCAAGUCCCAGUACAGUGCUGGCAGUAAGCCAAAUUAUCCCCUGUGUCCUAAGUGUGGUAGGGGUCAUUCGGGUGAGUUUUGGGGUGAGAAGAGGGGUUGUUUCUGGUGUGGUGACAUGGGUCACAGAGUUAGAGAUUGUCAACAAGAUGGACAAGGGCGUCGUGACUAUCGCCCUCAAACCCAGACUCAGAUUGUUAGUGCUCCAGUUCCAGCGACUUACCCAGCCCCAUCUCAGGGCGCCUCUCCUAGCAAUGCUGGCGGGCAGUGCCAGAAUAGAUUCUAUGCUUUACCAUCCCACCAGGAACAGGAGGACUCUCCCAAUGUUUUUUACUGGUAUACUUCGUAUAUUUCAGUUUGAUGUGUAUGCUUUGUUGGAUCCUGGAUCCAGUUUCUCAUAUGUUACACCUUUGAUUGCUGUGAAUUUUGAAAUGAGUCAUGAUUUUAUUCCUUAGCCUAUCCUAGUUUUUACCCCAGUGGGUGAUUUAAUUGUUGCCCAAAAUAUGUUUAAAAAGUGUCCUGUUACCGUUCUUCAUAGAGUCUUGUUGGCUGAUCUGAUUGAGUUAGACAUGGUAGAUUUUGAUAUGAUUCUGGGUAUGGACUGGCUAUAUUCUUCUUAUGCCUCUAUUGAUUGUCGGACCUGAGUGGUCAAGUUUCAUUUUUCGGGUGCAUCCGUCUUUGAGUGGUCUGGGAAUUCUGUGUCACCCAAGAGUCAUUUUAUCUCUUACCUCAAAGCUAGAAAGCUUAUUUUCAAGGGGUGUAUUUACCAUUUGGUUAGAGUCAAAGACACUAAGUCUAAGACUCCAACUCUCCAGUCUGUUAACGUCGUCAAUGAGUUUUCUGAUGUCUUUUCGGAUGUUCUCCCAGGGAUACCUCCUGAUAGAGAGAUAGAGUUCGGGAUUGACCUUCUUNNNNNNNNNNNNNNNNNNNNNNNNNNNNNNNNNNNNNNNNNNNNNNNNNNNNNNNNNNNNNNNNNNNNNNNNNNNNNNNNNNNNNNNNNNNNNNNNNNNNNNNNNNNNNNNNNNNNNNNNNNNNNNNNNNNNNNNNNNNNNNNNNNNNNNNNNNNNNNNNNNNNNNNNNNNNNNNNNNNNNNNNNNNNNNNNNNNNNNNGUAUGUGCAUUGAUUACCGCCAACUGAAUAAAGUCACCAUAAAAAAUAAGUACCCCCUUCCGAGAAUAGAUGAUUUGUUUGACCAAUUGCAAGGUGCAAGUUAUUUCUCAAAGAUAGACCUUCUUCCGGCUAUCAUCAACUCAAAGUUAGGGAGUGUGACAUCCCGAAAACUACUUUCCGAACUAGUUAUGGCCAUGUUGAGUUUCUUGUUAUGUCUUUUGGGUUAACUAAUGCCCCAAUAGCUUUCAUGGACCUCAUGAAUCAAGUGUUCAGACCAUAUCUGUAUAUGUUUGUCAUAGUGUUCAUCGAUGAUAUACUGUUGAACUCCCGUAAUGAGGAUGAACAUUCUGAUCACUCCAAACUGUCUUGCAAAACCUUAAAGAUCACAAGUUGUUUUCCAAGUUCAAUAAGUGUCAGUUUUGGCUAAGGUCAGUGCUUUUCUGGGUCAUAUCAUUUCUUCUGAGGGUAUUAGAGUUGAUCCCCAAAAAACCGAAGCUGUUAGAAAUUAGCCUAGACCUAUUUCUCCAACUGAUAUCCAAAGUUUCUUGGGUUUAACUGGCUAUUACCGCCGUUUUGUUGAGGUUUUCUCCUCUAUAGCGUCUCCUAUUACUCGGUUGACCCAAAAGAAAGUGAAGUUCUUGUGGUCUGAAUCUUGUGAGAAGAGUUUUUAGGAGUUGAAGACUCGACUCAUUUCAGCCCCUGUUUUGACUUUACCUGAUGGUAUUGAUGGUUUUGUGUAGUACUGUGAUGCUUCGAGAGUUGGGUUGGGUUACGUAUUAAUGCAGAAGGGUAAGGUGAUAGCUUAUGCUUCUAGACAGUUGAAAACCCAUGAGAAAAAUUACCCCACCCAUGACCUUGGGUUGACUGCUGUUGUGUUUGCUUUGAAAAUCCAUGUUGAUAUUUUCACUGAUCAUAAGAGUCUGCAGUAUGUGUUAACUCAGAGUGAAUUGAAUCUUAAGCAGAGACGAUGGUUACAAUUGUUAAAGGACUAUGAUAUGAGUGUGUUGUACCAUCCGGGCAAGGCCAAUGUUGUGGCGGAUGCCCUAAGUAAAGUGUCCAUGGGUAGUGUUUCGCAUGUGGUAGAAAGCAAGAAAGAGUUGGCUCGUGAUGUACAUCAUUUGACUAGAUUGGGGGUUAGGUUGUUUAACUCUGCUGAAGGUAGUAUAGGGGUUCAGAGUAGUUCCGAAUCCUCCUUGGUUUCGAAAGUGAAGGAAAAGCAAUACUUAGAUGCUAGUUUGGUCAGACGAGUCAGUCAAGGACUAAAAAGUAGAGGUUUUCUCCCAAGAGGGAGAUAGUGUGUUGAGAUUCCAGGGUGGUUGUGUGUCCUGAAUGUUGAUGAUCUGAGACAGAGGAUUAUGGCUAAAGCACACGGGGUAUGAUAUUCUAUUCAUCCUGGUGCCACCAAGAUGUACCGAGACUUGCGGGAAAUCUAUUGGUGGAGUGGCAUGAAGAAAGAUAUAGCAGCGUUUGUAGCUAAGUGUGAAACAUGCCAACAGGUUAAGGUUGAACACCAAAGACCUGGUGGUAUGAUGCAAGAGUUUAGUAUUCCCACCUGGAAGUGGGAAGAGAUAAAUAUGGACUUCGUGAUUGGUUUACCUCUUUCCCGACGCCAUCAUGAUUCCAUUUGGGUUGUGGUUGAUAGGUUGACUAAGUCUGCUCAUUUCUUGCCUGUUCAUACUUCAUAUACUGCUUAGGAUUACGCUAGAUUGUAUGUCCGAGAGCUAUUCAGACUGCAUGGAGUUCCCUUUUCUAUCAUUUCGGAUAGGGGUACUCAAUUCACAUCGUAAUUUUGGAAAGCUUUUCAGAAGGGUCUUGGUACCCAAGUGCUUUUGAGUUCUGCUUUUCAUCCGCAGAGUGAUGGUCAGGCUGAGCGGACCAUCCAGACCUUAGAGGAUAUGUUGAGAGCUUGUUCACUUGACUUUAAGGGAAGUUGGGAUGAUCGCUUACCGUUGAUAGAGUUUGCUUACAAUAACAGUUUUCACUCUAGUAUUGGCAUGGCUACGUUUGAAGCCUUAUAUGGGAGGAAGUGUAGAUCACCCAUAGGUUGGUUCGAGCUAGGUAAAGCGGCUGUGAGUGGUCCUAAUUUGGUAUUUGUGACUGUGGAAAGAGUUAAGUUGAUUAGGGAAAGGUUGAAAACUUCACAGAGUUGUCAGAAGUCAUAUGCGGAUGUUAGAAGGAGAGAACUUGAGUUUGAAGUUGGUGACCUAGUGUAUCAAAAAAUUUCACCCAUGAGGAGGGUGAAGAGAUUCAGAAAGAAGGGGAAGCUUAGUUCCCAUUAUGUUGGUCCUUACAAAAUUCGUAGCCGUGUUGGUAAGGUAGCUUAUGAGGUCGAGUUGCCUUCNNNNNNNNNNNNNNNNNNNNNNNNNNNNNNNNNNNNNNNNNNNNNNNNNNNNNNNNNNNNNNNNNNNNNNNNNNNNNNNNNNNNNNNNNNNNNNNNNNNNNNNNNNNNNNNNNNNNNNNNNNNNNNNNNNNNNNNNNNNNNNNNNNNNNNNNNNNNNNNNNNNNNNNNNNNNNNNNNNNNNNNNNNNNNNNNNNNNNNNNNNNNNNNNNNNNNNNNNNNNNNNNNNNNNNNNNNNNNNNNNNNNNNNNNNNNNNNNNNNNNNNNNNNNNNNNNNNNNNNNNNNNNNNNNNNNNNNNNNNNNNNNNNNNNNNNNNNNNNNNNNNNNNNNNNNNNNNNNNNNNNNNNNNNNNNNNNNNNNNNNNNNNNNNNNNNNNNNNNNNNNNNNNNNNNNNNNNNNNNNNNNNNNNNNNNNNNNNNNNNNNNNNNNNNNNNNNNNNNNNNNNNNNNNNNNNNNNNNNNNNNNNNNNNNNNNNNNNNNNNNNNNNNNNNNNNNNNNNNNNNNNNNNNNNNNNNNNNNNNNNNNNNNNNNNNNNNNNNNNNNNNNNNNNNNNNNNNNNNNNNNNNNNNNNNNNNNNNNNNNNNNNNNNNNNNNNNNNNNNNNNNNNNNNNNNNNNNNNNNNNNNNNNNNNNNNNNNNNNNNNNNNNNNNNNNNNNNNNNNNNNNNNNNNNNNNNNNNNNNNNNNNNNNNNNNNNNNNNNNNNNNNNNNNNNNNNNNNNNNNNNNNNNNNNNNNNNNUUGGCAUGUCUAGCAUCAUUCGAGGAUGAAUGUUUCCAAGGGGGGAUGAUGUAAUACCCCGGAAAAUUUUUCAUUGAAAUUUUGUGCGUAAACGUGUUGGGUUCUAUCAUCUUGAAUGAAUUAUAAAUUUUCCGUGCAUAAUGUCUUAGAUUAUGACCCACCAUUGCGUAGAGUAUCGAAUAAUCUUUCCAACGAUAUGUGGAUCAUCCAAAACGGACACCCGAGCGAUGAGUUAUGAACAUUCCGAUCGAACUGUGAAUAGUAGUGAACAGUAAAACGUGCAGGAAAAAAAUACUGAGGCCUGGCGUAUUUUUGCUCCAACUUUAACUGAUCAUAAAUCCUUGUACAUAAUGAUCUGGGUGAUCUACUAUAAAUCAACAGAAAGCUCUGCAAGUUCUCUUUCCAAUGAAAUUGGUUUCAUCCAAUUUGUCUAUUAGAGCAAAAAGUUAUGGUCGAUCUACUUCAGCCUAUCAAAAACGAAUUUUUGGGUCAACUUCAAACGAUCGUAACUCCUCAUACACAAUGAUAUGGGUGAGAUACUAUAUAUCAACGGAAAUACAUGAGAGUAUUCUUUCUAAUGAAAUUGGUUUCAUUCAAUUUGGAUAUCGGAUGAAUUAAAGGAUGAAUCUUGAACGAUAUUUAUCAUGAUUUUGAUAUUUGGGUCGUGAAUCCCCAUUGGAAAUUGUGUUUUUUUUGAGAAAGUGUGUGUUAUAAGCACGUUGAUAUUAAAUAUUUGAGAUAUUUUGAAUGAUUUGACCUUUUGGUCUUAAUGGAGUUGUUUUGAACUCGAGUGUGAAAGAAAUCCACAACGUGGUUGAUUUUGAUAGAUGGGAAGCAUGAUGGCUCCCGAUGUAUAUUUAUAUAUUACAGAAAUUGUUUUGUUAUGGAUUGUACUUGAAAUGAUCUGAGUUAAGUCCGGGAAGAAUCUUUAGCACCGAGUGGGAGGUAUAAAGCGACCUUACUUCCUUAGAAUUACGUGCCUCCGUAGGAGUGAGCAUGAGGCUGAUUUAUAUAGUAAUCACUAGUUUGUGUGGAUUUGAUAUCGAUAGUCCUACUCUGAUAGCAAAGAUAGGAUGGCUCUGCCCAACGUGCGUUGUACGUUGGACUCCAUGUAGCCCACAUGCUUUAUGUCGGUUAUAGGUUCUCUCAGUGUGUGUGUGUUUCCUUGUGUCUAUGGUGAAUGGUGAAGUGAUUUGAAAGUGGAAUUGUGAAAGUUAGUUUUUCAAAAGAUUUAAAUGAUAUUUAAAUUAUGAGAAUUGAUAUUCUUGAUGAACUGAAAGUGAUUGACAAAUUAUAUGAUGACUCACACGUGUUAUUGUACUUAUUUCAUCCUCUCAUAAUUACGAUGAUUUUUUUUGGGCUAUGUGAAUCUUUCAUACAUCCUGCAUAUUUCUUAUAAAUAUUUAUGAUGAUGAUGUUUAUACAAUUGCAUACACGCCCAUAUACUCGGUUCCUUUCCAUGGUAUUGACCCACAUCUUCGGAUGUGGGCUGGAUUUUCUUGAAAUGUAGGUUUAGGUGCUCAGUUCCAGGUUCGACAGUGAUUCUUCGGGCACACUGUUCUACAUCCUCUGUUGUGAUGAGUCCUCACGUUCCGAGGACGUGAUGUCUGAUGUUCGCUUCACAGAAUUGUUCACAUUUGAUAACUGAGUAUGAGUCAGUUGGAGCAUGUCUCAAUGGCUCGCUGGUUUUAUUGAUUUUCUUAGAGGCUUGUCAGACUAGUAUAGAUUUUGGGAGUUGACUAAUAAGUCGUAUUUUGUUGUCUUUCUUAAAUUCUUUUAUUCUUGGAUGAUGAUUACUCUGUUGAUAUUUGAGGGUUAUUUAUGAAAACCCCGUUGAUUUGUGUUGAAUUGAAUUAAAAUGGCUCAAAGGGUUAGCUUGGGGCUACUCGUAGCCUCAAGCAUCGUGUGAUGCUUCGGUACCCAUUUUCUGGGGCGUUACAUGACCUCUAUAAGUACUGAUACUGAAUAACUUAAUGAGAGACCAAGCCUAUAUUACGGGUGGUCUUUAAAUCUGUGGAACUAUCUGAGUUCCUUACUGAGAUCGAUGACUGUAUCUGACAGUCCUGAUUUCUGAUUUCUAUUCUGAAGACUGAUACUAAAACUGUAAUUGUGGGAGGUAGUCACCUAACCAACAUGCCCUGAUAUUGAACUGGUGGGGUGCAAUCUUUGCCCUGAUUGGAAGGGUGAUAAUGUCAUGCCAUGGGUAAAGCCACUGCUAACUGAACCUAGGAUGCCAUGCCUAAAUGACGGGUGACACUUGGUAGGAGUUAAGCCUAAUAUAAAGGGUGACUCCGGGUAGGUAGUCAAGCCUAAUCUAACGGGUGACUCCUGGUCCUGCACUGGCUAUGCAGUUCUGGAGUACAGGGAUUUCUGCUAAUGACUCUGCCUCUAUAGCGGGGAAGCCACCAUCUCCAUACUCGCUCGGUGCUAUUUCCAUCUCCCAAUUAAAAGACUCUAAACAGAUUAACUGAGCUGAACUGAUUGACUAAACUAAAUUGAUCAGCUGAACUGGACUGGGCUGAGUUAACUGAACUGAUACUAGCGGUAUUAUUUAGCCGAGUUAAACUAAAAUUACUUGGUUCCCUUGACUGAAGGAACUUACUGAGUUCCGACGACUGACUGAGAGUACUGAAACUACUGAGAUCGCUAGGAAUACUGUUGGUACUAAGAUCACUGAGAUUACUGAGUACUGAGAUUACUAAGAUUUUUGAGGUUUCCUGAGUCACAUGACUGAUUGAAUUCUAUAGAUCAUGACUUGACUGAGAGUAUCGUGAUAGCUUGACAUGGCUCUAGAAACACAACUGUAUUUUUGGUGUACAAGUACCCUCAGGACUCGAUGGAAGGAAACUGACACACAUGACUAACUUGAUCAUAAGAGUAGAGUCCACAAUUCACAAUAUUAUAAGUAGGGAUUUCAUACUAAGCAUGGUUCUCAACAAUCUAUCACUUGGACAGGAAUAUACAACGCGUAUAUACUUGCAUGGCUCCAAUAGCAUGGAAAUCACGUUGAACAUAAACUUAGAACAUGGAAUAGUCAUUCAGGAUCUAUUAUGUCAUAGAAGCAUGAUUUCUAGUCUCUUAGGUAUUUUCACAAACACCUUACAUGCACAUCUUAGGCAUAGGUGGAUUCAUCAAGAUUACAAGUAUUCGACCACAAAUUUCAUAUAUUUAUACAUCAUAUACCACCAUAGCUUCACAUAAACAUACAAAAAUCCCAUCUUGGGCAUCAUCAAACUCCAACAACAUGAUCAUCAACCAUCAACAACAUAAACAUCACAAUACAAAAUUUGAAGGAUGAUUCUUGAGAUUUAUGGAUGAAAGGAAUCCAUAAAUCAACAUUCGCAUACCUUAGUUAGAAGUUUCCUUGAAAUUCUACGGUGAAAUCUCUUGAUUCUUGGAGCUUCUAUGAAAACCCUAACUUGAGUUCUUGGUUGUUCUUGAGAGAAAAUCAACAAAAGGGAUGUAUUUUGGUGUUAUGGAGCUCAAAUCCCAUGUUUAAGGUGUCACGAACCGAACCGGGGCCCUGGCCAUGACGAGUAUCCCGAACCAUAAAGGCCCGAGACACCCCUAUCUGUCUGGUAUUCAUGCACAUAAUUCAUAUGAUAAUAAAAAUACGGAAUAUAAACAAUAUUACAGAAACAUGGUCAGGAAUCAUACGAAAGCAAUAAUGGGGAAUAAUGUCCCACAAUCCCAACACAUCUCUAUGACGUCUGCGAAAUCUCUACUACAUGACUGAAACAAAUAUCUAUCUGAAAACUGGGACAAGGCCCCCAGUAGACCCAAAACUAAUAAAUGAUAAAUGAAACUGCCAGAUAUCAGGCUUUCCAAAAUAUAGAAGGCUCACCAAGUGACUCUACGAAUCUGUCUGAGGAAAUCUACUAAUUUUCUAGACCCCUAGACUGUGCCUUCGAACCUGGGAGGGAAGGGGGUCAAUACAAAAGUACUGGUACGCAGAGAUAUCAAAAAAAAAUAUAAUAUUUUUACAAAAUAUAGUUGAGAGCCAUUAUAAAGCAGUUUCAUAUCAAAUCAUUUGAAAACACAUUGGCGUAAUGUAAUUGUUUUCAACAAUAAUGCAAUGCAACUGAGCUAGGUGGAAUACCCUACAUAUCACAUUUACACCAACUGUCAAACCUCGGUUGUCUUUUAGAUUAGAGUAUGAGUGAGGGGACGAAACACAAGAUGACAUAGCAAGGUGUCUCGACCCAAUGGUAGUGCACAAGAUCAGAAAGCAGGGUUCCUAACCAUAAUUCCAAUUUGGGAAUGACAUAAAGUCAGGUACGUAAGAUCACAAAGCAUGGUACCAAGUUCCCAUAUCGGCAAACACAAUUUCCAGCGAUGAGUCCUUACACUCAAACGCCUUCUUCGGGCAUCCACCUAUCUCAUGUAAAAUCGAUGCAUUCAAAUUUCAUCUGAUUCAAUCACAUACCAUAUUCUGUAGGGUAUCGUCAUCCCCGACUUGCAAGCCAUCAAUGUCACAUCAUUACUUCAUGCAGCCAUUAUAUUCAUCAUAUUUCAACAUAAUAACCCUCUCCUUGCAAGUCGAAAAUCAUAUGCACUUUCAAAAUAGUUCAUGUCAUGCUUUUCAAGAUGAUUUCAAACAAUUCACAUCAUAUAAAAAUUUCAAACAAUUUCAUAUCAAGAGAGGGGUUUCAUAUAAUUCAUGAUCUCAAGUUAACAUCUUUUGAAUCACAAGCAUAUGCAUAUAUAAUAUAUCAAAUCACUUCGGAAAUAGGCCUAAAGACCAAAAAAAUAUCAUAAAGAUGCUUGAAACAUGUUUAUAUUCAUAAUUUCAAAACCUCCAUUUUUAAAACAUGAAUUUUUAAGCCCAUGAGAUUUUUGAGAUAACCCCACGUACCUCUAUAUGCGAAUAUGAUAGGUGCUUCUUGAAGCCUACGUUGCGGGAAUUCCAAAUCUUCAAUUUGUUUUGAAAACCCAUUGUUGAAUCGUGAGUUAUUGGGGUUUUUAUUUUGAAACUUAUCCGAGAUGUACUAUGAGAUUUCCCGAUCGUAACACAACUUGAAAAUCUAAAAAUGGAUGUUGGAAAGGUUGAAAAGUUGUAUCCCGAAGAUUGCCAGCUAAAAUAACUCUAAGUCCUCAUUACACUUAGAAAAAUAUUCUAGUUGUUAGCCCCUCAAACAUAACACUAAAAAUGAAAUCGACUUGAGAAUUUUACGGGGAAUUCGAUAGGAGUGAUUACCAUACGUAUGUUAAUAAAGAAUAAUUCAGUUCAGGUCUAUAUACGUAGGAACGACGGUCUAAACUCUAGCCCAAAAAUACGGGUGUUACAUAGAGUAUAAAGAGGGUCGCAAAAGGACCAAAAUGCCCUUUGGGACACGGGGGUUGCAUUCAGAAAACUGGGUAAGCACCGAACUUAGCAGGCGACGCUUGCCCUAGUCCACCUCUAUAGACCAGGUGAUGCCUGGCUAAGAGCAGUGCUCUAGGCCGGGUGACGCAGGCCUAUCGCCUGGUGCUACAGUUUUGCAAAUCCAAACAUGCCCUUAUGCUAUCCAAAAAAUUCUGAAACUUACCCGAGAUGUACUAAGACCUUGCCCGAUCGCAACACAACUUGAAAAGACAAAAAUGAAGGCUGUGAAGUUCAUCAAAUAAAUCCUCGAAGUUCGGAGGUCUAAAAUGAGACCAAGUGUUGAAUCUUGAACACUUAGCAAAAAUUUCUAAGUCUUGGGAUCUUUCAUGGAGCUUUACGAGAUGAAUUUGACAUGCGAAUUUGCGAGGUCUUACAAUAUCUCCCCCUUGAAAACAUUCAUCCUCGAAUGAGAUAGACUGAGAGGGGAAACAAUAAGCUGAACUUGAACCGAGCAUGGAUGACUGAAACAUGAUCUUGUGACUGACGUGACAAAUAAACUGAUUCAUACUGAAUAUGCAUAUCUGAUACAUGGGUAACUAAUUCAUGAAUGAAGAACUGAGGAUUUUGAUAAACUGAGUUUUCUGAAAGAGGGGAAUGCAUAUCUAAUGCAUAACUAAAAGGCUGAAUCCAUGCAUAUCUGAUGCAUUAUUACAUAACUGAACUAACUAAUGAACAUAUGACUGAACAUGCAAUGGUAAAGGCACUAAGAUUGGACUGAAACAUGAGAACAUGACUGAAUCUGCUACAUGACAUAUGGACUGAACCUUAUGAACUGAACUGAACCUCUGAAUACUCGACUUACAACUGAGGUUUUUAACUUGAGGGUCAACUUAUGAGAACCCUCUAUUCUAGAUUGAGUUCGUUAUGCAAGAAGAAACUGAAGGAUCUAAGACAUGAGAGCAUCAAGGAACGGUGGGGUAUCUCCCCCUCUAGGAACGUUUACCUUGCUAAGAUACUGGGGUGAUGCAUAGGGCAACUACGAACUAGAUUAUAUCUGAACAUCGAAGAGCUGAAGCUAAUGAAAGAUGCAUGAAGAUAAAAGAUUUAUACAUACCCAAUUCUAUGUUAGGAAAACUUUUUAGAUCAUGGCGAGUCUGAAGUGAAUAGAGUUGGUUCUAACGCUGACCACUAUUGGUACUGGGAUUGGCGGCCUGCUAAUACGAAUCUCUACCUUUCUGAGCUAAUACUCUACACUCCCGCAUUCUGUAACCUGGAUUACCGCAUCUAAAACAUACCUGACUAUUAGCUCCGUACGCACCUAGAUGAUUCUUUCCAUAUUCUCCACAAAGAGGAUAAGUACUCUCACUUCUAACACUACUCUGGGCUUUGGAGCCUGGCGCCCCAUCAUGACUAACAUCUCUAAAAUUUGGUGUGGGCACACUAGCUGAGGAUGGAACUGGGACUGAAUUUUUCUGACUAUGGUGAGAGCGAUUACCACCCUAUGACCCAACUAGAGAAAAACUGUUACUACCUAUUCUGAAUCUCUUAUUAGAUCUCUCCCUCUUCUUAGACUUAUCUGCCUCUAUCUUCUGGGCAUGCAUCAUUAACCUAGUAAGAUCCAUGUCUCAAUUACACAUAGCUUUCCUACACUCUUUCAAUACCAACCCAAACACACCAGUCACAAACUUACUCAUACUCGCUCUGGGAUCAUCUAUCAAGUUAGGAGCAUACUUAGCUAAUUGGUUGAACUUAAGACAAUACUCCUUCACUGUCAUAGAGCCUUGUCUCAGGUUUAUAAACUCUUAUACCUUAGCUUCUCUCAUCUCUAGCGGAAAAAACCUAUCUAGAAAGGUAUCCUAAAAUAUCUGCCAAGUCAUGGGAGUUGCAUCUUCCCCUCUACUCUUAUUCCACAACACUACCCAAUCAUGAGCAAUAUCUUUCAGCCUAUAGGAUGCUAAUUCCACACUCUCUUCCUCUGACACAUUCAUAAUUUGGGUGAUCUUCUUUACCUCUUCUAGAUACAACUUUGGGUCCUCACCUGCUACUGACCCAAAGAAUUAUGGAGGGUUCAUUCUCAUAAAAUUUCUAAUUUUGGCUGCGGCUAAAUCCCCAUCUUGCUGAGGUGGGGCUGCAGUCUGUCGGUUGCCCUGAACGCUAGUGGUCACAGCUUAGGCUAUUACCUAAAAAACUACCCAAAAUUCUGCAUAUGACACACUUUCAUUCAAAGGAUCUGUGGGCUGAGGGGCUGAUUGAUUCCCUAUUCUCUUCUUAGGAGGCAUGUUCUGCAAACAGAAGAGAAACAAAGAUUAGACUGAAAGUUCAAGUUGAGCUUUUACUCACUGGCACGACAUGAAUACUGAAAGGAGAGAAACUAUUCCUAAAACAUCUUAUAGCCUCAUGUAUAUAAAUGUGGCGUGCAACACACCCAUGCACAAGACUCGACUAGAUGCGGCUUUCAUACUUCCUAGGAAUCUAUUGAACCUUAGGCUCUGAUACCAAGUUUGUAACGCCCUAAUUUUCUAAACCAAAAUACUACACGAUGCUCAUGACCUCGAAGGACCACAAACUAAUCCAUGACUGAUAUCUGUACCUAUAACUGCACAAUAUACAUAUAAAAAUGCAAAAAUAUGAACUAAAAGGCCGUAAGGUUCAAUCUUGAACAAUAAAACGUAUGAAUAAGGUGGUAUCACAGUACCAAAACAAAAUUAAAAAAAAUACUAAAGUCUGAAUCUGAAAACUCUGUAAUCGUUUGAAAGCCUCUAAACUGUCUGAAUAAAGAGUUGAAGGAACAUGUCUCCAACUAACUCCCUAAACUAAAAAUAAACUGAAACACUGGAAUGAUAAAUAUAAUGAUCAUGUUCUUGAAAGAUGAGGACUCACUGCUAACUGAACUGCUACUGUUUAUCUAGAACCUGCGCCUUAGAAUUUAUGGUGUAACAUAAAAAGAAAGAACCAUAGCACAAAUGCGUCAGUACAACUAAAGUAUUGAGUAUAUGUGGGGGUAGGCUAAACGCAUGGGGUUUAUAUGCAUGAACAUCCGACUAAUAUGAACGUGAGAAUACAUACAUACAUACAUAAUUUCUAUUGAACUCAUAGAGAUACUUACUACUGAGUCUGAAUACUGACAUCAUGACUUUACUAAUACUGAGAUACUGAAUAGAUGAAUGACUAUUUCUGACAGUUCAAAUUAUAAAGAACGGGUCUGAUUGAUCGUGUCUAAUAGUCCUGAAAAAUGAAUACUGAUAACAUAAGGUAUGACGACUGAUAUAACUGAUAUAACUAUGAUAUUGGCCUAACCGAUGUAACUAAUACUGAGUGACUAUAUCUGACAGUCUAAAUCUCCUAAUAAUUGUAAAGAGUGACUAAGCUUGAGAUCAGGCCUAAAUAACGGGUGAUCUCUGGAACUGAUAAUAUGAAUACUCAAAUAAAAUCUGAGAUUGAGAUCAAACCUAUUUGUUGGGUGACCUCUAUAAGUACUGAUAAUGAAUAACUUAAUGAGAGGCCAAGCCUACAUGACGGGCGGUCUUUAAGUCUGUGGAACAAUCUGAGUUCCUUACUGAGAUUGAUGACUGUAUCUGAAAGUCCUGAUUUGUGAUUUCUUCUUUGAAGACUGAUACUAAAACUGUAACUAUAGGAGGUAGUCACCUAACUGACAUGCCCCGAUACUGAACUGGUGGGGUCCAAUCUUUGCCCUGAUUGGAAGGGUGUUAAUGCCGUGCCACGGGUAAAGACACUAGUAACUGAAUCCAGGAUUCCAUGCCUAAUAUGACGGGUGAAACCUGGUGGAAGCCAAGCCUAAUAUGACGGGUGACUCCGGGGAGGUAUUCAAGCCUAAUCUAAUGGGUGUCUCCUGGUCUUGCGCUGGCUACGUAGUUCUGGAGUACAGGGAUUGCUGCUAACGACUCUGCCUCUAAGCAGGAAAGCCGCCAUCUCCAUACUCUCUCGGUGGUAGUUCCAUCUCCCAAUUGAAAGACUAUAAACAGAUUAACUGAGCUGUACUGAUUGACUAAAUUGAACUGAUCAGCUAAACUGAACUAGGUUGAGUUAACUGAACUGAUACUAGUGAUAUUAUUUAGCGGAAUUAAAACUAAGUUUACUAGGUUCCCUUGACUGAAGAAACAUACUGAGUUCCAAGGACUAAUUGAGAGUACUGAAACUACUAAGAUCGCUAGGAAUACUGCUGGUACUAAGAUCACUGAGAUUACUGAAUACUGAGAUUACUAAGAUUUCUGAGGUUUCCUGAGUCACAUGACUGACUGAAUUCUAUAGAUCAUGACAUGACUGAGAGUAUCAUGAUAACGUGACAUAGCUCUAGGCACACAACUAUAUUUUUCGGGUACAAGUACCCCCAGGACUCAUUGGAAGGAAACUGACACACAUGACUAACUUGAUCAUAAGAGUAGAGUCCUUAAUUCAUAAUAUUAUAAGUAGGGAUUUCAUACUAAGCAUGGUUCUCAACAAUUUAUCACUUGGAUGGGAAUGCAUACAACAUGCAUAUACUUGCAUGGCUCCAAUAUCAUGGUAAUUCCAUAUCACAACAAUAUCAUGAGCAUCUCAUACAACAUCUUCAAUUCAAGAUAAUAGCAUGGAAAUCACAUUCAACAUAAACUUAGAACAUGGAAUAGUCAUUUAGGACCUAUUAUGUCAUAAAAGCAUGAUUUCUAGUCUCUUAGGAAUUUUCACAAACACCUUACAUGCACAUAUUAGGCAUAGGUGGAUUCAUCAAGAUUACAAAUAUUCAACCAUAAAUUUCAUAUAUUUAUACGUCAUAUACCACCAUAGCUUCACAUAAACAUACAAAAAUCCUAUCUUGGACAUCAUCAAACUCCAACAACAUGAUCAUCAACCAUCAACAACAUAAACAUCAUAAUAAAAAAUUUGAAAGAUGAUUCUUGAGCUUUAUGGAUGAAAGGAAUCCAUAAAUCAACACAUGCAUACCUUAGUUAGAAGUUUCCUUGAAAUUCUACGGUGAAAUCUCUUGAUUCUUGGAGCUUCUAUGAAAACCCUAACUUGAGUUCUUGGUUGUUCUUGAGAGAAAAUCAACAAAAGGGAUGUAUUUUGGUGUUAUGGAGCUCAAAUCCCGUGUUAUAGAGUAUAAAUAAGGUGUCAAAAGGACCAAAAUUCCCUUAAGGACAUGAGGGUUGAGUGCAGAAAAUUGGGCAAGCACCGAACUUAGCAGGCGACGCCUGCCCUAGUCCACCGUUGUAGACCAGGCGAUCCCUGGCUAAGAGCAGUGCUCUAGGCCGGGCGACACAGGCCUAUCUCCUGGUGCUACUAUUUUGCAAAUCCAAAAAUUGCGUUACGCUAUCCGAAAAAUUCUGAAACUUACCCGAGAUGUACUGCGACCUUGCCCCAUCAUAACACAACUUUAAAAUCCAAAAACGAAGGUCGGGAAGGUCGUCAAAUAAAUCCUCAAAGUUUGGAGGUCUAAAAUGAGACUAAGUGUUGAAUCUUGAACACUUGGAAAAAAUUUCUAAGUCUUGGGAUAUUUCAUGGAGCUUUAUGAGCUGAAUUUGACAUGCGAAUUUGCGGGGUCUUACAGAAGGCUCACUAUUGCACGAAUCACUUCUCUAUGAACACUCUACUGCUUAGCUGGACCCCUAGAUUAAGUCUUAGAACCUGUGAGGUAGGGGAUCAAUACAGAUAUACUGGUACGUAGAGCAAAUUAAAAAUAAUAAUUUAUAUUUAACAUACAUGAGAUAAAUUUAAAACAGUGCAUAAACAUAUCAUAUAGUAAGAAAUCACACGGGCAUUUUAAAAGACUCUGUGAAAUCAUCUGAACUCUGUAACACUCUUUAUGUUACUUCUGCACUAGAUGGUAUACCCUACAGUUUGUAAUCCCAUGGGCUAUAUGGGAUCUGCCAUUAACUCGGCAGCCAAGCCCCCAACCCAAGUGUGCCACAAGGGUCGGAGUCUCUGUAUCUACUACGCCACACGGCUGUCGCCAGCGUACAAUAAUAAUCUACCCGUACCGGCAAAUACGGUUUUAGGAUAAGAGUUAUUUGAACUCAAGCCCUUUUAGAGUAACCACCUAACCCUCUUUAAGCCUAUUUUUAAUCCUUUAAAACAUGCAUUCUGUAACACCCUGUACUUUCGGGCUAGAAUCAAGACCAUCGUCCUUACGCGUAUAGACCCGAACUAGAUGAUUCCUUGUUAAUAUAUGUGUGGUUAUCAAUCUUAUAGUGUAAUAAUACCUUUGAAUAUGAAUUGAGUUCACAAAAAUUCCCUAACUCUAAGACGAGUUGAAAACAUUUUUACCAAAUAAGUUUUAGUGAAUGUUUAAAUUUGGGUCAAAUUCCAUUGACCAUAACUUCUAGUAUACGAUGAAUUAUAGAAACUAUUAUAUAUUAAAUGAAAGUUCUUCGAAUAAGCUUUCCAACGAUACCAAUUUUGCCUGAAUCCAAUACCCGAGUGAAAAGUUAUGGCCAUUUUAGUGAUUGAGACAGCUGCGAUAAGUGUAAGAUGCACGCCCUAUCGCGCGCCUCAAAUUUUCAGAUUCUAUUUCCGCAUUUUAAGGGCAAAAUGGGUAUUUUCAGCCCCCCUUCUUCAGCUUAAACAUGGAAUUUUAAUCCCAAAUGACCUCAUUAUUGAUAUUUUCAUCAAAUUACUCCAAGAACACUCUCUAGGGUUUUUAACUAAAACCCCAAAUAAAUCAAGAUUCAACCAUGGGUUUUCGAAAGUGAUUAAAGAUUUGGACUCCCCACACCAAAGGCUUCAAGAAUCAUCCACUUUUCUCCGUAAUCAAGGUACGCGGGGUUUUCCUCAAAAUCUCAUGGGCAUAGAAAUCAUGCUUUUAAGAAAAGGGUUUCGGAUUAUGAAUAUAAUCAUGUUUUAGAAGCUUUAAUGACAUUGCUUUGGUCUUUUGGCCUUUCCUCAAAGUGAUUUGAAAAUUUAUAUACAUAUAUGUAUGUGAUUUGAGUUGAUAUUUGAAAUUGAGAGCAUGACUCACAUAAAACCUCUCUUGAUGUGAUUGUUUCCAUGUCUUACAUGUCAUGAAUUGUUUUGAAAUGCAUCAUGAAAAGCUUGUUACGAAAAGCCUUGAUUUAUGAAUGAUUUGGUUAUGAAUCUUGAAUUCAAAAGAGAGGGGUGUUUGUAUUGAUAAAUGUUGAAAUUAUAUGUAAUGAAAGAGUGCAUGGUUUUUGCCAAAAGUACAUGACCACCACAUGUUUGAAUAAUCUCAAUAUAGUUUUGAUUUGUGUUUUCGAAACAUGAAAUCUUUUAUACUGUUGCAUGUUUGGGUGGUCUGAAAUGUGUUUUAAUGAAAGAAUUAUGUGUGAUGCAUUAUGGCUCAAAAAUAGGACUUGCAAGUCUUGGUGUGAUGACACAAAUUCAAAUUAUGCCAUGAUAAUUAGAAAAGAAUAGAAUGAUUGUUUGAAAUCAGACUUUUCAGAUGUUGAAACUAGAAAAAAAAAUGCAUGAUUCAGAACAGGAUAAAAUUGAGCAUAAAGAGAGCUUAGGUGGUUCACCGAAGAAGGCAUGAUUUCAGACAACUCAUUGCCCAAAAUCGUGAUUUUUCGAUCCGGGUAUAUUAUAUUACGCUUGCCUAGUGCCGUGUGGUGUAUUAGAAUAGAAACUCCAACCCUUGCGGCACACUUGGGUUGGGGACUUCCCCGCCGAGUCAAUGGCGGAUUUCAUACAUCCCGUGGGAUUUUAGAAUUGUAGGGGUGUACCACCUAGCUCAGAAUUAAUACGAAGAACAGAACUGCAUUGUCCAAAAUGAUUUAUGAUUUUACAGAAAAGUGCCCAUGUGUUUUAGAACUAUUUCAUGCAUGAUAUUUUGACAAAUUGCUCACCAACUAUUUUAUCUACAUAAAAGCUUUAUUUUGGAUUACUUUGCGUAUCAGUACAUCUGUAUUGACCCUCCCUCCUCCCUCUAGGUUCUGAGGUUCAAUCUAGGGGUCCAGAUAAGCAGUAGAUAAUUCAGACAUCUGAUCAGGUUGUGCAGUGGUGAGCCUUCUCUAUUCCAGAAGGCAUUUCUUUUCAGAUUAUGUCCCUUAUUACCGUUUUAUUCUACUGGGGGCCUUAUCCCAGUUUUAGACAGUUGUCAGAUUUUCAUGUAGUAGAGAUUUUGCAGACUGAGUCAGAUGUUAUUUAGUUAUAGUUGAUUUAUAGUUUCCAUACUUAUGUUGAAUUCAGAACUGACCAUGUUUCCGUAGCAGUUUAUGUUUCUGCAUCUUUUAUUAUUGGAAUGUUGUGCAUGAUUACUAGAUAGAGAAGGGCGUUUCGGGCCUUCAUGGUUCGGGAUGUCCGUCACUGCCAGGCCCUAUUUCGGGUCGUGACACAUUCUCUAAAAAUAUAUUCUGAAAACAUACUGUGUUAUGGCAUACAUACUUAUGGUAUCAUCAUACCAUUGACUUGUAAGUCACAUCUCUGAGCCAUUAUUAGCAUAUUACAAUUUCUGUUUUCAAAACAUAAAUUCGGGACCACCAUAUCAAUAAAUCAUUUCAAGAAACUCAUUCUUUAAAAGUCAUGUAAAACCAUGCAAGCAAUUCUCUUUAUCAACAAUUCAACAAACAAUGGUGGUCAUGUCAAAAGUCUCUAUCUCAUGCAAUUUCUUCUCUUUAACACAAAACAUAGUAAUAUCAAGAAGCACCCUCUCAACAAUUCUAAAUCAAUAUUCAAAUACUAUGACAUUGAGAAACAUCUUUCAAUUCACAAAACAUGCAUUUCAACUCUUUUCCAGCAAAACCAAAAUCUUCAAUUUAUCACAAGAGAGGGAGUCCAUAAUUUAUGCUCUCAAACAAUCUUCAAUCUCAAUUCCAUACAUAUACAUAUACAUGUAAAUCAAUUUAGUGGAGAAAGACCACAAGGACAAAGAAAUAAUAACAUUAAAACAUUUGGAAUACAUAAUCAAAAAUAUAGUUUCCAAAAUCCCUUUAAAAUAUAUGCGUCAAAACCUUUAAAUCAUGCUUUAAUAUUUUCAAGCCCAUGUAGUUUUUAGGAUAAAUCCCACAUACCUCUAUUUAGAAAAUUAAAGGAUGAUCCUUGACGCCCACGGCUUGGGGAUUCCAAAUCUUCAAUCAAUUUCUAAAACUUAUGGUUGAAUCUUGAGUUGCUUGGGUUUUCUUGUUUGAAACCCUAAGGAGUGUUCUUGAUGGUUUUUGAUGAAAAUAUCAAUAAUGAGGUCAUUUGGGAUAAAAAUUCCAUGUUUAAGAUGAAUAAGGGGGUGGAAAUAUCCAUUUUGCCCUUAAAAAUGCGGAAACCGAACCUGAAAAUUUGGAGCAUGUGACGGAGCUGGCGUCGCACGCUUGUCGCAUGACCUCACUAUCUCACUCACAAAAAUAACCAUAACUUUUCGCUCGGGUGUCAGAUUUAGGCGAAAUUGAUAUUGUUGGAAAGAUAAUUCGAAGAACUUUCAUUUGAUAUAUAGUAGACCCUCUAAUUCAUCAUAUACCAGAAGUUAUGGUCGAUGGAAGUUGACCUAAGUUUUAACAUCCACCAAAACUUAAUCAGUAUAAAUGUUUCCAACUUGUCUUGGAGUUGGGGGAUUUUUGUGACCUCAAUUCAUAUUCAAAGGUAUUAUUACACUAUAGGAUUGAUCACCACAAAUAUAUUAACAAGGAAUCAUCUACUUUGGGUCUAUAUGCGUAUGAACGACGCUUCAAUUUUUAACCCAAAAAAAAUGCGGGGUGUUACAUUAGAUGUGUUAUGGGAGAAUUGUAGGUUGGAAAUGAUGAAGUAUGUUGAUUAAUGUUUGAGGUUUAGAUAAGUUUAAGUCUAUUCGUAGUACUUUGUAAGGUAGAGAAUGCUUUUAAUCCUAUCUUCUCCGAAAUAUUAUUCAUGAUUAGUACCAAUAUAAAUCAGGUCUAUGAUCAUCAAAUAAACCCCUAUCACACGUGAUGAUAAUAAUAAUUCAUAGAACUCAUGUGCAAGAUCAUCCCUAUGCAAAAUCUCACUGCCUCAUGUUUCAUGCUUACACGUUUCGUUAGGGGUUAUCAAGAAGCUUGUUUGAUGUCUUUACAUAUUUUGUUAAGGAAACAUGUUCAAUGCGAGGUUUUGUUUCAUAUUCUACACUUUUAUAACUUCAAAAAGUCCCCACCCAUCAUUUUGGGAUGAAUGAUCCCAAGGGGGAGAUAAUGUAACACCCCGCAUUUUGGGCUAGAACGAAAACCGUCAUUUCUAGGCGUAGAUGUUCCAAAAGCCAUAAAUCCUAUGUAAAUUUAGCUUGUGAAUCAAUUAUGUAGUGUGGAAUCUAUUUGAUCAUGAAUUGAGAUCAUAGAGGUCACCUAACUCACGGACGAGUUGAAAGGUUUACUAUCGUUCGAGUUUUAGUGAGUGUCGAAACUUGGGUCAACUUCAAUCGACCAUAACUACCAAUACAUAACGAAUUAGACUUCUAAAAAUACUAAUUUUUCCAAAAUCCAAUAAUCAAGUGAAAAGUUAUGCCAUGCAAAGCAGUGAGAGGUCACGAUAGCCCCCCGACGUGGGGUCUGCUUGACCCAAAAGGGGGUCGCGUCGUGAGAGAUACUUAACCCGACUAGGGGUCGCGACGCGAUGGUAAUUCUCAUGUUAUUUCAGUUCCAUAAGGGUCAAAGGACACUUUGGUCCUUUCCCCUCAACCCCAAAUGUCCAAAGGACAAUUUAUAUCACCAAAAAGGGCGAUAUUUGCCCAUCUUCUUCAACACCAGCUCACCAAAAAUACUCCCUUCCCCAAGAACGAAAUCCAAAAUCCUUUUCUCCAAGAAUCCAAGGAAUUCAACUCUGAUCACAAGAAACGAAAUCAGAUCUGGAUUCCAUACUUGAACCUGAGUAAUCUACGGUCAAGAACUCAUCCCCAAGAUCAAGAAUUCCAUGAAAAAGAUAAAAAAAUCCAGGUUCCAUCUAUCAUGAUCUAGGUUCCAUUUUUCAAAUCUCGCAAUCUAAGGUACGUGGGGUUUAUCCUAAAACCUAUAUGGGCUUGUAAGCACUAGAACAUGAUUUAAAGAUUAUCAAGCAUGAAUUUUAAAGGGCAUUUGGAACUUAUGCUUUAAAUUUUGCAUUAUGGAUGUUUUGAUAAUAUUAUUGUUUUGGCCUUUAGGCCUUUCCCCCUUAACUUGAUUUACAUCUAUAUGUAUAUGUAUGGUAUUGAAGAUUUGAUUGAGAGCAUUAUCAUUAAAAUCCCUCUCUUUGAUGAUUUAGAGUUUAUGAAACUGUUGAGAAUGAUUUGAGAUGCAUGUUUAAUGGUUUGAAAGUGAUAUUUUCAAUAUUAAAGUAAUUAGCAUGAUUUUGAUGAUGAUGAGAGGGAGUUUCUUGAUAUGAUUUUUCUCUUGUGUUAAAGAGAAAGAAUUGCAUGUGAUUGAUAUCUUUGACAUGACCACCUUGAAUUCGUCCUGCUGACGCCACGAGUUUUGCACUACAGUUCUGUAGCUCAAUUAGUUGUAGCAUGGACGGAGCCACCUAUUUCAACGGGUAGUCAGCACACCCUUCGUUGAAAAAUUGUGUUGUGUUGUGUAGGUAUAAGUUCUAUACAAAGAAGGAAAGAAAGAAAACAGAAAAGAGUUUAAGAACUUUAUAAAAUUGGUUGACGACAGUGGCAGAUCUAGAAUUUUCACUUAGGAAGUCGAAGAACAAAAAUAUAGUUCCUAUGAUUUGAACUUGGAACUUCUACCAUGGUAUUUGGAAAAACAACAACAACAAAAUGCCCACUGAAAUCCAGCAAGUGAGGUCAGGAAAUGGUAGAGUGUACGCAGGAGUUAUCACUACCUCGUGGAGGCAGAGAGGCUGUUUUCGAAAGUAAUUGGAAAAACUAGAAAAUUUGUACAUGUCUAAAUCCCUGAUAAACAAGUUAUUUUUUCAGAAAAAUGUUGUAUUCCAUUCAUAUGAGUGAAGCUGAAAUUAGUUCUGAUGAUUGACAAACAACUACAAAAGUCUACAAUUCAAAAGUCUGAUGUAACAACUCGAAUUUCUCAACACAAUUCUAACGGAGAAUACAAGAUAAUAGUGAAUAAUACAAGGAAGAAUGUAACUAGAAGGAGAUGAGAGGAUAACAUACUAAGACAAAGAUUCAACAUAAUUGCAUAACCCCUUCAAUAAGCGACUGCCUCCAUUUAAUGUGCUUGCUUAACCCGGAUCCCAGUGGAAAUCCACACUAUUGUUGGGUUGUAACUUCACCUCAGGCCAAAGUCCAUCGUUCACUGUGUUAAUACUUGUGUGGUCAACAAAUCCCAGAAGUCGGUUCAUAACAUCUGAAGUCUUCAAUCCUUAGUAAACAUCAGUCGGAAUCAAAAUCACUUCGACUAAGUUCACGUUCAGCUGUAGCAAAACGAACAUAAAGAGUCAACUAUAAACUUCGAAAUUGUUUGAAAUUUCAAAGGCAAUUAUUGUACACACCUGGAUCGUUGUAAGAACGAACAUCCACAACUUUGCUUCCCAAGGAUUCUAGCUCUUCUUGAACUCGUCUAGCAGAAGCCACGAGUUUUACACUACAGUUCUGUAACUCAAUUAGUUGUAGUGAGUAAAUAUCUGUAAACUCAAUAGGGAUCUCUUCCAAAUGAAGGCAAUAUCUGAUCAUUUUGUUUCAGCUUCAGCUUUGGCGAAUCAGACGACAAUAGCAGUUCCAUUGUUCUUAUAAGAGAUGCUUUACUCGCAUACACCAUAUCUAUUCUCCGGCUUCCAAAAUGCAACUACGACUUGAAAGCUGCAAGUUGUAGGAGGACGAUAGUGUUAAAAUAACGCGAUUCACAAAGUUGCAAAAGCAGUGAGGUAAAAAUUAUGAAAUCAGGCAACUUCAAUCUGCACUAUUCACUAUCGUAUCUGCUACAGACGUUAUGUCUACUUCAUAUUCAUGUCAGUAUCACCUACUUUACUACACUUGAUUCGACAAUUCAGAAAUAUGAAGAAUCAACUUUAUCGGUCCAAGAAAACGUUGCAAAGAGGGAGGAAGAGGAGCUGUAUGAUGUUCGUAGGUUUCUAUUAGCUAGUUGCGAGGGCCAAUAUGACAAGGAGUUGGUUAAACGAUAGCUGGCUAAAAAAGAGUCACAGAAGUGGUCAAAGUUGCGGAGAACUCCUGGCGAUCUAUGAGUGGAUAGAUUGCAUAAGCUUGCACACGCCUCGACUAGUUCCACUAAGUACUUGCAACCUCCCACCAACACAGGUACCGGAUAACUCUGUCCCCAAAGGCUUUGCCAUAUAGGAAGAAAUCGCCUAGUGUUUUUUGCCUUUCAAUGGGAUUUAAAACUAGACCUUAGGGUUCUCGACUCACUUCAUUGACCACUGGGCAGCACCCUCGAGUGGGUUCCAAUGUUACUUCAAUGGACUUAGACUGACGUGAGAGACCAGGAUGUUACAUUUGGAGCUGUUGACAUUAAUAGGUACUGCAUAUUUUUAAAGGAUCCAAGCAACAUAGGUUAUAAAAGAAGUGCAUUGAUAAAUACCAACGGUAAUACGAUAAAUACUUUCAAGGAGAAAAUAUACUAAAGACACAUGAAUAUGAGUUUCAAACAUCAAAUUGAUGAAGCAUAAAAGAAAAGUGAAAUUGUGUCUGCUAUCAAGUUAUACAAAAUAAGUUGUAUAGACGAAAAAAAAAAAGUAGACUUUAAAGAAAUGGGAUGACAACUCCAACAAAUUGACCUUGGGAUUUGUGUCUAUCAAUGAAAAUAUAAUAUUAUAGCACAUCUGUUUUUUAACCUCUUCCCCUUGUAUUUUACCACAUAGCUACUGCCACAGGUAAAAAGCACCGGAGGCGUUGAAUUAAUUGAUGAGAUAUUCAAUUAAAAGAUUGGCAGUUCAAGUCACCAAAGAGGGAAAAGUAGAGAACCAUGGGUAGUAUUACUAACAAUUCUAUUAACUCAAAAAUAUGUUACAAUACAAAUCCAGCCACAUUAUUACAAUUUAGAGAAAUCACAUCUCCUUUGAAGCCACACAUUGCUUGAACUGAAAUGAAAUCCCAAAAGAGUCAGUAGAAGUUCGACGAGUCACAUUAUUCAGAUUUAGAGCGUGUUCAACCGAACUCACUUCUUUUAACUUUAACUUCAUGUGAAUAAACACAGAUAUAUGAAAAUCAUAUAAAAGUAUGACAAACAUUCUGAAUCUGACUCUACUAAAGCAUCUUGAGAGUAUCAUACAGGGAUAUAUGUGAUAUAAACAUACACAAUAAUUAUUAAACCAAUCAAACUAAAUCAUCAUCCAGUUCUCACAAUAUAAAUUGUUCCAUGAAGGAGAAAAAUUACAGCACAAUAAGAAUUAACAAGCUAGAAGACAUUACAACAUAAAUUUAUCGAAUCAAACUCCCCAUAUUGAAUAGAAACCGAUUGAAUGCUCUUGUUGCUUGUCCUUUCCUCGUCUUCUUUUUUCCAAAAGCUGCUCGAAGAAUCCACGAUACUUAGGACGAGCUCAAGUCCUCUUACUCGGGUAUUACUAUAACAAAAUAAAUUAGAAAUAUAAAAUCUUCCAUUUACAAUCAAAUCAACUCAAACUCCAAAAAAUUUUAGUUUUUAUGGCCAAAUUUAUUAGAUUCAAAAGCUAAUGUGGUAAAACUAUAGAUAUACUUACAUAGAUCUGUGAAAGAAUAUGGGGUAAAGCUAAAUAACUUUUGUGCAUGACUUGACCUGUGGAAAUGAGAAACAAUGUGUGACCUUGAUAAAUACUAUAGAUAUACUUACUUGGAUUGGAGAUACGAACAUCCACGGGGUUGUUUCCAAGGUCUUCUUGUUCUUGUUGAAUUCGUACAGCAGAGUCGCCAAGUUCGGGAAGACAGCUUGUAAACUCAAUCAGCUGUAGUGUAUGGAUUUCUGCAAACUCAAUGGGUAUCUCUUUCCAAUUAUGGCAUUCUUUAAGCACAAGGCGCUCAAGGACAGGAAAAUUGUCAUUUGUGGCUUUCCAGUACUUGAGAUAAUUCUCUUUCAUUAAUAAAAGUUUCAAUCGAGUAAAUCCCUUAACAUUUGGAUACCAUUCAUUGCCAAGACACGCAUAUGGCAUCAGCUUCAACACUUCAAGGUUAGGCAACUCAGCUAUGAUGUCCAAGUACGACCAACUUAAUGCAGUAAGUCUUAACUUCAGCUUCUUGAGUGUUGCUGGAAAAGCUUUUGCACUUGCUGGCAAAUAGUGAAGUUGAGAAGAUUGUUGAGAAGCCCAGAGUCCAGAAUUCUCUCAUAUCCACGUCCUCUGAUUCCUAAUUUUUUGACAUUCCGAAUCCCCAUUAUAACCUUCUUCGUGCAACAACGUGGAGACAAGUAAGAAAUAGUUUGUAUGUUUGGAAAACCCAUGUGACUCCCUUUGUCAGCAGAUCCACUUGGGCAAUCUGGCAAAUAAAAUCUGGGCAGUUUAAGAUGCCUUAAUUGCAUUAGUCCACAAAUUUCCUCAGGAAAAGUUAUUAAAACUGAUCGACCAAUGAAUUUCUGUGGCGCUUGAACAAUGAAUGUCUGCAGAUUCCAUAACCUACAAAUUUCUGGAGGUAUAUCAAAAUCCACAGGGCAGAGCAAUGAUAGGUACCUCAACCAGAUAAGGCUUAGUAUCUGUACAGGGAAAUUCUCAAUCUCUAUGUUUCUCAACUCCAAGACUUUGAGUAAUUUGAAAUGAAUAAGAUUUGAUUUGAGAGGAAAAUAGGAAUUCUUAAGACGAGAAGAGAAAAUAGAACUGGUUCGUUUCAAGAGAUCGUUGUUGUUAUCAUCUCUCAACUGACGAUGUACAGGGGUAAGAAGAGCCCUAUAAAGACCAUUGGGACAAUAAUCAAUUUUAUCACCAUUCACGCGUUUAAAGGGCUGCAUUUUUUGCAUAAUGAGAUAUUGACAUUCUGAAUAAUAAUCAAGCACAAUGUCGUUCAUGAUAAAAAUGUUCUCCCUUAGAAUUUCUCUCACACACAGGUCAUAUAUUAGAUCAUGAACCUUACAUGAUCUAAUUUUUGUUCCAUCUAAACUUUUCUUGCAGACGAGGACUAGACAUCGACAAGCUCUUGCAAACACUUCUCAGCCUCUCCUUCCAAAUCAUUUUCCAACUUUAGGAACCCCUCAGCUAUCCAUGAUCUCAUCAAAUUCUUAGCUGGUAUCUCACUGUCUUCUCUAAAAAUUCCAAAAUGCAGUAGACAAGUCUUUUGAUAGCUAGUCAAGUGAUUGUAACUCAACCCAAGCACACGUGAACAUUGUUCGUCAAGAUCAUUUGUGAGAAAUGACUUGACAUCUUUAGCUACACUUUCCCAAUCUUCUAUUGCCCUUUUAGAUUUGAGAAGUCCAGCAACCAUGACAAUAGUUAGUGGUAACCCGUGGCAUUCAUCUGCGAUUUGCUUCCCAACAGUCUCGAACUCAUAUGGUAAUGCUUCACCGGAAAAUGCUGCAGUUUUGAAAAGACUCCAACUCUCAUCUUGAUCCAUAAAGCUCAUACGCAAAGAAAGAUUCUCUAUACUAGCAUAACAAGCUACUUCAUCAUUACGGGUAGUCAACAGUAUUCGACUCCCUGCAUUGUCUUCAGUUGGAAAGCAUCAUCUCACGCCAUCCCACACUUCACAACUCCAGAUAUCAUCCAAGACAAUUAAGUUCCUCUUUCUCUUUAAACAUUUCGGCAGCAUGUCUGCUAGCUCUGCUUCCCCUCUCGUCUUAACCGUGUCAUCCAUUUUGAUCGUCGAUUGCAGAAGGCUCAGCAAAAUUUCUUUUAUGUUGUGCUGUUGAGAUACAGUAGCCCAGGCACGAACAUCAAAACGGCAUAGAAUUGAUUCAUGAUUGUAAACUUCUUUCGCUAAGGUUGUUUUACCUAUGCCUCCCAUCCCGACAAUCGGGAUGACUUUGGGUUCACCAGAGUAGCUUACAGUCAGAUCUUCUAACAAGCGUUUCUUUUGAUCAUCACGUCCAACCAUAUUAUUGCUAACAUUCAGAAUAUCGUUUGUUGAACUUGAAAAAUCAUGAACCAAUGAUUCCUUUGAUAUUAGUUUCCCUUUAUCCUGAAGCUCUGUCGACUCAUUCCAGAUACGAUCCAUGCCCUUUGCUACUUUUUGCAGGCUUUGACGAAACUUUGGACACACCUUUUUUAUCUGUCUUUUAUUUACUCCCAGUACAGUUUCUGUUAGUCUCAGUUGAAUUCUGUAUUCAACAGCACUUGCAACUUCUUUUACCUCUACUUCAAAAUCCGUCAUUUCUCCGAAAACUUUGUUUUUCUCAAAGUUCUUGACAAAUACUUCCAGGGAACUAACUUUUUCACGAAGAGCGCAAAGUUCUUCUCUGUGAUCACAGAUUACAGAUUGCAUCGGCGAAUUGGAUGUCAAGAGCGAUUCUAUUGUUCUCAUAAGAG
rnacentral:lncRNA from 1 species